UUUCUUUUUUCGUACAAAAAUUCAUUGAAACAUUGACCUGGGAUCUAGUUUUGAAUCUCAACAUGAGAAAUUCAACGGUGAAAACGGUUCGGGAUUUGGACCCAUGGUUCAAAAGAUGAACUAUUUUGAAGAAACAAAUCUAUUAAAAAAACUCCUAGAUUGCGAGAAGUGACGUAUUGGGUCUCCGUAUCUGCUUGGUGCAGCGGCGGAGGUGUACGAGGAUGGCUCCCGUGUGGUACUUAUUAGAGGUCGUAAAGGAACCCUAACCAAGAGGGGUGGACGGCUCAGAUCGAGAUGCGCUGAGUUGGGCCUUAACUCUUUGGCCCAUAUGUAUUUGUAAGAGAUGAUGACCAGAAUACUUGGGAGCAACUUUCCUUGGGCCACAGGGGCCUGUAUGGGACUACUUCGCUCCUUAAAAUUUAGCCCCGCUUUCGAAAACGCAAGCCAAAUGGAUAGCUCCAUGAUAUACCGCUCCGUAAAAAAAACUAGAAUUUGAGAGUGUGUCGUGCAUCCAACCGCCGCCACGUGUCGCGUGUUGUGCGCAUAUUUGGGAUUUUAUUUUUUAUUUUUGCACAUGUUUUUGGAUUUUAUAUGGUUUUUUGGGCUUUUGCUUGGCUUCCUCUUUAUUUUGGCAUUUUUUUCCAGAAAGCAACGCAUUUGGGCGAGGAGCACAACAUGUGCUUCUCCGAGAAGCGCAGUUGUGCUUCCUAGAAAAUAAACACGGUCAUGAAAAGUGCAGCCUUGCUUCCGCGAGAAGAAUAUUUAUGCUUCCAAAAAAUGAAAAUUAGAGUAAUGCUUCCUUGAAAAAGGGAAAAGCACAGUUUGUGCUUCUGUGUGAGAACCACACAUUAUGCUUCUCCGAAAAAAGGGAAAAGCACAGAUUGUCCUUUUGCGUGAGAAGCACACAUUGCGCUUCUCCGAAAAAAGGGAAAAGAAAAGCCCGUGCUUCCUAAAAAAGGCUAAACUGAAACUAUGCUUCUGGGCUUCGGUUUUUAUUCCUUUUUGGGUUUUUAUUACCGUUUUUCUUUCAGUUUCCUACUUUUUCUUGGUUUUCUUUUUUUCGAAAAAAAGGUUUGUUGAAACAUUGACAUGGGAUCUAGUUUUGAAUCUGGAGGCAAGAAAUUCAACGGUGAAAACGGUUUGGGUUUGGAUGCAUGGUUCAAAAGAUGAACUAUUUUGAAAAAACAAAUCUAUAAAAAAAACUCCUAGAUUGUGAGAAGUGACAUACAUGGACUGCGGCUCUAGUUAGCAUCAUAGAAGGUAGAGAAUGACCUUUGAAAUGGGUACCUUUUAAUUAGUGAUUUUGAGAAUUUUGUAUCCUAUUGUUCAUACCUUCGUUUUGUUUACCCUGCAUUUGGUCCAUGUUCAUUUUAUAAGUCGUAUUUUGGCUUAUCAUAGAAAUUGUUUUUAAGAUACUUUUUUGAGUUUUUUUCAAGAUAUUAGUGAUCAUGCAAUUACGGGUGGACAUAUUAGAGCACCUAUAACCAUAACGCCACUUCCCCCUGAUGUCCAGACGAACAACUUGGACAUUGCCCGGAUCCAAAAACGCUACCCGACCGGGCCCCCCAAAGCCAACUUGUACGUUCGGGCUGUCUGGCAUCCCUCAUAUCCAACCUAUGUGUGACGGAUUUGAGCCUGCCUAGACGCACUCGCAUGUUGGACCAACAUGCAGGACCCCGUGCAGAAAUGCGUCGGUCUGCCCCGAGGCUUAAUAGUUUGUUGUUCGCAUUCAUGGCACCACUUCGGCGUGUCGUGUGAGAGGUCAAGCUCUGUCUAUUAAGUGAGACAAACCCUAGGCACCCUCACACCACCUCCCCCGGUCUGGGUAUUCACACCGUGUGCACGGCCACAUCCCGUCCGUGCCCGAGCUUGUCAUGUGAAAGGGUGUGCACAAAGAUCACAUACUACAAGCUUUUGCCGUCAGAUCGUCGCCCUCAGAUCGUGGCAGUGGUUCGUCUGCAUUGGCCAGGCAUGUAGCCUGCAUAGCGGACGCCCUUUCUCUGACCUCGGAUGAGGACGGGGAUUUAUGCUCGAAUGUGGCUAGGUGAUACAUCACCGUCGUAUCUAUAAUUUUUUAUUGUUUCAUGACAAUGUUUUACAACUUUCAUAUACUUUUGGCAACAUUUUAUAUCAUUUUUUGGAACUAACAUACUGAUCCAAUGCCAGUUCCUAUUUGUUGCAUGUUUUUUGUUUCGCAGAAAAUCCAUAUCAAACGGAGUCCAAACGCGAUAAAAAUUUAUGGAGAUUUUUUUUCGAAUAUAUGUGAUUUUUAGGAAGCGGAAUCAAAGCAAGACGAUGCCAGAGGGGCCCACAAGCCCUUGAGGCGCGCCCCCCUAACCAGGGCGCGGCCAAUGGACUUGUGGCCACCCCGAAGGUCGGUUGGAGGUGUCCUUUGGUCGCAUGGAAGCUUAUAUCCGGAUAAAAAAAACGUGUUAAUAUUUCAGCCCAAUCGGAGUUACGGAUCUCUGGAUAUUUAAGAAACGGUGAAAGGCCAGAAUCUGGGUCACGAAACAGAAGGGAGAGAGAGAGAGAGAGAGAGAGAGAGAGAGAGAGAGAUCCAAUUUCGGAGGGGCUCUCGCCCCUCCACCGCCCGCCGCCAUGGAGGCCAUGAACCAGAGGGGAAACCCUCCUCCCAUCUAGGGGAGAGGUCAAGGAAGAAGAAGGAGGAGGGGGCUCUCUCCCCUCACUCCCGGUGGCACCGGAACGCCGUCGGGGCAAUCAUCGUGUGACGGCAAUCUACACCAACACAUGUGUCAUCUUCCCCAACAUCUUCAUCACCUUCCCCCAUCUAUACAUUCAGCGGUCUAAUACGUCUCCAACGUAUCUAUAAUUUUUUACUGUUUCAUGCUAUUAUAUUAUCUGUUUUGGAUGUUUUAUAUGCAUUAAUAUGUUAUUUCAUAUUAUUUUUGGGACUAACCUAUUAACCUGGACCCCAAUGCCAGUUUCUGUUUUUUCCUUGUUUUCGAGCUUCGCACAAAAGGAAUACUAAACGGAGUCCAAACGGAAGAAAACUUCACGAUGAUUUUUCUUGGACUAGAAGACACCCAGGAAGACCCACGAGGCGACGACAAGGGUGGAGGGCGCGCCCAGGGGGUAGGGCGCGCCCCCUACCUUGUGGGACCCUCGGUGAUCCCCUGACCUAGAUCUUCCUUCUAUAUAUUUGUAAAUAUUCCCAAACCACCAGAAGCAUCCAUGAAAACACUUUUUCACCGCCACAACCUUUGAAGGAAAUAUGCCCUAGAGGCAAUAAUAAAGUUAUCAUUUAUUUCCUUAUUUCAUGAUAAUGUCUAUUAUUCAUGCUAGAAUUGUAUUAACCGGAAACAUAAUACAUGUGUGAAUACAUAGACAAACUGAGUGUCACUAGUAUGCCUCUACUUGACUAGCUCAUUAAUCAAAGAUGGUUAUGUUUCCUAGCCAUGGACAAAGAGUUGUCAUUUGAUUAACGGGAUCACAUCAUUGGAGAAUGAUGUGAUUGACUUGACCCAUUCCGUUAGCUUAGCCCUUGAUCAUUUAGUAUGUUGCUAUUGCUUUCUUCAUGACUUAUGCAUGUUCCUAUGACUAUGAGAUUAUGCAACUCCCGUUUACCGGAGGAACACUUUGUGUGCUACCAAACAUCACAACAUAACUGGGUGAUUAUAAAGGUGCUCUACAGGUGUCUCCAAAGGUACUUGUUGGGUUGGCGUAUUUCGAGAUUAGGAUUUGUCACUCCGAUUGUCGGAGAGGUAUCUCUGGGCCCACUCGGUAAUGCACAUCACUAUAAGCCUUGCAAGCAUUGUAACUAAUGAGUUAGUUGUGGGAUGGUGUAUUACGGAACGAGUAAAGAGACUUGCCGGUAACGAGAUUGAACUAGGUAUUAAGAUAUCGACGAUCGAAUCUCGGGCAAGUAACAUACCGAUGAUAAAGGGAACAACGUAUGUUGUUAUGUGGUUUGACCGAUAAAGAUCUUCGUAGAAUAUGUGGGAGCCAAUAUGAGCAUCCAGAUUCCGCUAUUGGUUAUUGACCAGAGACGUGUCUCGGUCAUGUCUACAUAGUUCUCGAACCCGUAGGGUCCGCACGCUUAAAGUUCGAUGACGGUUAUAUUAUGAGUUUAUGCGUUUUGAUGUACAGAAGGUAGUCCAGAGUCGCGGAUGAGAUCGGGGACAUGACUAGGAGUCUCGAAAUGGUCGAUAGGUAAAGAUCGCUAUAUUGGACGACUAUAUUCGGACUUCGGAAAGGUUCCGAGUGAUUCGGGUAUUUUGCGGAGUACCGUAGAGUUACGGGAAUUCGUAGUGGGCCUUAAUGGGCCAUACGGGAAAGGAGAGAAAGGCAUCAAAGGGUGGCCGCACCCCUCCCCAUGGACUGGUCCGAAUUGGACUAGGGAGGGGGCACCCCCUUCCUUCCUUCUCCUUCUCCCUUCCCUUUCUCCUACUCCAACUUGGAAGGGGGGAAUCCUACUCCCGGUGGGAGUAGGACUCCCCUAUGGCGCGCCCAAGAGAGGGCCGGCCCUCCCCUCCUCUACUCCUUUAUAUACGGGGGAGGGAGCACCCCAUGGAGACACAAAAAUCGAUCCCUUGGAUCUCUUAGCCGUGUGCGGUGCCCCCUCCACCAUAAUCCACCUCGAUAAUAUCGUAGCGGUGCUUAGGCGAAGCCCUGCAUCGGUAGAACAUCAUCAUCGUCACCAUGCCGUCGUGCUGACGGAACUCUCCCUCAAAGCUCGGCUGGAUCAGAGUUCGAGGGACGUCAUCGAGUUGAACGUGUGCUGAACUCGGAGGUGCCGUGCGUUCGGUACUUGAUCGGUCAGAUCAUGAAGACGUACGACUACAUCAAACGCGUUGUGCUAAUGCUUCCGCUUUCGGUCUACAAGGGUACGUGGACACACUCUCCCCUCUCGUUGCUAUGCAUCACCAUGAUCCUGUGUGUGCGUAGGAUUUUUUUUUGAAAUUACUACGUUACCCAACAGUGGCAUCAGAGCCUGGUUUUAUGCGUAGAUGUUAUAUGCAUGAGUAGAACACAAGUGAGUUGUGGGCGAUACAAGUCAUACUGCUUACCAUCAUGUCAUACUUUGGUUCGGCGGUAUUGUUGGAUGAAGCGGUCCGGACCGACCUUACGCGUACGCUUACGCGAGACUGGUUCUACCAACGUGCUUUGCGCAUAGGUGGCUGGCGGGUGUCAGUUUCUCCAAACUUUAGUUGAACUGAGUGUGGCUACGCCUGGUCCUUGAGAAGGUUAAAACAUCACUAACUUGACAAACUAUCGUCGUGGUUUUGAUGCGUAGGUAAGAACGAUUCUUGCUCAGCCCAUAGCAGCCACGUAAAACUUGCAACAACAAAGUAGAGGACGUCUAACUUGUUUUUGCAGGGCAUGUUGUGAUGUGAUAUGGUCAAGACGUGAUGCUAUAUUUUAUUGUAUGAGAUGAUCAUGUUUUGUAACCAAGUUAUCGGCAACUGGCAGGAGCCAUAUGGUUGUCGCUUUAUUGUAUGCAAUGCAAUCGCCCUGUAAUUGCUUUACUUUAUCACUGAGCGGUAGCGAUAGUCGUAGAAGCAAUAGUCGGCAAGACAGCAACGAUGCUACGAUGGAGAUAAGGGUGUCGCACCGGUGACAAUGGUGGUCAUGACGAUGCUUCGGAGAUGGAGAUCACAAGCACAAGAUGAUGAUGGCCAUAUCAUAUCACUUAUAUUGAUUGCAUGUGAUGCUUAUCCUUUAUGCAUCUUAUUUUGCUUGAUUGACGGUAGCAUUAUAAGAUGAUCUCUCACUAAAUUUCAAGGUAUAAGUGUUCUCCCUGAGUAUGCACCGUUGCCAAAGUUCGUCGUGCCCAGACACCAUGUGAUGAUCGAGUGUGAUAAGCUCUACGUCCAUCUACAACGGGUGCAAGCCAGUUUUGCACACGCAGAAUACUCAGGUUAAACUUGACGAGCCUAGCAUAUGCAGAUAUGGCCUCGGAACACUGAGACCGAAAGGUCGAGCGUGAAUCAUAUAGUAGAUAUGAUCAACAUUGUGAUGUUCACCAUUGAAAACUAAUCCAUUUCACGUGAUGAUCGGUUAUGGUUUAGUUGAUUUGGAUCACGUGAUCACUUAGAUGAUUAGAGGGAUGUCUAUCUAAGUGGGAGUUCUUAAAGUAAUAUGAUUAAUUGAACUUUAAUUUAUCAUGAACUUAGUCCUGAUAGUAUUUUGCAUGUCUAUGUUGUUGUAGAUCAAUAGCUUGCAUUAUUGCUUCCCUAUAUUUUUAUAUAUGUUCCUAGAGAAAACUAUGUUGAAAAAUGAUAGUGGCAAUGAUACAGACUAGGUCCAUGAUCUGAGGUGUAUCCUCAUUGCUGCACAGAAGAAUUAUGUCCUUGAUGCACCGCUAGGUGACAGACCUAUUGCAGGAGCAGAUGCAGACGUUAUGAAUGUUUGGCUAGCUCAAUAUGAUGACUACCUGAUAGUUUAGUGCACCAUGCUUAACGGCUUAGAAUAGGGACUUCAAAGACGUUUUGAACGUCAUGGACCAUAUGAGAUGUUCCAGGAGUUGAAGUUAAUAUUUCAAGCAAAUACCCGAGUUGGGAGAUAUGAAGUCUCCAACAAGUUCUAUAGCUAAAAGAUGGAGUAGAGUUGCUCAACUAGUGAGCAAGUGCUUAGAUUGUCUAAGUACUACAAUCGCUUGAAUCAUGUGGGCGUUAAUCUUCCAGAUAAGAUAGUGAUUGGUAGAGUUCUCUAGUCACCAUCACCAAGUUACUGGAACUUCAUGAUGAACUAUAAUGCAAGGGAUGACAAAAAUGAUUCCCGAGCUCUUCGUGAUGCUGAAAUCGACGAUGGUAGAAAUCAAGAAAAGAGCAUCAAGUGUUGAUGAUUGAUAAGACCACUAGUUUCAAGAAAAGGGCAAAGGAAAAGAAAGGGAACUUCAAGUAGAAUGGCAAGCAAGUUGUCACUCCCGUGAAGAAGCCCAAAGCUGGACCAAAGCCUGAAACUAAGUGCUUCUACUGCAAAGGAAAUGGUCACUGGAAGCAGAAAUGCCCUGAAUAUUUGGUGGAUAAGAAGGAUGGCAAAGUGAACAAGGGUAUAUUUGAUAUACAAGUUAUUUAUGUGUACCUUACUAGUGUUUAUAGUAGGCCCUGAGUAUUUGAUACUUGUUCGGUUGCUAAGAUUAGUAACUCGAAAUAGGAGUUAUAGAAUAAACAGAGACUAGUUGAGGGUGAAGUAACGAUGUGUGUUGGAAGUGGUUCCAAGAUUGAUAUGAUCAUCAUCGUACACUCCCUAUAAUUUCGAGAUUAGUGUUGAACCUAAAUAAAUGUUAUUUGGUGUUUGCGUUGAGCAUAAAUAUGAUUAGAUCAUGUUUAUUGCGACACGAUUAUUCAUCUAAGACAGAGAAUAAAUUUUUAUUUUGUUUACACGAAUAAAACCUUCUAUGGUCAUACACCCAAUGUUGAUGGUUUAUUGAAUCUUGAUCAUGGUGAUACACAUAUAAUAUUGAUGCCAAAAGAUGCAAAGUUGAUAAUGAUAGUGCAACAUAUUUGUGGCACUGCCGUUUGGGUCAUAUCAGUGUAAAGCGCAUGAAGAAACUCCAUAAAGAUGGAUUCUUUGAAUCAUUUGAUUAUGAAUCAUUUGAUGCUUGCGAACCGUGCCUUAUGGGCAAGAUGACUAAAACUCCGUUCUCCGGAACAAUGGAACAAGCUAGUGACUUAUCAGAAAUAAUACAUAUUGAUGUAUGCGAUCCAAUGAGUAUUGAUGCUCGUGGCGGGUAUCGUUAUUUUCUGACCUUCACAAGAUGAUUUGAGCAGAUAUGAGUAUAUCUACUUAAUGAAACACAAGUCUGAAACAUUUGAAAAGUUCAAAGAAUUUCAGAGUGAAGUGGAGAAUCAUCGUAACAAGGAAAUAAAGUUUCUACGAUCUGAUCAUGGAGGAGAAUAUUUGAGUUACGAGUUUGGCCUUCAUAUAAAACAAUGCGGAAUAGUUUCACAGUUCACACCACCUGGAACACCACAACAUUAUGGUGUGUCCGAAUGUCAUAACCGCACUUUAUUGGAUAUUGUGCGACGUAUGAUGUCUCUUAUCGGUUUACCACUAUCGUUCUGGGGUUAUGCAUUAGAGACAGUUGCAUUCACUUUAAAUAGGGCACCAUCGAAAUCCAUUGAGAUGACGGCUUAUGAACUAUGGUCUGGCAAGAAACUAAAGUUGUCGUUUCUUAAGGUUUGGGGCUGCGAUGCUUAUGUGAAAAAGUUUCAACCUGAUAAGCUCGAACCUAAAUCGGAGAAGUGCGUCUUCAUAGAAUACCCAAAGGAAACUGUUGGGUAGACCUAUUCGAAGGCAAGAUAUUCGUUGCUAAGAUGGAUCCUUUCUAGAGAAGGAGUUUCUAUUGAAAGAAGUGAGUGGGAGGAAAGUAGAACUUGAUGAGGUAAUUGUACCUUCUCCCUUAUUGGAAAGUAGUUCAUCACAGAAGACAGUUCCAGUGAUUCCUACACCAAUUAGUGAGGAAGUUAAUGAUGAUGAUCAUGAAACUUCAGAUCAAGUUGCUACCGAACCUCGUAGGUCUUCCAGAAUAAGAUCCGCACCAGAGUGGUACGGUAAUCUUGUUCUGGAAGUCAUGUUACUAGACCAUGAUGAACCUACGAACUAUGAGGAAGCGAUGAUGAGCCUAGAUUCCGCGAAAUGGCUUGAGGCCAUGAAAUCUGAGAUGGGAUCCAUGUAUGAGAACAAAGUGUGGAAUUUGGUUGACUUGCUCGAUGAUCAGCAAGCCAAGUUAAAUAAAUGGAUCUUCAAGAGGAAGAUGGACACUGAUAGUAGUGUUACUAUCUACAAAGCUCGACUUGUUGCGAAAGGAUUUUGACAAGUUCAAAGUGUUGAAUACGAUGAGAUUUUCUCACUCGUAAUGAUGCUUAAGUCUGUCUGAAUCAUGUUAGCAAUUGCCACAUUUUAUGAAAUCUGGCAAAUGGAUGUCAAAAUUGCAUUCCUUAAAUAGAUAUUUCUUAAAGAAGUGUUGUAUAUGAUACAACCAAAAGGUUUUGUCAAUCCUAAAGGUGCUAACAAAAUGUGCAAGCUCCAGCGAUCCAUCAAUGGACUGGUGCAAGCAUCUCGGAGUUGGAAUAUACGCUUUGAUGAAUUGAUCAAAGCAUAUGGUUUUAUACAGACUUUUGGAAAGACCUGUAUUUACAAGAAAGUGAGUGGGAGCACUACAGCCUUUCUGAUAAGUAUAUGUGAAUGACAUAUUGUUGAUCAGAAAUAAUGUAGAACUUUCUAGAAAGCAUAAAGGAGUGUUUGAAAGGAGUUUUUUAAAAGAAAGACCUCGGUGAAGCUGCUUGCAUAUUGAGCAUCAAGAUCUAUUGAGAUAGAUCAAGACGCUUGAUAAGAUUUUUCAAUGAGUACAUACCUUGAUAAGAUUUUGAAGUAGUUCAAAAUGGAACAGUCAAAGAAAGAGUUCUUGCCUGUGAUGCAAAGGUGUGAAGUUGAGUAAGACUUAAAACCCAACCAAGGCAGAAAAUAGAAAGAGAAUGAAAAGGUCAUUCUCUAUGCCUCAGUCAUAGGUUCUAUAAAGUAUGCUAUGUUGUGUACCAAAAUUGUUGUAUACCUUGCUCUGAGUUUGGCAAAGGAAUACAAUUUUGAUCUAAGAGUAGAUCACUGGACAGCGGUCAUGAAUAUCCUUAGUAAGGACCAAGGAGAUGUUUCUCGAUUAUGGAGGUGAUAAAAGAGUUCGUCGUAAAGAGUUACAUCGAUGCAAGCUUUUACACCGAUCCAGAUGACUCUAAGUCUCAAUCUGGAUACAUAUUGAAAGUGGGAGCAAUUAGCUAGAGUAGCUCCGUGCAGAGCAUUAUAGACAUAGAAUAUUUGCAAAAUACAUACGACUCUGAAUGUGACAGACCCGUUGACUAAACUUCUCUCACAAGCAAAACAUGAUCAUACCUUAGUACUCUUUGGGUGUUAAUCACAUAGCGAUGUGAACUAGAUUAUUGACUCUAGUGAACCCUUCGAGUGUUGGUCACAUGACGAUGUGAACUAUGGGUGUUAAUCACAUACUGAUGUGAAUAUUGGUGUUGAAUCACAUGAUGAUGUGAACUAGAUUAUUGACUCUAGUGCAAGUGGGAGACUGAAGGAAAUAUGCCCUAGAGGCAAUAAUAAAGUUAUUAUUUAUUUCCUUAUUUCAUGAUAAAUGUUUAUUAUUCAUGCUAGAAUUGUAUUAACCGGAAACAUGAUACAUGUGUGAAUACAUAGACAAACUGAGUGUCACUAGUAUGCCUCUACUUGACUAGCUCAUUAAUCAGAUAUGGUUAUGUUUCCUAGCCAUGGACAAAGAGUUGUCAUUUGAUUAAGGGAUCACUUCAUUGGAGAAUGAUGUGAUUGACUUGACCCAUUCCGUUAGCUUACCACUUGAUCGCUUAGUAUGUUGAUAUUGCUUCCUUCAUGACUUAUACAUGUUCCUAUGACUAUGAGAUUAUGCAACUCCCGUUUACCAGAGGAACACUUUGUGUGCUACCAAAUGUCACAACGUAACUGGGUGAUUAUAAAGGUGCUCUACAGGUGUCUCUGAAGGUACUUGUUGGGUUGGCGUAUUUCGAGAUUAGGAUUUGUCACUCCGAUUGUCAGAGAGGUAUCUCUGGGCAAACUCGGUAAUGCACAUCACUAUAAGACUUACAAGCAUUGUAACUAAUGAGUUAGUUGUGGGAUGGUGUAUUACGGAACGAGUAAAGAGACUUGCCGGUAACAAGAUUGAACUAGGUAUUGAGAUACCGACGAUCGAAUCUCGGGCAAGUAACAUACCGAUGACAAAGGGAACAACGUAUGUUGUUAUGUGGUUUGACCGAUAAAGAUCUUCGUAGAAUAUGUGGGAGCCAAUAUGAGCAUCCAGAUUCCGCUAUUGGUUAUUGACUAGAGACGUGUCUCGGUCAUGUCUACAUAGUUCUCGAACCCAUAGGGUCUGCACGCUUAAAGUUCGAUGAUGGUUAUAUUAUGAGUUUAUGUGUUUUGAUGUACCGAAGGUAGUCCAGAGUCCCGAAUGAGAUCGGGGACAUGACUAGGAGUCUCGAAAUGGUCAAAACGUAAAGAUCGAUAUAUUGUACGACUAUAUUCGGACUUCGGAAAGGUUCCGAGUGAUUCGGGUAUUUUGCGGAGUACCAGAGAGUUACGGGAAUUCGUAGUGGGCCUUAAUGGGCCAUACGAGAAAGGAGAAAAAGGCCUCAAAAGGUGGCCGCACCCCUCCCCAUGGACUGGUCCGAAUUGGACUAGGGAGGGGGGCGUCCCCUUCCUUCCUUCUCCUUCUGCCUUCCCUUUCUCCUACUCCAACUUGGAAGGGGGGGGGGAAUCCUACUCCCGGUGGGAGUAGGACUCACCUAUGGUGCGCCCAAGAGAGGGCCGUCCCUCCCCUCCUCUACUCCUUUAUAUACGGGGGAGGGGGCACCCCAUGGAGACACAACAAUUGAUCCCUUGGGUCUCUUAGCCGUGUGCGGUGCCCCCUCCACCAUAAUCCACCUCGAUAAUAUCGUAGCAGUGCUUAUGUGAAGCCCUGCGAUGGUAAAACAUCAUCAUCGUCACCACACCGUCGUGCUAACGGAACUCUCCCUCAAAGCUCGGCUGGAUCGGAGUUCGAGGGACGUCAUCGAGUUGAACGUGUGCUGAACUCAGAGGUGUCGUGCGUUCGGUACUUGAUCAGUCAGAUCGUGAAGACGUACGACUACAUCAACCGCGGUGUGCUAAUGCUUCUGCUUUCGGUCUACGAGGAUACGUGGACACACUCUCCCCUCUCAUUGCUAUGCAUCACCAUGAUCCUGUGUGUGCGUAGGAUUUUUUUUGAAAUUACUAUGUUACCCAACAACCUUCUGUUCCCGUGAGAUCCCAUCUUGGGGCCUUUUCCAGCACCCUGCUAGAGGGGUUUUGAUCAUGGAGGGCAUCUACAUUAACUGUAUUGCCCUUCCGAUGAAGCGUGAGUAGUCCACCACAGACCUAUGGGUCCAUAGCUAGUACCUAGAUGGCUUCUUCUAUCUCUUUAAUUCUCAAUACCAUGUUCUCCUCGAUGUUCUUGAAGAUCUCUCUGAUGUAAUCUUAUUUUGUAGUGUGUUUGUCGAGAUCUGAUGGAUUGCGGAUUUAUGAUCAGCGUAUCUAUGAAUAUUAUUUGAAUCUCCUCUGAAUUCUUAUAUGCAUGAUUUGGUAUAUUUGUAUUUCUCUUCAAAUUAUCGAUUUGGUUUGGCCAACUAGAUUGGUUUUUCUUGCAAUGGGAGAGGUGCUUAGCUUUGGGUUCAAUCUUGUGUGAUUUCACCCAGUGACAAAGUAGGGGUAGCGAGACACGUAUUGCAUUGUUGCCAUCGAGGAUAAAAGCAUGGGGUUUACAUUAUUGCUUGAGUUUAUUCCUCUACAUCAUGUCAUCUUACUUAAUGUGUUACUCUGUUAUUUAUGAACUUAAUACUCUAGAUGCAUGCAGGAGUCGGUCGAUGUGUGGAAUAAUAGUAGUAGAUGCAGGCAGGAGUCGGUCUACUUGAUACGGGCGUGAUGUCUAUAUUGCAUAAUCAUUGCCUUGGAUAUCAUCAUAACUUUUCCCUUUUCUAUCGAUUGCUCGACAGUAAUUUGUUCACCCACCAUAUUAUUUGCCUUCAAGAGAGCAGCCUCUAGUGAAACCUAUGGGCCCCGGGUCUAUUUUCCAUCAUAUUAGUUUCCGAUCUACUAUUUUGCAAUCUUUUACUUUCAGAUCUAUAAAUCAAAAACCCAAAAAUAUUUUAUCUUUUGUUUAUCUAUCUCUAUGAGAUCUCGCUUUUGCAAGUGACCGUGAAGGGAUUGACACCCCAUUUCUCGCGUUGGGUCCAAGUGUUUGAUUGUUUGUGCAGGUAUUGGUGAUUUGCGCGUUCUUCUCCUACUGGAUUGAUACCUUGGUUCUCAAACUGAGGGAAAUACUUAUCUCUACCUUGCUGCAUCACCCUUUCCUCUUCAAGGGAAAAACAACGGAAGCUCAAGAAUUAGCACGACCCACUCUCCUGUAGCCCGUUGUACUCUCUACCUGAUCAUGGUGCUUUAUGCUUCAUACUAUUAUCCAAUGAUAUGUUGCCAUCCUAUCAUGCUUGAGUAGAUUUUUGUUGUCCUAUCAGUGAUUGGUGAAUUGCCAUGAUUGGUUUAAUUUGCUUGUGGUUAUUAUGAUGUACUUUAGUGCCCAUCAUACGAGCGCGCGUGUGGAUCACACCAUAGGGUUAAUUCUAUGUUGAUAGGACUAUGUAUUCGAGGGCAAGGGUGACAGCAGCUUCAGCCUAGCAUAGAAAUUGAUGCAUACGAGAUUGAAGGGGGACCAAUAUAUCUUAAUGAUAUGGUUGGGUUUUACCUUAAUGAACAUUAUUAGUUGCGGAUGCUUGCUAAUAAUUCCAAUCAUAAGUGCAUAGAAUUCCAUGUAAAGGAUGACAUGCUAGCAGUGGCCUCUCCCACAUAAAAACUUGCUAUCGGUCUAGUAACAUAGUCAAUUGCUUAGGGACAAUUCCGCAACUCCUACCACCACUUUUCCAGACUUGCUAUACUAACUUAAUUGUUUAUUUAUCUAAAUAGUCCCUAGUUCUUACCUACAUGCUCUUUAUUAUCUUGCAAAACUAUCCCACAACACCUACAAAGUACUUCUAGUUUCAUACUUGUUCUAGGUAAAGCGAACGUCAAACGUGUGUAGAGUUGUAUCAGUGGUUGAUAAAACUUGAGGGAAUAUUUGUUCUACCUUUUAGCUUCUCAUUGGGUUUGACACUCUUACUUAUCGAAAGAGGCUACAACUGAUCCCCUAUACUUAAGGGUUAUCACUAGGCUAUCUCGUUGGUCCCAAUGGUUGACCACACCUGCCCUAGGUUUGCGGUAGUCGUUCCGCCUCAUCAUGGAUGAGAAGCACCUCAUGGUAGAGGUGGAGCUUGAGGCAGAACGAGCAGGCACUAUCGCUCUCACCAAGCUCUGCGUCGACCCGGUCUUCAUUGCUGAAAAUCGCGCCAUCUCGAGUCCAUUAAGGAUGAACAGGUGGUGUCAGGCUAUCAAUGAACCGUUGCACGAUCUUCAUCCAUGAUGGAGAGCAAUAAGAGACCUUUGUGGAUGAGGAUGAGGACGAUGAGGGCGAGCAGGUGCCUCCCACCACUGAGAAAUUAUGUAGGGCCUACUUUCUCUGCAUGUUCCAUAGUCCCUAUCCUCCCCCACUGCCCAAGUACAACAUGCUAGCCCAUGAAUCUUGUUUGACGCCUUACAUGUUUCAAAAAAAGAUUGUCAUGGCAUGCACAAUGAGUGAAUAAUGUCAAUAAACAUGAUGACAUGCCCCAUCUCUUGCCAAGUUGUUGUUGUGCCAAUGGUAGCAUCAAUAAAUGCAUCAAAAGAAAAAGGCAGUUGCCCCCGCUUUGCCCCCAGGGGCGACACGGGCGGAUCCUCAGUCUCGCCGCCACUAAUACCACUCCAACGUAUCUAUAAUUUUUAAUUGUUCCAUGCUAUUAUAUUAUCCAUAUUGGAUGUUUUAUAUGCAUUUAUAUGCUAUUUUAUAUUAUUUUUGGGACUAACCUAUUAACCUAGAGCCCAGUACCAGUUUCUGUUUUCCCCUUGUUUUUGAGUUUUGCAGAAAAGGAAUAUCAAACGGAGUCCAAAGGAGCUAAAAAUUUAUGGUGAUUUUUUAUGGACCAAAAGAAGCCCCCGAAGCAAAAUAGUUGGGCCAGAAGAGUCCCGAGUCAACGACAAGGGUGGAGGGCGCGCCCACCUCCCUAGGGCACCCCCUGCCUUGUCGCUGACUCAUGGACCCCCCUAACGUGAAACCGGCGCAAAAAAUUCCUAUAAAUCCAUAAACCCCCAGAAAGAAAACUAGUUUGGGAGUUCCGCCUCCGCAAGCCUCUGUAGCCACGGAAAACCAAUCAGGCGCCCGUUCCGGCACCCUGCCGGAGGGGGAAUCCAUCACCGGCGGCCAUCUUCAUCAUCCUAGUGCUCUCCGUGACGAGGAGGGAGUAGUUCACCCUCAGGGCUGAGUGUAUGUACCAGUAGAUAUGUGUUUGAUCUCUCUCUCUCUCUCUCUCUCUCUCUCUCUCGUGUUCUUGAUUUGGCACGAUCUUGACGUACCGCGAGCUUUGUUAUUAUAGUUGGAUCUUAUGGUGUUCUUCCCUCUCUACCUUGUGAUGAAUUGAAUCUCUUCCUUUGAGGUUUUGUUAUGUCGGAUUGAAUCUUUGGAUGUGAGAGCACUUGGUGUAUGUCUUGCGAUGGGAUAUCCGUGUUGACAAUGGGAUGUUCUAUUGAUCCACUUCAUGUAUAUUUUGGUUAUCAAAUUGCGGAUUCCUGUGGUGACAUUGGGGUAAUAUAUGCAUAGGGGUUGGUACACGUUUUCAUAUUCCUUUCUCCGAUAGAAAUCUUGGGAUACUUUUGAAGUUCUUUGUGUUGGAUUGAAUAUUAUGAAUCUGAAGUUGUUUGAUGCAUAUCAUAUAAUUGACCCACGAAUACGUGUGGUGACAUUGGAGUAUCUAGAUGACAUUAGGGUUGAUUGAUGUGUGUCAUGUGGUGUUAUUUUAGUAUGAACUCUAGGGCUGUUUGUGGCACUUAUAAGAAUAGCCCAAAGAUCGACCAGAAAGAAUAACUUUGAGGUGGUUUCGUACCCUACAAGCAAUUUCAUCUUAUGUUCUCCGUGAUAGGAGCUUUGGAGUGAUUCUUCGUUGCACGUUGAGGGAUUGUCAUAUGAUCUAAUUAUGUUAUCAUUGUUGAGAGAACUUGCACUAGUGAAAGUAUGAACCCUAGGCCUUGUUUCCAAGCAUUGCAAUACCGUUUUUGCUCACUUUUAUUACUAACCUUGCGGUUUUUUAUUUUCAUAUUACAAAGACCUAUAUCUACCAUCCAUAUUGCACUAGUAUCACCAUCUCUUCUCCGAACUAGUGCACAUAUACAAUUUACCAUUGUAUUGGGUGUGUUGGGACACAAGAGACUCUCUGUUAUUUGAUUGCAGGGUUGUUUGAGAGAGACCAUAUUCAUAAUAUGCCUCCCACGGAUUGAUAAACCUUAGGUAAUCCUCUUGAGGGAAAUUUGCUACUGUCCUACAAAACUCUGUGCUUGGAGGCCCAACACGAGUCUACAAGAAGUAGGUUGCGUAGUACUCCCUCCGUUCCUAAAUAUAAGUCUUUGGAGAGAUUCCACUAUGAACCACAUACGAAUGUAUAUAGAUGCAUUUUAGAGUGUAGAUUCACUCAUUUUGCUUCGUAUGUAGUCCAUAGUGAAAUCUCUACAAAGACUUAUAUUUAGGAACGGAGGGAAUAGACACCAAGCUCUUUUCUAGCGCCAUUGCUAGGGAGGUGAGUGCUUGAAGGUAUAUCUUGAGAUCUUGUAAUCGAAUCUUUUCGUUUCUUGUUUUAUCACUAGUUUAAUCUAUAAAAGAAAACUAAAAAAUUGAAUUAAGGUUGCCUCACAUGCUUCAUCUUUUUAAUGUCUUUCAUGAAAAUGAUGGAAUGGAAAAUUGUGCUCAAGUGUUAGAGGAAGAAGUCAAUAGAUUGUUUGGCACUAAAUCUUUGUAUGAUGAGCAUGAUUGCAAUGUUGUUAGUAUGAGUUCCUUGAAUAUCCAUGAUGCUAACGAUAUGCAAAGCUACAAGCUUGGGGAUGCUAUGUUUGAUGAAUAUGAUAUUUUUAGUCCCCCAAGUUUUGAUGAGAAUAUUUAUUAUGAUGAAAGCAUGACUCCUAUUUAUGAUGAUUAUAUUGAUGAAAGUGGGUUUGGAAGAGUGUCAACUUUAGUAAGUAAUGAUCCCACUAUUUUGGAGGGUGUUGAAUCUUAUUAUAAUGAUAAAAGUGGAUUUGGAGAGGCCAUGACUUUAUUUAGUGAUGAAUCCACUAUUUCGGAAGAGGUUCCAAUUGAUUAUGAGAACAAAAGUUGCUAUAUAUGAUGAUUAUUGUGAUGACAUGUAUGCUAUAAAGAAUGAUGAUAAUCAUGAAACUUGUCAUCUUGAUUUUAAUUUUCAAUUGGAUUAUGCCUCACAUGAUAGUUAUUUUGUUGAGUUUGCUCCCACUACUAUUGAUGAGAAGAAAUUUGCUUAUGUGGAGAGUAAUAAAAUAUCUAUGCUUGUAGAUCAUGAAAAGAAUGAUCUGUGUGGUGGUUAUAUUGUUGAGUUCAUUCAUGAUGCCACUAAAAAUUAUUAUGAGGGAGGAAUAUAUGCUUGUAAGAAUUGCGGUAAUAUCAACUUUCCUCUCUAUGUGUUGAAAUUCUUAAAGUUAUGCUUGUUUUGCCUUCCUAUGCUAGUUGAUUCUUGCUCCCAUAAAUUGUUUGCUCACAAAAUCCCUAUGCAUAGGAAGUGGGUGGGACUUAAAUGUGCUAGUCAUAUGCUUCACGAUGCUCCUGUUAUGUUUCAAUUCUUAUCUUUCAUGUGAGCAUCAUUGAAAUAAUCAUGCCUAGCUAGAAAGGCAUUAACAAAAAGCGCUUGUUGGGAGGCAACCCAAUAUUUACCCCUACUGUUUUUGUGUGUUCGUAUGAUUAUGUUACUGUAUUAAUCAUGUUUUAUAGCUUUUGUUUCAAUAAAGGGCCAAGUAAAGCCUUUGGGAUAGUGUGGAUGAUAGUUGACUUGAUUCUGUGCAAAAACAGAAACUUUUGCUCUCAGUCCAGGAAUUUUGAAAAUUCACUAGAAUGUGCUUUUGAUAUGAAUUUUCUACACAUUAAUGAUAUACAAAUUUUCUAUGUUGUUCUAAUUUUUCAGAAUCUUUGGAGAUACAGAAGUAUACGAAGUUUCCUGAUUACUACAGACUGUUCUGUUUUAAACAGAUUCUGUUUUCUAUGUGUUGUUUGCUUAUUUUGAUGAAUCUAUGAGUAGUAUCAGAGGGUAUGAACCAUGGAUAAGUUGGAAUACAGUAUAUAUAACACCAAUACGAAUUUAGAAUGAGUUCACAACAGUACCUAAGUGGUGAUUUAUUUUCUUAUACUAACGGAGCUCAUAAGAUUUUCUGUUGAGUUUUGUGUUGUGAAGUUUUCAAGUUUUGGGUAAAGUUUCAAUGGACUACGGAAUAAGGAGUGGCAAGAGCCUAAGCUUGGGGAUGUCCAAGGCACCCCAAGGUAAUAUUCAAGGAAGAUCCAAGCAACUAAGCUUGGGGAUGCCCCGGAUGGCAUCCCCUCUUUCGUCUUCGUUCAUCGGUAACCUUACUUGAGGCUAUAUUUUUAUCCACCACAUGAUAUGUGUUUUGCUUGGAGCAUCAUUUUCUUUUGUUUAUUUGCUUGUUGUUAUUCAGAGACAUGUUUUAUAUCUUUUAGUUCAAUAAAAAGGUCAAGUAUAGCCUUUACCAUGCUUAUUUUACAAGUCUAUAUGUUGCUGUUUGAAAAUAGAAAGUUUGAUGUUAUGUUUUGAAUAUUGGUGAAUAGUCAGAACAUGAUAAAAUCUUGAAAUUUUUACACAAUAAGGUACAACAAAUUUUCUAAAUUGUGGUAAUUUUUCAGAAUUUUUUGGAGUUCGGGAAGUAUGAUUCCUCUUGCAUUAUUUAUAGACUGUUCUGUUUAGACAGAUUGAUGUUAUGUUUGCAUUGUUUGCAUAUGUUUGCUUGUUAAUUAUUCUAUUUGAGGAUAGGAGUGUUGAAUAUGACGAGGCAUUUAGUAUGCAAUGUCAAAUUAUAAUUUUAGUGAUUCUCUACAGUAGAAAAUGAUAAGGUUUUGCAUUGAUUUAUACUAACUUAUCUCACGAGUUCUUGUUGAGUUUUGUGUGUAUGAAGUUUUUAAGAUUUAGGAAAACCGUGAUACAAGAGGAAUUAAGGAGGCACAAGAGCUCAAGCUUGGGGAUGCCCAAGGAAUCCCUAGUUAAUAUUUCAAGAAGUCUCAAGCAUCUAAGCUUGGGGAUGCCCCGGUUGGCAUCCCACCUUUCUUCUUCAACAAUGAUCGGUCAGUUUUGGUUGAGCCUAAGUUUUUGCUUCUUCACAUGAUAUGUGCUAUCCUUGCAAUGUCAUUUUAUUUUGUUUUGCUUGAUUUUUAAAUAAAAUACUUAAGAUCUAAAUUUUCUAAAUGGGAGAGAGUCUUCACAUAGCUAAAUAAUUGUUUGACUACUCAUUGAUCUUCACUUAUAUCUUUUUGGAGUAGUUUGUCAUUUACUCUUGUGCUUCACCUAUAUCCUAUGAGUAAAUGGUUGAAUGAAUUAGAUACCAUAAAUCUUAAUUUAUAUAUGUUUCAUAUGCUUAUACCGUGGGGAGUAAUGACUUCACUUAUAAGAAGUAGAGGUGGUAAAUUUAUUGAAAGUUAGCAAACAUAGUAUUGGUCAAUUGAACAAUUCAUCAAAGAAUAUUGAAGGAAGAGAGAUUUCACAUAUAAAUAUACUAUCUUGGACAUCUUCUAUGAUUGUGAGCCCCAUUAAUUAUUUUCAAACUUGAUCAAAUUAGUUGAAGUUGGACAAGGAAGACAACUUAAUGAGUUAUGUUUGGGUAUUUUUGUAUAGAAGUUAUAUUGCUAUGGAUCCUCCAACACGUGGUGCUUGAUUUUUAGAAUCUUUUGCUAGCCAAAUUUUUUGUACUAAGUAGAGUUACUACUUGUGCAUCCAAAAACCCUUAAACCAAGUUUCUUCCAUGAGUGUCCACCAUAUCUACUUAUAUGCGGUAUUUACCUACCGUUCCAAGUAAAUUUGCAUGUGCCAAUCUCUAAACCUUCAAAUAAUAAUAUGUUUUGUAUGCCCGAAUUGCUCAUGUAUCGACUAGGGGCUGUCAGUAUCUUCCAUGAUAGGUGGGUUAUUCUCACGAUGAGUGGACUCCGCUCAUCAUUCACAAGAAAAUGGUUGGUAACUGGGAUGCCCAGUUCCAUGCUCAAAUCAAAUCAAAUAUAAUUGCAAACAAAACUCCCCCAGUAUUGUUGAUAGUUGGACGAUACCCAUUGUUUUGGACCAGCCGUGGAAUGUGCUUGUUGGUGGUGGGGGAGUAAAAACUUUACCAUUCUGUUUGGGAACCGCCUAUAAUGUGUCUAGCAUGGAAGAUAACUCUUGGUCGUUAUGUUGACAAUGAAAGCAUACCUCUCAAAAUUGUUUUCAUCUCUGUUUUAAAAGCUUCAAGCUCUGGCACCUCUACAAGUUCAUGCUUCCCUCUAUGAAGGGCCUAUCUUUUACUUUUAUGCAAGAGUUAGUGGUAUUCCUUCUCAUUCCAACCUACUCUUUAGUUGGCAAGCACCAUGUGAUGGGGAAAGAUCUAAGCAUAUAUGGCCAUUCAAAUAUAUUUGAUCAUGAAUUAUUAUUGUUGACAAUUAUCUAUAUGAUAAAUAAGUUGGGAGGCGAAACAUUAAGCCCCUAUCUUUCUCUAUGUUCAAUGGAUGCUAUUUGUUCUAAAAAUAUGCUUUGAGUGGUAGCAACCAUGGAAGACUAUAUAGUUGAGUAUGUGGGAUUUGCUAAAUCAAAGCUCUUACAUAGACCCUUCCUGAAAAUAAGAUGAAUUGCAAUUGUUUGAUGACUGAGAGCAUAAUUUGUUAGUUUUCAAGAAAGUUUAUGGUCUAUGCUUUAACAUGUGAAUAGCUUGUUACUUGAUCAUGGGAAGCUUUAUGCUAUGAGCUACUGUUACGAUAUACAAUGAUGCUAGAAAAAGUGAUUAAAAUUAUCUUUGAUCAAACUUGUGCACUUGCUAGCAUUCCAUAUGAAAAAUUCUUUUUUUACCAUUUACCUACUCGAGGACGAGCAGGAAUUAAGCUUGGGGAUGCUUGAUACGUCUCCAACGUAUCUAUAAUUUUUUAUUGUUCCAUGCUAUUAUAUUAUCCAUCUUGGAUGUUUUAUAUGCAUUUAUAUGCUAUUUUAUAUUAUUUUCAAGACUAACCUAUUAACCUAGAGCCUUGUGCCAGUUUAUAUUUUUUCCUUAUUUUUGAGUUUUGCAGAAAAGGAAUAUCAAACGGAGUCCAAACGAGCUGAAAAUUUAUGGUAAUUUUUUAUGGACCAGAAGAAGCCCCCGAAGCAAAAGAGUUCGACCAGAAGUGUCCCGAGUCAAUGACAAGGGUGGAGGGCAUGCCCACCCCCCCCCUAGGGCACGCCCCCUUCCUUGUCGCUGACUCGUGGAGCCCCCCNNNNNNNNNNNNNNNNNNNNNNNNNNNNNNNNNNNNNNNNNNNNNNNNNNNNNNNNNNNNNNNNNNNNNNNNNNNNNNNNNNNNNNNNNNNNNNNNNNNNNNNNNNNNNNNNNNNNNNNNNNNNNNNNNNNNNNNNNNNNNNNNNNNNNNNNNNNNNNNNNNNNNNNNNNNNNNNNNNNNNNNNNNNNNNNNNNNNNNNNNNNNNNNNNNNNNNNNNNNNNNNNNNNNNNNNNNNNNNNNNNNNNNNNNNNNNNNNNNNNNNNNNNNNNNNNNNNNNNNNNNNNNNNNNNNNNNNNNNNNNNNNNNNNNNNNNNNNNNNNNNNNNGGGGGGGGAUCCAGCACCGAUGGCCAUCUUCAUCAUCCCGGUGCUCUCCAUGACAAGGAGGGAGUAGCUCACCCUCGGGGCUGAGGGUAUGUGCCAAUAGCUAUGUGUUUGAUCUCUCUCUCUCUCUCGUGUUCUUGAUUUGGCACGAUCUUGAUGUACCGCGAGCUUUGUUAUUAUAGUUGGAUCUUAUGGUGUUCUUCCCUCUCUACCUUGUGAUGAAUUGAAUCUUUUCCUUUGAGGUUUUUUUAUGUCGGAUUGAAUCUUUGGAUGUGAGAGCACUUGAUGUAUGUCUUGCGAUGGGAUAUCUGUGGUGACAAUGGGAUGUUCUGUUGAUCCACUUGAUGAAUGUUUGGGUUAGCAACUUGUGGAUUCCGAUGGUGACAUUGGGGUAAUCUAUGCAUAGGGGUUGGUGAUAUGUCUCCAAUGUAUCUAUAGUUUUUGAUUGUUCCAUGUUGUUAUAUUAUCAUUCUUGGAUGUUUUACAAUCAUUUUAUAGUAAUUUUAUAUCUUUUUUUGGGUACUAACCCAUUGACAUAGUGCCCAGUGCCAGUUGAUGUUUUCUUCUUGUUUUUACAUCGCAGGAAAUCAAUACCAAAGGGAGUCCAAACACAGCGAAAUUUUUGUGGAUUUUUUCUGGACCAGAAGACACCGCAUGGGCCAAGAAAGUACCUGAGGGGAGCUAUGAGGGGAGCACAACCCACUAGGGCACGCCUGGGGUCCAGGCGCGCCCAGGUGGGUUGUGCCCACCUCGGUGGCCUCCCGCACCGCCUCUUUGCUCUAUAAAUACCCCAAUAUUCCAGAAACCCUAGGGGAGUCGAUGAAAGUAAAUUCCAGCCGCCGCAAGUUCUAGAAACACCAGAUCCAAUCUAAACACCAUCAUGGAGGGGUUCAUCAUGUCCAUUGGUGCCUCUCCAAUGAUGCGUGAGUAGUUUUUUUGUAGACCUACGGGUCCGUAGUUAUUAGCUAGAUGGCUUCCUCUCUCUCUCUCCCUCUCUCUCUCUCUCUCUCUCUCUCUUGAUUCUCAAUAUAAUGGUCUCUUGGAGAUCCAUAUGAUGUAAGUCUUUUUGCGGUGUGUUUGUUGGGAUCCGAUGAACUUUGAGUUUAUGAUCAGAUCUAUGUUUUUAUCCAUGAAAGUUAUUUCAGUCUUCUUUGAUCUCUUAUAUGCAUGAUUGAUUAUAGCCUCAUAUUCCUUCUCUGAUAUUUGGGUUUUGUUUGGCAAACUUGAUCUAUUUAUCUUGCAAUGGGAAGAGGUGCUUUGUGAUGGGUUCGAUCUUACGGUGCUUGAUCCCAGUGACAGAAGGGGAAACGACACGGAUGUAUCGUUGUUAUUAAGGAUAACAAGAUGGGGUCUAUUUCUACAUAAAUAGAUCUUGUCUACAUCAUGUCAUCAUUCUUAUUGCAUUACUCUGUUUUUCCAUGAACCUAAUACAUUAGAUGCAUGUUGGAUAGUGGUCGAUGUGUGGAGCAAUAGUAGUAGAUGCAGGUCGGUCUACUAAUCUUGGACAUGAUGCCUAUAUAAUGAUCAUUGCCUGGAUAUCGUCAUGAUUAUUUGAAGUUCUACCAAUUUCUCAAUAGUAAUUGUUUUCCCAACGUUUGCUAUUUUUCUUGAGAGAAGCCAAUAGUGAAACCUACGGCCCCCGGAUCUCUUCUUUAUCAUGAUUGCCUUUGCGAUCUAUUUUCCUUUGCUUUUAUUUUCAGAUCUAUUAAACCAAAAAUACAAAAAUAACUUGAUGCACUUUAUUUUAUCUGCGAUCUAUUUAUCCUAUCUAUCACAACUUUAUCACGUCUUCUCGCCAAUUUAUGGCACCGUUACCCGAAAGGGAUUGACAACCCCUUUAACACGUCGGGUUGUGAGUAUUUAUUAUUUGUGUGCAGGGGCUGUUUACGUUGUGUUGCUUGGUUCUCCUACUGGUUCAAUAACUUUGGUCUCAUCACUGAGGGAAAUACCUACCAUCAUUGUGCUGCAUCAUCCCUUCCUCUUUGGGGAAAGAUCGACGUAGUUCAAGCAGGCAUCAAAAGGAAUUUCUGGCGCCGUUGUCGGGGAGGAUCAUCAACAUCAACCAGGUUCCUAAUCAAAAAAUCUCAUCUCCUCACAAUUUACAUUAUUUGCCAUUUGCCUCUCGUUUUUCUCUCCCCCACUUCACAAAAAUUUACCGUUUUAUUCUCCCUCUUUUUCGUUCGCCGUUUUCUCCUCAUAUCUGUUUUUGUGUGCAAUCUUGUUAACCACUUUUUGUCAUUAAGGAUAGUUCUUCCUCUAUUGCAUACACUCCCGAGAACGAGGUUCUUAACUUUAAACAAAGAGGAGGGGAGAAUUUAAAAGAUGCUUGGUAUAGGAUUUGCAAUGCUCAUAAUAUAUCUAUCCGUAAGCAAUCUACCGUUGUUCUUCUUCGUUGUUUUUAUGUGGGCGUCACCACUUGGUAUAGAUUCUUCCUUGAUACGAUUACCGGUGGAAAUUUCUUGACGUGUCCUUCUCUUGGUGCUUUUAAUGCUUUGGGAAAUUUAGUGGGUUCACCACCUCUCAUGAUCAAUGAAACAAUUGUGACCCUCGAGCAUGUUAUGGAAAGACUAGAUGCUAUUGAAAAGAAAAUGCUUACCAAAGAACAUAUUGAAAACUUGGAUAGAAAAAUGCAAAACUACGCUACUAAAAUUGGGUCAAAAGCGUGAGAAAUUUUAAAGUUGUUAGAAGAAAAGGGGACUGUAAUUCAUGAAAGAAUUGAAGAAAGCCCGUCUAGGAUUGAUAAGUUGGAAGAAAUCUUUAGUAAUCUAAUGAAUUCCUCAACUUUAUGCCGAGAAGUUUCGCUAUUUUACUUGCCAAUUCUCCAAAUAAAUCUGGUUGUGUGCUUGAAGAGUUGGGAACUAAAGAUGACAAAACUUAGAUCCUACGCAUUAUGCCUAGCUAGGGGCGUAAAAUGAUAGCGCUCGUUGGAAGGCAACCCAACUUGUAUCUUUUUGAUUUUUGGUUUUCUUGCUGUUCUAAAUAAAAUUCCAAUUAUGCCUCUCAUUAAAUGUCCUUUUGUGGUUUAAAUAAGUGUUUCUGCCAAGCACGGCCUUUGGGAUGAUUUGGGUGUGAGUUGAUUUGAUCUUGCUGAAAAACAGAAACUUUUGCGCUCACAAAAUUAUUUUUCAUUUUUAUCAGAAGAGUUAUUUUGGGUUGUUUCUUUUUGCAAAAGAUUAAUAAACAAAUUAUUCACGUCUUCCUAAUUUUUUAGAACUUUUGGAGUUACAGAAGUAUUCGAAAUAGUCUAAUUGCUACAGACUGUUCUGUUUUUGACAGAUUCUGUUUUCCUUGCAUUGUGUGCUUGUUUUGAUGAUUCGAUGGUUUUCUUUGAAGAGUUUUUGCCAUAGAAAAGUUGGAAUAUAGUAGAUAUAAUGCAAAAAUAAAAUAUGAAUGGGUUGCAACAGUACUUAUAGUAGUGGUUUGCUUUCUUAUACUAACGGAUCUCAUGAAGGUUUUGUUGAGUUUUGUGUGAUUGAAGUUUUCAAGUUUUGCGUGAUCUUGCUGAAGGAAAUAUUCCCUAGAGGCAAUAAUAAAGUUAUUAUUUAUUUCCUUAAUUCAUGAUGAAUGUUUAUUAUUCAUGCUAUAAUUGUAUUAACCGGAAACUUAGUACAUGUGUGAAUACAUAGACAAAACAUAUAGUCCCCAGUAUGACUCUACUUGACUAGCUCGUUAAUCAAAGAUGGUUAUGUUUCCUAAGCAUAGACAUGUGUUGUAAUUUGAUGAACGGGGUCACAUCAUUAGGAGAAUGAUGUGAUGGAUAUGACCCAUCCGUUAGCUUAGCAUUAUGAUUAUGUUAGUUUCAUUGCUACUGCUUUCUUCAUGACUUCAAGUUCCUCAGACUGUGAGAUUAUGCAACUCCUGAAUACCGGAGGAACACUUUGUGUGCUACCAAAUGUCACAACGUAAAUGGGUGAUUAUAAAGGUGCUCUACAGGUGUCUCCGAAGGUGUUUGUUGGGUUGGCAUAGAUCGUUGGCAUAGAUCGAUAUUAGGAUUUGUCACUCCGUGUUUCAGAGAGGUAUCUCUGGGCCCACUCGGUAAUACUCAUCACUAUAAGCCUUGCAAGCAUUGUGACUAGUGAGUUAAUUGCGAAAACCUUUCAGGAUGACGUUACUUAUGUCCAACGGAAACCUUUCAGGAUACCGUUCACACUAGGACACAAUGUACAACCCCAGAAUCUAUUUGUGGAAGCAGUGCGCCAUCCAUGUUACUAGAUGGUAGCAGUUCAGAGGCAACACCACCGGAGAGCAGUCUGGGCACAUAUAUUAUAGUGCUUGAGGCUCUACUAGAGGCAGAAAGAGAUGGUGUGGCUGCCAUGAAUGAGGUAAUCUUUAUCUUGACGCUGGAAAUUACGGAAUUAGCGGCACGCAUUAUGCAAGCAACCCAAGAAUUGGAGGAAGUAAGAAUGUUGCAUUUGAGAACGGAGGAGGUCCUGCUGUUUCUACUAUUUGAAGCCCAAGGUAAUCCCGGUUCUUAUUUAGAUACUAGUUGAAAUUGUCAUUAGAUUAUUGUACUUGCAUGUUGUGUCAUGUCUCCGAAUGGAUUAUGUUGCAAGACCCCCUAUGUUGUCCAUGUGUUGUAAUGAUCCGGAUUUUUUAGGUGAGGUAAUCCUCAAUACUUGUAUGAUUGAAAUAAGGUGAACUGUUUUUCGUGUGAGCAUAUUGUAUUGGAUGAAAUAAUUGUUUGACUCAGAGUGUAUCCAACCUACUGAAUUCGAAGAUCACGGCAUUUCUAAAUCAUAAUCAUAUAUAAAGGUGGAAUAAAUCUUUGUUGUGGUUUUGAAUAAAUAAAUACAAAACGUAUAAUUAUCUAUGGAUAUACGUAAUCGAAUACAAAUUGGAUUUGAAUUUAGUUUGCCAGGGCCCAGGGCAAAUGUGAAUGCUAAUUCUCCCAAGUUUUUAACGAAGCGGCUAAACACCCACUAUAACUUGUGGGCUGCCCGAAGCAAGUGUUUGCGAGAUGGAAAUUACUGUCUACCCCUGACACCUGACAUCCUUAUCGACCGGAUUUACACUACUGUCGAUAGGGGUAGACUAGUAACUUCAAUCAGACGCGACAUGACGGCCUCUGAGCCCAUUCAGACAUGGUGGGCGCCAAACGUGGGCGGCAAAACACAUUUGAUUCAAGCUCGUCUGAAAGACAUGUGUCUCUUCCUCCAUUUCCCCAUUCAUACACGGUGGGCGGCAAAACAAACUCUCCUCGUCCGAAAUUGAUGUAGGCUAAUAUUUUAAAUAGGGGCAGAUGUGUAACUAACAUCAGACGUGACACAACCGCCCUACCUGUCAGCCCCAUUCAUACACCGUGGGCGCCAACCGUGGGUGGCAAAACACCCUCUCCUCGCUCGAAAUAGUUACCGGAAAACAUUUGGGAGAUGCGAGAUUACCGUCCUAUCCCCAACCGACGCGAUGUCCGAAAUUUUAAAUGGGGGAUAAGCUCGUAACUUUCCCCCAUUUCAGAGAAGCGCGUCCCAAAGUUUGAGAUCCCCCCUCCCCCCAUUUCCCCAUUCAUACACCGUCGGAGGCACGACAACCUCCACACUGCGACCAACCUCCUCCGUCCACCACCCCAUCCUCCACCUUGCCGGAGCCGCUACCCCUACCCCGUCGUCCACUGCAAGAGAUGGACGUCUCUCAUCCAUGGCGCUGGACCAGGAUCCUUUCAUCGCCUCCUCUCGCUUCAUCAGCGCCGUCGUCCACCUUGCCGUUGGCGCUCCUACGACCGCCUCGUCCACGGCAACAGGAUAUAUCCCCCGACCCGGCUGUCUGCCGUCUAAAGUCUUCUUCCCCGCCACCGACAGCCAUCGCACCCGCAACACCCUCAACGUAUCAGCAUAGGCCUACACAACAUCGCAAGAGAGGUGGUACUCUUCCAUAUGUGCUUAAGUUAUUGAUCUCACCUGCAAAAUAGAUCGUAAUUUGUUUACUGUACUUUCCUUGUCCGUAUCAAAUCGUAGUGGCUAGUUGAAAGCAAACAUUGGUUGCGAAGUAGCUUUGCCCGGUUUGCACCUUUAGAUCCGCCAUAGCACGGGCACUAUACUCGUAAAGCUUAUGGUUUCCCCCCUUUAUAUUCACUACCAUCAUCGUAGGUGAUUCGUGUCGUGCUAGCACGGCUCCUCAAGACCUCAACCCAAAGCUUACGUGUUGAAAUACGAAUCUGAUAUGAUGCUCAUAUCACUAAAACAGAGAACGUUUAAUUGGUCACCUAAUGUUCCUAUAUUCGUUUCGAAAAGCAUGUGCGCCACCCACUGGUCCAGCUAGUUCCACUUUCCUGAUUUUCUCUUGAUGCUUAGGGUUUUCCCCUUUUAUCUACUAUACUAUGAUCUGCGUAGGUGCUUUCUGUCAUACUAGCAUUACUCCACCCUUCAAGCUAAACAACACGCACUCAGAAUUCGAAAGCUUAGUUGUUCAAAUAUGAUUGUGAUAUGAUACUGAUAUUAGUUAACCAACACAUUUAAUUGGUUAGCUAAAGGUCCCACUUGAGUUUCCAAAUGCAUGUCACGACAUAUAGAGAGACAACAUAAUUGCAUUUCUGUCACUUGUUGACCGUACUUUCUUGUCCAUACCAAAUCUUAGUUGUUAUUUCAAAGCAAACAUUGGUUGCUAACUACCCUUUGCGCGGUUUGCAGCUUCAGAUCUGCCAUCCCACUGCCACGGUCAACACUGUACUCAUCAUGCUUAUGUUUUCCCCAUUUUAUGAUGACCACAAUCAGCCUACGUGGUUCGUGUCGUAAUAGCACUGCUCCACCCAUCGAGCUAAACAAGCUUAGUUGUACAAAUUCAUAUAUGAUAUUAUUGCUGAUAUUAGUAAAACUGAGAGAUGUUUAAUUGGUUAGAUAAAUGUUCCUACUUUAGUUUCUAAAUGCAUGUGAGCCACAUAUGGAGAGACCGGAAAGAAUAGUAUUUCUCUGUGCGCUCUGGUUCAUCAUGGGUGGCCAACCGACAUUGUAUUGAAAGACUUGUAAUAUCUUCAAUCUGCUUGCUCUUCUACUCUUCUUUAAGAUGAUACUCUUCUCUUGCGGUCUACUGGUCAGGUCGAGUUGUUCUCCCUUAGUAUAUUUUGAAUCUUUCAGGUCAGGUCGACUUGUUCUUCUUUACUAUAUGUUGAAGCUGUCAUCUGCGAAGUGUCAUCAUUUCUGGAGCUCUGAUAUUUUGAGUAGUAGGCCACAUUAUAUUAAUGCACACAACAAAUUACAGCAUGCAUGUCAUCUUUUAAAAGAAUUGCAGAGAUAGCAGAAAGGGGUUUACAGGGAGGCAGUAUUGGAUUAGAAUCACUUCUGCAUUACAAAGAAAACCUCACUUGUUUUUAUGUUUUCAUGCAUGUCAGAUAUUGAACAUUAUCAAAAUGAAUAUGAGAAUGGGCGCAUGAGAGGAAUAUUGCGGAACAAUCCAUUGGCUAACAAACUUGGCAUGGUGGAGGAUGGCCUAUCUUAUUCACCCAUCAAGGUGCUUGCUCUAACUUUGCAAAGUUGUAUUGGUCGCACAUAUUUUGCAUCUGACCUCUUGCAUUACUUCCACUUUGUUACACCAUCUGCUUAGUUUAAGCAUCAUAUAUGAGUAUAUGCCAUACCUAUCCAUUUUCUGUACCUUUUCCAUGUGUCGUCACGCUAUGUUUUUCCAGUCAAAUCUUGUUCUUUCGUAAUAGAUGUCCAAAAGGAAGAGGGUGAGUGUAGAUCCUCAAGGAGUACAAACUAGGUAUUUGGAGAAGGUAGUGAUACCUGGUAAAUCAGAUAGAUCAGCAGCCACAGAAAACACAGGCCCAACUGUACCACACUUUACCCCUACUCCAGUGGCCAAACCCCUAUUAGAACUGCUGGGAGCCCAGCGUCAGGUACUGUCUAUGAUAUCAAUUCAAAAUUUGUACUCUUAAAUUUUUGCUUGUGCCUUACCUUCUCUCUUGUAUGAAAACUAAUUUCAGAUGAAUCUCCUUGCUCAAAGGAUCAUACAAUCUCAAAACAAUAAUGGGCUCUGCAUUGCUCUUGUGAGUACCUCUCUCCCUUUUGCCUUGUAAUGUUGUACUUAAUUAAUUGCUAUUUGAUUACGUAUCAUCAGUCUGCACCUGAGCCUCAUUAUCCUCUGUUUCUUCCAAUAUUAUUUGAUCUAUAUUUACUCUUUGCAAAAUGUAGAAUAAUGGCAACGCUUAUAAAGAAUUUUCUUUGGGGAAUUUAUUGAAUUAUCCUUCCACCAACAUGGAGAAGGGCUUUGUCCAGCCCGUGUUAACAUGUAAUGUAAGUUCAUCCUUCUCAGGCCUUCAAACUUUGUUCUAGUAUAUAUUUGGAUAGGCAUCAUUUCCUCCACUGCUGUUUGCUUUGUUGUUUACAUCUGGUUGGAUGUUUGCAACAACUACCAGUUUCAAAUUGUAGUUGUAAAAACAUGUUCCUUAUGCAGAACAGAUCCAUUUAUUUGCUUAUAUAAUUGUGAAACCUGUUACGUGUCUCCUUGUUUCUCUUUUAGAUUCGUAUCUCUUACGCCAGGCAGAAAUUUAGGGAAGAUAGUGAGCCAAACCAUCUUGAGGACAGCGAGAUGACCCCAAGGUCCUGUCUUGAUGAAGACAGUGAGUUGAAGCUACUCACCAGCAGGUGUGAGACAACCUCUGUGCAGUUGCUGCCUCAAUCAGUUCGACUUUUUCAGUCUCAACUUAAAGCGGAAAGGCUUGCUUCAACUCAGCUCCGACUUGAAGUCAAAGAUGCAAUGAAGAUGUCAGAGGACUGCCAUGCACACCAUCAUGCCUUAAAUCUAGUGUUGAUGCAUCUAUCGUUGACACAACUGAGGUCUACUCAGCUUCUUCAGCUGUUUGGGGGGGCCGACCUGGCCAGGCCUAGUGCCUUCUGAAGUGCUCUCAGUUUUGUAUAUUCUUUUGUCGGCGCAUUUAUUUGCACUGGUGGUGAAUUUUGAUGCCCAGUGGAUGUAAUAUGUGUGAUAGCCGUGAUAGCCUAGCAUAAGUUGCUUGCUUAUUUAUUUCCUUGUUGUCUUGUUUAUUUGUUUGCUUGUAGUCAUAGCAGUUCUUUUUCUGCGGUUUGCUAGUGGCUGCAAUAACAGUGGGCCUUCUACAGGCCAUAGAAACAGUGGGCCUUCUACGGGGCAUAGAAAUAAUGGGCCUUCUAUGGGCCAUAGAAACAAUGGGCCUUCUACGGGUCGUAUCAUCAAUGGGCCUUCUACGGGCCGUAUGAUCGGUUGGCCAAACAUGGGCCAAUAACAGGCCGCAAUAUGUUCGUAAACGGGCUAGAGUUGGAAUCAUCCGUUCAUGGGCCGACCAUAACGGGCCAUCGUUAAUAGGCCGUAUUUGAUGACGAUAUGAAAACGGCCCAACAUAUUAACGGACCACAAACGGGCCGAUUGUAACCACGGGCUGAAUUUGGCCCACAAGCAGAAAUUGAUAGUAACGGGCCGUAAGUAAACGAAUGCUGGAAAUGAGCCCAAGAAUAAAUGGGCUCUAAGAAGGCCGAAAGAUAACAUGGACUAGAAACGACCCAAUGGAAUAAUGGGCCGUUAAUGGGUAUAAAGUGAUACAUUGUUCAUUACGGGCCAGUUUCACCAUGGGCCGUUAAUGGGUGUAAAGUGAUACACUAUUCAUUACGGGCCAGUUUCACCACGGGCCGUUAAUAGGUCAAGAGUUACAUAGGGCCUCAUAUGGGCCGAAAGACGUCAUGGGCCAUACAUGGGCCAUAAGUGAAAACGGGCUGGAAUCAUAUUGGAUGGCCCAGAUGACGCUACUGGGCCUAAUUCGAAUAGGGCGUAACGGGCCUUGGGUUAGCGGGCUGUAAAUGGGCUAUAUGCGAACAUGCCGUUAACAGGCUUUACAUGGGCUGGCCCGCCAUCUUUUGACCAAGUCAAAUGGGCCGGCCUUUUCAUAGGAAUGGGCCUCUGUUGGGCCGUGCCACUUGUCGAUGUAUCAUAGGCGCCUUUUGUCCAAUGAGUGGAUGACAUCUGUCCCGAUGAUGAGCCGACACGUGUUUCCUCCAGCCAAUGAUGAUUUUACAUGUGGAAAAUCCCCAUUGGUCGGGGCUAUUAACGGGUUAUCGGAUCCAAAACCCAACCCGAUAGCUUAACAGUGUUCCAUUACGGUGGAUGCCACGUGUCGGUCACCCUUGACGAAAGCACUUCUGUGACGCGUGAUUUAUCGUCAUGGAAGUGGACACUUCCGUGAUGAUAAUUUUGGUAAUGUCAUGGAACACUUCUACGACAGCACAGGUAUGACUAUCUUGAUUCUGUCAUAAAUUUGUCAUGGAUGUACAUGCAUGACAAAGAACCCGACCUACUGUGACAAACACGUAUCAUCACGGAAGUGUAUUUUUUUGUAGUGUCUCCCUCUUCCUUCUUCUCCUACUCCAACUAGGGAAGGGGGAGACCUACUCCUACUGGGAGUAGGACUCCCCCCCUUGGGGGCGCCAUAGAGGGCCGGCCCUCCCCCUCCUCCACUCCUUUAUAUACGGGGGAGGGGGCACCCCAAAGGACACACAAGUUGACAAUUGUUUUAGCCAUGUGCGGUGCCCCCUCCAUAGAUUUCCACCUCGGUCAUAUCGUCGUAGUGCUUAGGCGAAGCCCUGCGCCGGUAACUUCACCAUCACCGUCACCACGUCGUCGUGCUAACGAAACUAUCCCUCGACCUCAGCUGGAUCUAGAGUUCAUGGGACGUCAUCAAGCUGAACGUGUGCAGAUCACGGAGGUGCCGUACCUUCAGUGGUAGGAUCGGUCGGAUCAUGAAGACGUACGACUACAUCAACCGCGUUGUCAUAACGCUUCCGCUUUCGAUCUACGAGAGUACGUAGACAACACUCUUCCCUCUCAUUGCUAUGCAUCACCUAGAGAUAGAUCUUGCGUGAUCAUAGGAUUUUUUUUGAAAUUACCGUGUUCCCCAAUAGUGGCAUCCGAGCCAGGUCUAUGCGUAGAUGUUAUAUUUACGAGUAGAACACAAAGAAUUGUGGGCGAUAAUAGUCAUACUGCUUACUAGCAUGUCAUACUUUGAUUCGGCGGUAUUGUUGGAUGAACCGGCUCAGACCGACAUUACGCGUACGCUUACGUGAGACUGGUUCUACCGACGUGCUUUGCACAUAGGUGGUUGGUGAGUGUCUGUUUCUCCAACUUUAGUUGAAUCGAGUGUGGCUACGCCUGGUCCUUGUUGAAGGUUAAGACGACACACUUGACGAAAAAUCAUUGUGGUUUUGAUGCGUAGGUAAGAACCGUUCUUGCUAGAAUCCCGUAGCAGCCACGUAAAACUUGCAACAACAAAGUAGAGGACGCCUAACUUGUUUUUGCAGGGCUUGCUGUGAUGUGAUAUGGUCAAGGCAUGAUGUGAUAUAAAUUGGUGUAUGAGAUGAUCAUGUUUUGUAACAAAGUUAUCGGCAACUGGCAGGAAUCAUAUGGUUGUUGCUUUAUUGUAUGCAAUGCAAUCGCCAUGUAAUUGUUUUACUUUAUCACUAAGCGGUAGCGAUAGUCGUAGUAACAAUAGUUGCCGAGACGACAACGGUGCUACGAUGGAGAUCAAGGUGUCGCGUGAUACGUCUCCAAUGUAUCUAUAAUUUUUGAUUGUUCCAUGCUAUUAUAUUACCCAUUUUGGAUGUUUAUGGGCUUUACUAUACACUUUUAUAUCAUUUUUGGGACUAACCUACUAAUCGGAGGCCCAACCCGAAUUGCUGUUUUUUUGCCUAUUUCAGUGUUUCGCAGAAAAGGAAUAUCAAAUGGAGUCCAAACGGAAUGAAACCUUCGGGAGUGAUCUUUUUGGAACAAACGCAAUCCAGGAGACUUGGAGUGGACGUCAAGUAGCAAACGAGGCGGCCACGAGGGUGCCCGGCGCACCCUAGAGGGGUGGGCACGCCCCCAACCCUCGUGGGCCCUUCAUGGCUCAACCGACCUACUUCUUCCUCCUAUAUAUAUCCACAUACCCUGAAACCAUCCGGGAGCACCACGAAAAACUAUUUCCACCGCCGCAACCUUCUGUAUCCGCGAGAUCCCAUCUUGGAGCCUUCGCCGGCGCUCCGCUGGAGGGGAAAUCGACCAUAGAGGGCCUCUCCAUCAUCACCAAGGCCUCUCCAAUGAGUUGCGAGUAGUUUACCACACACCUUCUCCAUAGUUAUUAGCUAGAUGGCUUCUUCUCUCUCUUUGAAUCUCAAUACAAAGUUCUCCUCGAUCUUCUUGGAGAUCUAUCUGAUGUAACUCUUUUUGCGGUGUGUUUGUCGAGAUCCGAUGAAUUGUGUGUUUAUGAUCAAGUUUAUCUAUGAGAAAUAUUUGAAUCUCCUCUGAAUUCUUUUAUGUAUGAUUGGUUAUCUUUGCAAGUCUCUUUGAAUUAUCAGUUUGGUUUACCUACUAGAUUGAUCUUUCUUGCAAUGGGAGAAGUGCUUAGCUUUGGGUUCAACCUUGCGGUGUCCUUUCCUAAUGACAACAGGGGCAGCAAGGCACGUAUUGUAUUGUUGCCAUCGAGGAUAAAAAGAUGGGGUUUAUAUUACAUUGCUUGAGUUUAUCCCUCUACAUCAUGUCAUCUUUCUUAAUGCAUUACUCUAUUCUUAUGAACUUAAUACUCUAGAUGCAGGCAGGAGUCGGUCGAUGUGUGGAGUAAUAGUAGUAGAUGCAGGCAGGAGUCGGUCUACUUGUUGCGGACGUGAUGCAUAUAUACAUGGUCAUGCCUAGAUAUUCUCAUAACUAAGCACUUUUCUAUCAAUUGCUCGACAGUAAUUUGUUCACCCACCGUAAUACUUAUGCUAUCUUGAGAGAAGCCACUAGUGAAACCUAUGGCCCCCGGAUCUAUUCUCUAUCAUAUAAGUUUCGAAUCUACUUUAUUUUGCAAUCUUUACUUUUCAAUCUAUAUCAUAAAAAUACCAAAAAUAUUUAUCUUAUCAUAUUAUCUCUAUCAGAUCUCACUUUUGCAAAUGGCCGUGAAUGGAUUGACAACCCCUUUAUCGCGUUGGUUGCGAGGUUCUUGUUUGUUUGUGUAGGUACGAGGGACUUGCAUGGAGUCUCCUACUGGAUUGAUACCUUGGUUCUCAAAAACUGAGGGAAAUACUUAUGCUACUUUGCUGCAUCACCCUUUCCUCUUCAAGGGAAAAACCAACGCAUGCUCAAGAGGUAGCAAGAAGGAUUUAUGGCGCCAUUGCCGGGGAGAUCUUCGCUCAAGUCAAGAGAUACCAAGUACCCAUCACAAACUCAUCUCCCUCGCAUUACAAUUUUUGUCAUUUGCCUCUCGUUUUCCUCUCCCCACUUCACCCUUACCGGUUUAUUCGCCCUCUCUUUUCCAUUAGCCUCUUUUUCGCUUGCCUCUUGUGUGCUUGUGUGUUGGAUUGCUUGUCACGGUGGCUCAAGAUAAUACUAAAUUGUGUGAUUUUUCUAAUACCAAUAAUAAUGAUUUCCUUAGCACUCUGAUUGCUCCUCUUAAUGAUGUUGAAUCUUGUGAAAUCAAUGCUGCCUUGUUGAAUCUUGUUAUGAAAGAUCAAUUCUCUGGCCUUCCUAGUGAAGAUGCCGCUACUCAUCUAAACAAUUUUGUCUAGUUGUGCGAUAUGCAAAAGAAGAAAGACAUGGAUAAUGAUAUUGUUAAAUUGAAGUUAUUUCCAUUUUUGCUUAGAGAUCAUGCUAAAACUUGGUUUUCUUCUUUGCCUAAAAAUAGUAUUGACUCAUGGAAUAAGUGUAAAGAUGCUUUUCUCUCUAAGUAUUUUCCUCCCGCUAAAAUCAUCUCUCUUAGAAACGAUAUUAUGAAUUUUAAGCAACCUGAGCAUGAGCAUGUUGCACAAUCUUGGGAGAGGAUGAAAUUAAUUAUUCGUAAUUGCCCUACACAUGGUUUGAAUUUAUGGAUGAUUAUACAAAAAAUUUAUGCCGGAUUGAAUUUUGCUUCUAGAAAUCUUUUAGAUUCGACCGCGGGAGGCACUUUUAUGGAAAUCACUUUAGGAGAAUCUACUAAAAUCCUAGAUAAUAUUAUGGUUAAUUAUUCUCAAUGGCAUACCGAAAGAUCUACUAGUAAAAAGUGCAUGCGAUAGAAGAGAUUAAUGUUUUGGGUGGAAAGAUGGAUGAACUUAUGAAGUUUUUUGCUACUAAGAGUGCUCCCAUUGAUCCUAAUGAUAUGCCUUUGUCUACUUUGAUUGAGAAUACUAAUGAAUCUAUGGAUGUGAAUUUUGUUGGUAGGAAUAAAUUUGGUAACAAUGCUUAUAGAGGAAGCUUUAAUCCUAGGCCAUUUCCUAGUAAUUCCUCUAAUAAUUAUGGUAAUUCCUACAACAAUUCUUAUGGAAAUUUUAAUAAGAUGCCCUCUAAUUUUGAGAAUAGUGUUAAAGAAUUUAUGAUCUCUCAAAAGAAUUUUAAUGCUUUGCUUGAAGAAAAAUUGCUUAAAGUUGAUGAAUUGGCUAGGAACAUGGAUAGAAUUUUUCUUGAUGUUGAUUCUUUGAAACUUAGAUCUAUUCCACUUAAGCAUGAUAUCAAUGAGUCUCUCAAAGCCAUGAGAAUUUCCAUUGAUGAGUGCAAAGAAAGAACCGCUAGAAUGCGUGCUAAGAAAGAUUGCUUUGUAAGAGUGUGUUCUUCUAAUUUUCAUGAUAAUAACGAUGAAGAUCUAAAAGUUAUUGAUGUGUCUCCUAUUAAAUCCUUGUUUUGCAAUAUGAACCUUAAUAAUGAUGGGAUUGGAGAUGAGUCAACUUUAGUUAAAAAGCGUCCCAAUGAUUUGGAGUCUUUUGAUCUUGAUGCUAAAAUUGGUAAAAGUGGGAUUGGAGAGAUUAAAACUUUACAUAGCAAUGAACCUACUACUUUGGAUUUCAAGGAAUUUAAUUAUUAUAAUUGUUCUUUAAUAGAUUGUAUUUCCUUGUUGCAAUCCGUGUUGAAUUCUCCUCAUGCUUAUAGUCAAAAUAAAGCUUUUACUAAACAUAUCGUUGAUGCUUUAAUGAAAUCUUAUGAGGGAAAACUUGAAUUAGAGGUUUCUAUCCCUAGAAUACUUUAUGAUGAGUGGGAACCUACUACUAAAAUUAAAAUAAAAUAUCAUGAAUGCUAUGCUUUGUGUGAUUUGGGUGCUAGUGUUUCUACGAUUCCAAAAAUUUAUGUGAUGUGCUAGGUUUCCGUAAAUUUGAUGAUUGCUCAUUCAACUUGCACCUUGCGGAUUCCACUAUUAAGAAACCUAUGGGAAGGAUUAAUUAUGUUCUUAUUGUUGCAAAUAGGAAUUAUGUGCCCGUGGAUUUUAUCGUUCUUGAUAUAGAUUGCAAUCUUUCUUGUCCUAUUAUUCUUGGUAGACCUUUCCUUAGAAUGAUUGGUGCAAUUAUUGAUAUGAAGGAAGGAGAUAUUAGAUUCCAAUUUCCAUUAAGGAAAGGCAUGGAACACUUUCCUAGAAAGAAAAUUAAAUUACCUUAUGAAUCUAUUGUGAGAGCCACUUAUGAAUUGAAUGCCAAAAUGGCAACACUUAGAUCUAUCUUUGCUUUUAUGCCUAGCUAAGGGCGUUAAACGAUAGCGCUUGUUGGGAGGCAACCCAAUUUUAUUUUUGUUCCUUGCUUUUUGCUCCUGUUUAGUAAUAAAUAAUUCAUAUAACCUCUGGUUAGAUGUGGUUUUAUGUUUUAAUUAGUGUUUGUGCCAAGUAAAACCUAUAGGAUCAUCUUGGGUGAAAGUUAAUUUGAUUCUGCUGAAAAACAGAAAGUUUUGCGCUCACGAGAAAAAAUCUAAUAAAUCACGGAAACACGAUUUUGAGUUGAUUAUUUUUUCAAUAGAUCAAUAUACAAAUUACCUAGGACUUCCUAUUUUGGUAGGAUUUUUAGGGUUCCAGAAGUAUUCGAAAGUUACAGAUUGCUAUAGACUGUUCUGUUUUUGACAUAUUCUGUUUUUCGUGUGUUGUUUGCUUAUUUUGAUGCAUCUAUGGUUAGUAUCAGGAGGUAUGAAGCAUAGAGAAGUUGGAAUACAGUAGGUUUAACACCAAUAUAAAUAAAUAAUGAGUUCAUUACAGUACCUUAAGUGGUGGUUUUUCUUUCUUGCACUAACGGAGCUCAUGAGAUCUCAUGUUGAGUUUUGUGUUGUGAAGUUUUCAAGUUUUGGGUAAAGAUUUGAUGGACUAUGGAAUAAGAAGUGGCAAGAACCUAAUCUUGGGGAUGCCCAUGGCACCCCAAGAUAAUUCAAGUACAACAAAAAGCCUAACCUUGGGGAUGCCCCGAAGGCAUCCCCUCUUUCGUCUUCGUCUAUCGAUAACUUUACUUGGAGCUAUAUUUUUAUUUACCGCAUGAUAUGUGUUCUGCUGGGAGCGUAUUGUAUGAUAUGAGUCUUUGCCUUUUAGUUUACGACAAUCAUACUUGCUGUACACACCUUUUGGGAGAGACACACAUGAUUCGGAAUUUAUUAGAAUACUCUAUGUGCUUCACUUAUAUCUUUUGAGCUAGACAGUUUUGCUCUAGUGCUUCACUUAUACCUUUUUAGAGCACGGCGGUGGUUUUAUUUUGUAGAAACUAUUGAUCUCUCAUGAUUCACUUGUAUUAUUUUGAGAGUCUUUUAAGAACAGCAUGGUAUUUGCUAUGGCUAAAAAUUGGUCCUAAUGUGACGAGCAUCCAAGUUGGGAAUAAUAAAAACUAUCAUAGGAAGUGAAUUGGAUGCUAUGAUCAAUUUAAUGCUUGAUAAUUGUUUUGAGAUAUAAAGGUGGUAAUAUUAGAGUCAUGCUGGUUGGGUAAUUAUGAAAUUGAGGAAUACUUGUGUUGAAGUUGGCAAAUCCCGUAGCAUGCAUGUAUGGUAAAAGUUGUGUAACAAAUUUAUUGCAUGGGGUGCUCUUUUGAUUGCCUUCCUUAUGUGUGGAGGUCGGGGGUGCGCGGUGGUUAACUCCUACCAACCUCCCCCCCUAGGAUCAUGCGUAGUAGUACUUUGCUUCGAGGGCUAAGAAAACUUUUGCAAUAAGUAUAUGAGUUCUUUAUGACUAAUGUGAGUCCAUGGAUUAUACGCACUCUUACCCUUCCAUCAUUGCUAGCCUCUUCAAUACCGUGCAUUGCCCUUUCUCACCUUGAGAUUUGGUGCAAACUUCACUGGUGCAUCCAAACCCUGUGAUAUGAUACGCUCUAUCACACAUAAACCUCUUUAUAUCUUCCUCAAAACAGCCACCAUACCUACCUAUUAUGGCAUUUCCAUAGCCAUUCCGAGAUAUAUUGCCAUGCAACUUUCCACCGUUCCAUUUAUCAUGACACGUAUCAUCAUUGUCAUAUUGCCUUGCAUGAUCAUGUAGUUGACAUCGUAUUUGUGGCAAAACCACCGUGCAUAAUUUUUCAUACAUGUCACUCUUGAGUCAUUGCCCAUCCCGGUACACCGCCGAAGGCAUUCAUAUAGAGUCAUAUCUUGUUCUAGUUUCGAGUUGUAAUUCAUGUGUUGUAAAUAAAUAGAAGUGUGAUGAUCAUCAUUAUUAGAGCAUUGUCCCUUACAAAAAAGAAAAAAAAGAAGGGCCAAAAAAGGAAAAAAAAGGGGGACAAUGUUACUAUCCUUUUCCACACUGGUGCUUCAAAGUAGCACCAUGUUCUUCAUAUAGAGAGUCUCUUAUGUUGUCACUUUCAUAUACUAGUGGGAAUUUUUCAUUAUAGAACUUUUGGCUUGUAUAUUCCAACGAUGGGCUUCCUCAAAAUGCCCUAGGUCUUCAUGAGCAAGCAAGUUGGAUGCACACCCACUUAGUUUCUUUUGUUGAGCUUUCAUACAUUUAUAGCUCUAGUGCAUCUGUUGCAUGGCAAUCUCUACUCCUCAUGUUGACAUCAAUUGAUGGACAUCUCCAUAGCCCAUUGAUUAGCCUCGUCAAUGUGAGACUUUCUCUUUUUUGUCUUCUCCACACAACCUCCAUCAUCAUAUUCCAUUCCACCCAUAGUGCUAUAUCCAUGGCUCACGCUCAUGUAUUGCGUGAGAGUUGAAAAAGGCUGAAGCGCGUUAAAAAGUAUGAACCAAUUGCUUGGCUGAAAUCGGGGUUGUUCUUGAUGGGAGUAUUUUGUGUGAUGAAAAUGAAACAUAGCCUAACGAUAUGAUUUUGUAGGGAUGAACUUUCUUUAGCCAUGUUAUUUCGAGAAGACAUGAUUGCUUAGUUAGUAUGCUUGAAGUAUUACUAUUUCUUAUGUCAAUACGAACUGUUAUUUUGAAUCAUUUGGAUCUGAACAUUCAUGCCACAAUUAAGAAAAUUACAUUAAGAAAUGUGCUAGGUAGCAUUCCACAUCAAAAAUUCUGUUUUGAUCAUUUACCUACUCAAGGAGGAGUAGGAAUUAAGCUUGGGGAUGCUUGAUACGUCUCCAACGUAUCUAUAAUUUUUGAUUGUUCCAUGCUAUUAUAUUACCUAUUUUGGAUGUUUAUGAUACACUUUUAUAUCAUUUUUGGGACUAACCUACUAACCGGAGGCCCAGCCCGAAUUGCUGUUUUUUUGCCUAUUUCAGUGUUUCGUAGAAAAGGAAUAUCAAUCGGAGUCCAAACAGAAUGAAACUUUCGGGAGUGAUCUUUUUGGAACAAACACAAUCCAGGAGACUUGGAGUGGACGUCAAGCAGCAAACGAGGCAGACACGAGGGUGCCCGGUGCGCCUUAGGGGGGUGGGCGUGCCCCCACCCUCGUGGGCCCCUCGUGGCUCAGCCGACCUACUUCUUCCUCCUAUAUAUAUCCACGUACCCUGAAACCAUCCGGGAGCACCACGAAAAACUAUUUCCACCACCACAACCUUCUAUAUCCGCGAGAUCCCAUCUUGGAGCUUUCGACGGUGUUCCGUCGGAGGGGGAAUCAACCACAGAGGGCCUCUCCAUCAUCACCAAGGCCUCUCCGAUGAGUUGUGAGUAGUUUACCAUAGACCUUCGGGUCCAUAGUUAUUAGCUAGAUGGCUUCUUCUCUCUAUUUGAAUCUCAAUACAAAUUUCUCCUCGACCUUCUUAGAGAUCUAUUCGAUGUAACUCUUUUUGCGGUGUAUUUGUCGAGAUCCGAUAAAUUGUGGGUUUACUAUCAAGUUUAUCUAUGAGAAAUAUUUGAAUCUCCUCUGAAUUCUUUUAUGCAUGAUUGGUUAUCUUUGCAAGUCUCUUCGAAUUAUCAGUUUGGUUUACCUACUAGAUUGAUCUUUCUUGCAACGGGAGAAGUGCUUAGCUUUGGGUUCAAUCUUGCGGUGUCUGAGGGAGUCCCGGAUUAGGGGGUGUCUGGAUUGUCGGACUAUGACCUUUGGCUAGACUCCUGGACUAUGAAGAUACAAGAUUGAAGACUUCGUCCCGUGUCCGGAUGGGACUUUCCUUGGCGUGGAAGGCAAGCUUGGCGAUACGGAUAUGUAGAUAUCCUCCCAUUGUAACCGACUCUGUGUAACCCUAGCCCUCUCCGGUGUCUAUAUAAACCGGAGGGUUUUAGUCCGUGGGACGAACAACAAUCAUACCAUAGGCUAGCUUCUAGGGUUUAGCCUCUCUGAUCUCGUAGUAGAUCUACUCUUGUACUACCCAUAUCAUCAAUAUUAAUCAAGCAGGAGUAGGGUUUUACCUCCACCGAGCGGGCCCGAACCUGGGUAAAAACAUCAUGUCCCUUGUCUCCUGUUACCAUCCGCCUAGACGCAUAGUUCGGGACCCCCUACCCGAGAUCCGCCGGUUUUGACAUCGACAUUGGUGCUUUCAUUGAGAGUUCUGUUGUGCCGUCUCCAUCAGGAAGGAUGCCUCAUCCCGUCUUUAAAGACGGCGCUGUCGCUAAAGGAGCUUUGGCUAUCGGCCAAACUCUCCGGCUAGGCGGUUUUCUUAUGACCGCCUGUUCGGCCGCCGCGCCGACAUGACUUCUCGGGUCAUCGAAAGCAAUCUCCACGUCAACUCGGAACUCGCCGAGCAGUUAGAUCCGAUGGAGCUCUUUUCCUUAAACGAGCUCUUGGAUCGCAUCGCCGCCCUGGGAGUCGCUACAGACUACGAUCAGAUUGGGCUUAAACCCGAUCUAAGAGAGAUUAACUCUCCCCAGGUCACCCACCAUGUCGCAGUGGUGGAGGAACAACGCGUCAAGUCUUCAUCUAUCUUAAGGACUAGUUAUGUCCGGAUUCCCGACCCCUCCAAGCCGGAUACCCGCGGAGGGGAGGACGUCACUCAAGCCCUGAACCUAAAGUCAGGCAGCGGGCUAGAUUCAUUGGACAACAUCCAAGAACCCAAGCUUCCGAGUUCGGAAACUCCUUGGCCCCUGAGUCUCAGAUUGGGCGAGGUUCCGGAUUUAAUUCCACCCGCCCACCCAAAUAUAAGGGAUCUAUCCCAAAUUCGGCAAGCGCCCGCAGAAAUAGUACACCAUUACUGGGCCAGAUUCCUCCUGGUUAUGAACAUGAUAAAGGACUUCCGCGAGGAGGAUGCAAUUUCAUUCUUCUGCAAUAAUUGCACGGACAACGGAAUCCUCAACGCCGUAAGUCGCCGUGAAAUUACACGCUUCGCCGACUUGGCAUCCAUAGUAUGAAAGUACUGUGCGAUGGAAAGCGCCUGGAAAACCGAAAUAAAAUUUUGGGACAAUCCGGCCCUGAAUACAACCCCAGUCCGAAAUAAAAGGGUGCAUUAUCACCAGGCACCUGGGUUAAACACCAAAAAGCAAAAACCCUCUAUAGGGCAUGGAACCGUACUGGAGGGAUGGCUCAAUGGACCUUGUAAAAUUCAUAGUACAUAGGGCACCACACAAACUCAUAGCCUUAGAGCAUGUUGGAUACUCCGGCAGGUGGCCAGGAGUGGCGAGGAGCUUCUAACUCCAAAAUUCACAGAGCACCGGCCCAGGGAUACCAGUACAGUAUUAACAGUCUUUGAGACUUUCGCAUCAAAUAAUAUGCGGAAACGAACACUCCGCAACCUUGCCGAAGUCUACCAAGUAGCAAUAAUAAACCCAUGGAGUGACACAGAUAUUACCUUUAAUGCCAGUGAUGAACCUAAAUUCCGAACAGCCCGAGCACCACGCAUUGGUCCUCAGUCCAAUAGUGGACGGCUUUCGCCUUACCAAGGUACUCAUGGACGGUGGCAGCGGAUUGAACCUCAUUUAUGAGGAAACCCUUCAAAAAAUGGAAAUAGACUGGAGCCGCAUUGAGCGAAGCAACACAACCUUUAGAGGAAUAAUCCCCGGUCGGGAAGCGUGCUGUACAGGAAAAAAUCACACUGGAUGUGGUGUUCGGCAUGCCGGAUAAUUACCGGUCCGAGGAGGUCACGUUUCAAGUGGCCCCGUUCAGCAGCGGGUACCACGCUCUAUUAGGGCGAGAGGUUCACAAUUUUUCAAGCUAUACCCCAUUACGGGUACAUGAAACUCAAAAUGCCCGGACCCAACGGAAUCAUCACUCUUGCUAGCGACCCGGACAUAGCACUCCACGUCAAAAAUAAGACAGCCGCACUGGCCCUUGAGGCACUAUCCGAAGCCCUGGCGGCCGAGGAACUGACUGCGCUGCGCUCCAUGGUGAACAGGGAUGAUGUGAUACUCGAUAAGAGAUCCAAGUCCACCUUCUUUAAACCGGCGGACGAAAUAGUAAAAUUCCAAGUCCAUCCAAUGGACCCUACAAAAACGGCCUCCAUCGGGGCACACUUAAACCCUGAUGUAGACACCGCACUACGAGAAUUCCUACGCGAAAAUUGGGACAUUUUUGCAGGCUCUUCGGCGUUUCUCCGAACCUAAGAGACAAGCCAUGGGAGAGGAGCUAGACAAACUACUGGAGGCCAGAUUCAUCAGAGAUAUAAAACAUCCGGACUAGCUAGCAAACCUGGUGAUGGUACCAAAGAAGGACAAAUCCUGGCGCCUCUGCGUCGAUUUCAAGGACCUCAACAAGACUUGCCCAAAGGAUCCCUUCACCCUCCCCCGCAUCGAUCAAAUUAUCAACGCUACCGCAGGACAGAUUCAUUGUUUCCUCGACGCAUACUCCGGCUACCAUCAAAUUAAGAUGGCAGAGCCAGACCAAGCCGCAACGGCAUUCAUCACCCCAUACGGCCCAUUCUACUUCAACAAAAUGCCCUUCGGGCUCAAAAACACCGGCGCAACAUAUCAGCGCAUGAUUCAGACAUGUCUGGCAAACCAGAUCGGCAAAAUAGUAGAAGCGUACAUAGACGACGUGGUCAUCAAAACCAAGCAUGUCGAAACUCUAGUAGAUGACUUGAGGCUCACAUUCGAUAACCUCCGAACAUAUGACAUCAAGCUCAACCCGGAAAAAUACGUUUUCGGCGUACCAGCCAGAAAGCUCUUGGGCUUCAUUGUAUCCGGUAGAGGAAUUGAAGCAAACCCAGCCAAGAUCCGAGCUCUGUCACAAUUGGAUAUUCCAAAGGACCUCAAACAAAUACAAAAAUUGACUGGAUGCGUGGCGGCUCUAAGCCGCUUUAUCUCCCGCUUGGGAGAAAAGGCAUUACCCCUUUAUUGCCUCCUCUGGUGCACCGAACACGACGGAUGCCGCCACGGUCGGACUCGAAGAAAUAAAAGCCACAUUGGAAACAAACCCGGUCCUGGCCGCGCCCAACAUCGGCGAUCCAAUGCUAUUAUACAUUGCGGCAACUUAUCAAGUUGUAAGCGCAGUACUCGUCGUCGAACGAGAAACGGACGGACACAAAUUCCCCCUUCAAAAACCAGUUUACUACGUGUCCACUGUCCUCACUCCAUGCAAUUCACGGUACCCACAUUAUAAGAAGAUAGCGUACGCGGUGUUUAUGGCAUCCUGGAAGCUGCGACUACUUUCAAGAGUGUUUGAUAACAGUAGCCUCCGAAGUACCUCUUAACGAUAUUAUAAACAACCGUGAAGCGACGAGCCGGAUUGCCAAAUGGGCCAUUGAGCUCCUCCCGUUCGACAUAACCUAUAAGCCACGGCGAGCUAUCAAGUCGCAAGGUUUGGCCGACUUCAUCGCCGAAUGGACUGAAGCCGAACUCCCUAAAGAGUACGACACAUAUUCCAACUAGAUCAUGCACUUCGACGGCUCCAAAAUCUUAGCUGGUUUGGGGGCUGGCGUCGUUCUGACGUCCCCAAUAGGAGAUACAGUUCAAUAUGUACUCCAGAUAAUGUAUAUGGACUCCAACAACGCAGCCGAAUACGAGGCCCUUCUACAUGGUCUCCGGAUGGCAGUCUCCAUGGGCAUCCAACGCCUAGAGGUGCGUGGGGAUUUGAACCUCCGAAAAUGGUAGCUUAUCGCAAACAUUUUCUUGGAAAGGCUAUUCAAGCCAUCCGUACUAUGGGAAGGGGAAUCCGGAAAUAACAGCCCAGACCCAACCGCACCGCCCGACACCGAACAUUCUGACACAACGGGAGGCUAUGCCAACGAAGUAACAUCCUUAGCCCAUGUAAUAAUGGCAGUCAUUGCCCCGUGGAUAGAACCAUUCCUAGCGUACCUAACUAGGCAGGAACUUCCCGAGGACCAAAACGAGGCACGCUGCAUAGUGCGACGAUCUAAAGCCUAUAAAGUCCAUGAAGGAAAGCUUUAUAAGAAAAGCACUACCGGAGUCCUUCAAAGGUGUAUCUCCGAAGAGGAAGGGCGGAAUCUUCUGGCUGAAAUUCAUGCUGGGCUCGGCGGGCACCACGCCGUAGCCCGGGCCCUUGUAAGCAAGGCCUUUCGUACAAGAUUUUAUUAGCCGACGGCCCGGGCAGAUGCUCAGGACUUAGUCCAACGAUGCGUCGGUUGCCAACUCUUUGCUAACCAAAGCCAUAUGCCACCCACCGCCCUCGAAACUAUACCCAUCACCUGGCCCUUUGUGGUCUGGGGGCUUGACAUGGUUGGACCCCUUAAAGGAGGAACCCACAAACAAAAAUACCUACUGGUCAUGGUGGACAAAUUCACCAAAUGGAUAGAGGCCAAGCCUGUUAAGAUGGCCAAAUCCGGACCAGUGAUAGACUUCAUAUCAGGGGUCGUACACUGUUACGGUGUCCCCAACAGCAUCAUCACUGAUAAUGGCACGAACUUUACGACCGACGAGGUCAAACUCUGGUGCAAAAACAUGGGCAUCAAGCUCGACUACGCUUCAGUCUAUCACCCACAAACUAACGGUCAAGUCGAGCAAGCAAAUGGUCUAAUAAUGAGUGGCAUCAAACCUAGAUUAGUGCGGUCCCUCAAGGAAUCUAACACGCACUGGGUAGAGGAGCUCGACUCCGUACUCUGGGGGCUGUGGACCACUCUGAAUCGCACAACCGGAUUCACACCAUUCUUUAUGGUAUACGAUACAGAGGCAGUUCUGCCCUGCGACAUAAUUCAUGACUCACCUCACGUGCGCAUGUACGAAGAAAGAGAAGCCGAACUCGAUCGGCAGGACAACUUGGACGCCUUGGAGGAGGAGCGUGACAUGGCAAAAGCCUGUUCAGCAUUCUAUCAACAGCAGGCUCGAAGAUAUCAAAGCAGAGAAGUACGGGCCAAAACUUAUAAUGUUGGUGAGUUAGUUAUAUGCCUGCUGGACAAGAAAAAGGACAAACUCAAGCCCAAAUGGGAAGGUCCCUUCAUUAUUGACCAAGUCCUCACUUGUGGAGCGUACUGUCUGCGAGAUGCAUCGGAUAACCGACUCGAGCCGAGCCCAUGGAACGCAGCCCGUCUCCGAAGAUUCUACGCCUAGCCCCGGACUCUGUGUUCGUCUCCUUCCUCUGUCCAUUUAUUAUACAUUAGUUGUCUUAUAUUUCUCUACUUCUCCCUCCUUUUCUCUUACAGCCUUUAAGGGCUUGUUCGUGCCUUGUUCGCACACAAUUGACGCGCUAUCCGCGCUCAUCAUACCUGGGGGCUUCUUUAACAAAAGCUUGUUUAUACAGGGCCUCAUGCCCAACACAUGUGUCACACUUCCGCAUGUACCUUUUUUCUCACCAUUAUAUGCAUCCAUAUGACUUAAGUUUUGGCCAAGCUGGGUUGCCUGGCUCAUGUGCUUACCCCUACGUUCCCGAUUGUUCGGCUAGGCGGUAAAGGGAGCACCUCUGCGAUUGUUACUGCCGGGUCAGCCGGAUGUGUACCUCAGACUGGGUGAAGUCGAAAGCUAGUGUUCUUAAGGGAAUAUUCGGUCGGUGAACUAAAGAUGAUUUCCAACUCGUUUAUCUAUCCGCCCCCAGAUGCUUUUCUUCUCUUUUCGCAGUCCGGACAUGCACUUUAGGGCAUGCCUCCCCAGGGAAAGGAACCCCUAACGGAACUAUUCUCCCUGGAAGAUGUUUCUUACUAACCAUGUAAUAUAACAUAACUAGUUGGGCACUUGUCUGUUCAAGCACUAAUGACCCCUACGCCUGGUCUCCACGCAUGCCCUAGUUCUUACAUAACCGAGAGGGUAUUCGGACACACUCCGGACUAUCGGGUCCCGAGGUUGAAGCGAGAAGGUCCGCCAUGACAAACGAUCUACAAUCCGGCUAGAAGGCAUUUUAUAUGUCAUUUUAAAUUACAUAGUCAAUUUGACUAGGUAUAUUCCUCUUCAAUACCAUCCAACAGGUUGUCUAGUUUACAGUCCUGUUGGGAAUAUUUGGCGGCCAACUCUACCUGGCUGUACACUAAACUCACAGGGAUCUCCUUCCCAUCGGGCCCCACAGGUCCGACCUCGGCCAUGUGGUUUGGGUCGGACUUCGUGUACCGCGUCUUCACCAUGGCCCAGGCUUCCCUGGCGCCUUGACGGCAGGCCGAUAUCUUCCAUAAUCGGAAGCGCCGCCACGCUCCCUUCAGCUUCUUUGCAAGCUCUCCAAGGCCUUCGGGCAUGGAGACGGAUGGCCACAAGGCCUGGAUGACACCUUGCAUUACCUGCCGAACUCGUUCGUGCAGUUGUAAGAGCUCAGGAAGAAGGUCACCCAUAGAACCGGGCAUUUCCUCGGCACGCCGACCUGUCAGCAUACCUACAGACAUAACUCUGUCAAUCGACUUCCUCGCCGAACUCUUUUUCGAAGUUCGUUCAAGCACUUACUAAAAAUGUCACGUCGAAGCCGCCGAUUCUCCUUCACGGAGUCCGACAGCUGAGCACGAACAUCCUUUAGUUCCUCGCCCAGCUGGGUGUUGGCAUCUUGGAGCUUAUUCUUCUCUUGCCUCACCCUUGUAAGCUAUCUCGCCGGCCUUUAACCGGCGCAAGAGUUGUUGCUUGUCCGGAUCCACUCCGGCGCCAUCUGCAAUGUUAUCGUCAAAUUUGCACACAUGCCGCCCUUCACAACAUACUUAUCUUUCGAAGCAUAUAUUACCAGAGGGGGUCUCCUUGGUCUCCCCCGCUGCGGCUAGUGUGGCCUCAAGUUGGGCUUUGCACUUUUCCAGCUCCUGGGACAGUUGGGUAUUCUUUUCUGUAAGAUCCUGCAUAACAAAUGAUCCUUAAAUCAGUUAUUCUAACUGUUUCAAGUCUUGGGGGCUACUGACAUAUAUAACCAUCAAUUUUUCUCACCCGUAUGUCUUUUACAUACUACUCUGUGGCUCCGGCUAGACCAUUUUGAGCGGCACGGAGGUAUGCAUAUCCCGUAUUAAAGGCAUCCAAUGCCUCCUGGGAUAAACAAGCGUCACGAAGAACUGUCCGGCGACGCCUGUGGUUCAUGGCACUCUCCACCUCGGAAUUGGUGGCAGACAGCCCGUCCGCAUCCUCUGUCGGAGGAGCGCCCGAUGCGCGCCUCGUGUUCGCCUCCGCUUCCGGACCCGGCCUUGGAGCCUGGCCGGUGGAGGCGCGAUUGGCAACCUCUCCGGAUAUAGUCCGGCGAGUGCUCUUUUUCCUGAAGAGAGCACGAGCGUUAGUAUACCUUGAGGGAAUAAAACCUGGGAAUAAAAUCGCGCGCCAUACCACUGCACCGGCGUCUCAAUCCGGACCGCACUUCUUUUCAGCCUGCCAGGCCUUGAUGCCCCUUGUUGGCUAGCCACCGCAGGCUCGGCCCUCCGCCUCAAGGACUUCCCCUGCAAAAACACCAUUGGUAUACGGUGGUCAAAAAUAAGCACGGGUGCAUCAUCUUAAAAGUACGGGGACUUCAGUCUCGGUUACUUGUGAGGCUAGAAGUAGUCCGGGAUAAUCGGUCGUAAUGGCCACUAAGGUGUUGUCCUUGCUCAAUUGAUGAAACACCCCAUCGAUCAGCUCCACAGAUAAGUCCGGGUCCUCUUGGGAGUCUGGAUUGAAGGACCGUUCCGGGUCCUCGGGUUGUGUAGGAGGGCUGUUUAUCUCCUUUACAGCCUAGCGUAGCUCCUGCAUUGAAAUUGCUAGGCUGAAUACUUAACUAUGGGAAUAUGAAACAGAUGGGCGAGUGAAAGUGCCUGCUUACCCAGCUUGGAGGAUUUUACAUAGAAAAUCCGCCCGUGGGUUGGCACGGAGGAAUUCCUCCUCUUCUCCCUUGUACAAAGUGGACAAGAUCUUUAUUAGAGCGGCAGCCGAUUCCGGCCCCUUACGGCCGCACCGGGUGUCGUCGUCCUCCCCGUUGAAAUCCCACAUGGGGUGGCCUCUAUACUGAAGCGGCUGCACCCCCCGCAUAGUGCAUGUGGCCAUGACCUCGAUCAUGGUCAGUCCGGAAUGAGCUAACAACCUUAUCCAGCUCAUCAGGUAAAGGACGUCCUUGUCAUUUUCCUUCUGAGGGCUCCGUGGACGCCAGCUUAGGCGCUUCUUCAAAGGAGCAUUAUUAAACUCAGGGAGGCCGAUCCGAAUAGGGUCCGGCAGGGGGACAUCUUCUAUAUAAAAUCAUUCUGAGGGACAGUCUUCGGACGCCUUCUUUGGGGUUCCGGAUAGAUAUCCGGUCCAGGCGAUGCGCCAUAGUUUGGCUCCGCCCACUUGAUAUAUCGACCCCUCCUGAGAAUGGGGCACAAGGCAGAACAACUUCUUCCACAGCGCGAAAUGGGCCUCGACGCCCAGAAACAGCUCGCAAAGGGCUAUGAAGCCCGCAAUAUGCAAUAUGGAGGCAGGCGUAAGGUUGUGCAACUGGAGGCCGUAGAACUCCAGGAGCCCCCGGAGAAACAGAUGAAUUGGAAAUCCGAGCCCUCUUAUCAAAUAAGAGACAAGGCAUACCCGCUCUCCUUUGGAGGGAUUGGGGACGCUCUCCGCUUGCUCUCCACCAUUAUAGGUGGCAAGCCCGGCUCGAACCGGGACCAUGUAGGCUGGGGGGAGAAACCCCUUGGUUUGGAGCACCACUAGCUCAUUGUGCGGGACGGAGCAUCUCUCCCAAUCUCCAGGCUGAGGGAUGUGGGGGCGAGAGGAGGAGCUGCAUCGACUGGCCAUGAUGGAAUGGAUCUCUGUCGAAUGCACUCCGAUGAAUGCUCGCGGAGGGAAGAUGGUGUGAUUCUGAUCUAAAUCCCCGUCUCUUUUAUAGGCGGCUCAUUUGCACAGCUAGGGGGGUAAAUGAAAAAACACCCUAGCUUUUCGCAUUCUCUUCACACGUGGAAGAUGGCCAUUAUUGGGCGCAGAAGCCAAGGAGCGCAACAUUCAUCAUAAGCUGGACACUAUUCAACAGGUAUAUGGAAUUUGGAGAAGAACCCGCCUUGCAAUGCCGAAGACAAAUCUGCGCGCCGGACUCAUCGUCAUUGAAGCCCUGUUCGGGGGCUACUGAGGGAGUCCCGGAUUAGGGGGUGUCCGGAUUGCCGGACUAUGACCUUUGGCCGGACUCCUGGACUAUGAAGAUACAAGAUUGAAGACUUCGUCCCGUGUCCGGAUGGGACUUUCCUUGGCGUGGAAGGCAAGCUUGGCGAUAUGGAUAUGUAGAUCUCCUCCCAUUGUAACCGACUCUAUGUAACCCUAACCCUCUCCGGUGUCUAUAUAAACCGGAGGGUUUUAGUCCGUGGGAUGAACAACAAUCAUACCAUAGGCUAGCUUCUAGGGUUUAGCCUCUCCGAUCUCGUGGUAGAUCUACUCUUGUACUACCCAUAUCAUCAAUAUUAAUCAAGCAGGAGUAGGGUUUUACCUCCACCGAGAGUGCCCAAACCUGGGUAAAAACAUCGUGUCCCUUGUCUCCUGUUACCAUCCACCUAGACGCACAGUUCGGGACCCCCUACCCGAGAUCCGCCGGUUUUGACACCGACAGUGUCCUUUCCCAGUGACAGCAGGGGCAGCAAGGCACGUAUUGUAUUGUUGCCAUCGAGGAUAAAAAGAUGGGGUUUAUAUCAUAUUGCUUGAGUUUAUCCCUCUACAUCAUGUCAUCUUGCUUAAUGUGUUACUCUGUUCUUAUGAACUUAAUACUCUAGAUGCAGGCAGGAGUCGGUCGAUGUGUGGAGUAACAGUAGUAGAUGCAACAGGAGUCGAUCUACUUGUUGCGGAUGUGAUGGAUGCCUAUAUACAUGAUAAUGCCUAGAUAUUCUAAUAACUAUGCACUUUUCUAUCAAUUGCUCAACAGUAAUUUGUUCAUGCACCAUAAUACUUAUGCUAUCUUGAGAGAAGCCACUAGUGAAACCUAUGGCCCCCGGGUCUAUUCUCUAUCAUAUAAGUUUCCAAUCGACUUUAUUUUGCAAUCUUUAAUUUUCAAUCUAUAUCAUAAAAAUACCAAAAAUAUUUAUCUUAUCAUAUUAUCUCUAUCAGAUCUCACUUUCGCAAGUGGCCGUGAAUGGAUUGACAACCCCUUUAUCGCGUUGGUGGCGAGGUUCUUGUUUGUUUUUAUAGGUAUGAGGGACUUGCGUGGAGUCUCCUACUGGAUUGAUACCUUGGUUCUCAAAACCUGAGGGAAAUACUUACCCUACUUUGCUGCAUCACCCUUUCCUCUUCAAGGGAAAAACCAACACAUGCUCAAGAGGUAGCAUCGCGCCGGUGAUGAUGGAGAUCAUGACGAUGCUUUGGUGAUGGAGAUCAUGAGCGCAAGAUGAUGAUGGCCAUAUCAUGUCACAUAUUUUGAUUGCAUGUGAUGUUUAUCCUUUAUGCAUCUUAUUUUUCUUAGAACGUCAGUAGCAUUAUAAGAUGAUCCCUUACUAAAAAUUUCAAGGUACAAGUGUUCUCCCCGAGUAUGCACCAUUGCUAUAGUUCGUUGUGCGGAGACACCAUGUGAUGAUCUAGUGUGAUAAGCUCUACGUUCACAUACAACGGGUGCAAGCCAGUUUUGCACACACAGAAUACUCAGGUUAAACUUGAUGAGCCUAGUAUAUGCAGAUAUGGCCUCGGAACAUUAAGACCGAAAGGUCGAGCAUGAAUCAUAUAGUAGAUAUGAUCAACAUAGUGAUGUUCACCAUUGAAAACUACUCCAUCUCACAUGAUGAUUGGACAUGGUUUAGUUGAUUUGGAUCACGUGAUCACUUGGAUAAUUAGAGGGAUGUCUAUCUAAGUGGGAGUUCUUAAGUAAUAUGAUUAAUUGAACUUUAAUUUAUCAUGAACUUAGUACCUGAUAGUAUUUUGCAUGUCUAUGUUGUAGUUGAUCAAUGGCUCGUGCUACUGUUCCAUUGAAUUUUAAUGCGUUCCUAGAGAAAGCUAAGUUGAAAGAUGAUGGCAGCAACUACACAGACUGGGUCCAUAACUUGAGGAUUAUCCUCAUUGCUGCACAAAAGAAUUACGUCCUGGAAGCACCGUUAGGUGUACCACCCGCGCCCGCAACUGCAGACAUUGUGAAUGCCUGGCAGGCGCGUGUUGAUGACUACUUGAUAGUUCAGUGUGCCAUGCUUUACGGCUUAGAAUCGGGACUUUAACGACGUUUUGAACGUCAUGGAGCAUAUGAGAAAUUCCAGGAGUUGAAGUUAAUAUUCCAAGCAAAUGCUCGAAUUGAGAGAUUUGAAGUCCCCAAUAAGUUCUACAGCUGUAAAAUGGAGGAGAAUAGUUCCGUCAAUGAACACAUACUCAGAAUGUCUGGGUACCACAACCACUUGACUCAACUGGGAAUUAAUCUUCCUGAUGAUAGUGUCAUUGAUAGAGUUCUUCAAUCACUGCCACCAAGCUACAAAAGCUGCGUAAUGAACUAUAAUAUGCAAGGGAUGAACAAGACUAUUCCCGAGCUCUUCUCAAUGCUAAAGGCUGUGGAGGUAGAAAUCAAAAAGGAGCAUCAAGUGUUGAUGGUCAACAAGACCACUAGUUUCAAGAAAAAGGGCAAAUGGAAGAAGGGGAACUUCAAGAAGAAUGGCAAAAAGGUUGUUGCUCAAGAGAAGAAACCCAAGUCUGGACCUAAGCCUAAAACUGAGUGCUUCUACUGCAAAGGGACUGGUCACUGGAAGCGGAACUGCCCCAAGUAUUUGGCGGAUAAGAAGGAUGGCAAAGUGAAAGGUAUAUUUGAUAUACAUGUUAUUGAUGUGUACUUAACUAAUGCUCGCAGUAGCGCCUGGGUAUUCGAUACUGGUUUUGUUUCUCAUAUUUGCAAGUCGAAACAGGGGCUACGGAUUAAGCGAAGAUUGACUAAGGAUGAGGUGACGAUGCGCGUGGGAAAUGGUUCCAAAGUCGAUGUGAUCGCGGUCGGCACACUACCUCUACAUCUACCAUCAGGAUUAGUUUUAGACCUGAAUAAUUGUUAUUUGGUGCCAGCGUUGAGCAUGGACAUUAUAUCUGAAUCUUGUAUAAUGUGAGACGGUUGUUCAUUUAAAUCAGAGAAUAAUGGUUGUUCUAUUUAUAUGAGUAAUAUCUUUUAUGGUCAUGCACCCCUACUGAGUGGUCUAUUUUUGUUGAAUCUCGAUAGUAGUGAUACACAUAUUCAUAGUGUUGAAGCCAAAAGAUAUAAGUUUAAUAAUGAUAGUGCAACUUAUUUAUGGCACUGCCGUUUGGGUCAUAUUGGUGUAAAGCGCAUGAAGAAACUCCAUGCUGAUGGAAUUUUGGAAUCACUUGAUUAUGAAUCACUUGGUGCUUGCGAACCGUUCCUUAUGGGUAAGAUGACUAAAACUCCGUUCUCCGGAACAAUGGAACGAGCUACUGACUUAUUGGAAAUAAUACAUACUGAUGUAUGCGGUCCAAUGAGUAUUGAAGCUCAUGGCGGGUAUCGUUAUUUUCUUACCUUCACAAAUGAUUUAAGCAGAUAUGGUUAUGUCUACUUAAUGAAGCAUAAGUCUGAAACAUUUGAAAAGUUCAAAGAAUUUCAGAGUGAAGUGGAAAAUCAUCGUAACAAGAAAAUAAAGUUUCUACGAUCUGAUCGUGGAGGAGAAUAUUUGAGUUAUGAGUUUGGUCUUCAUUUGAAACAACAUGGGAUAGUUUCACAAUUAACGCCACCUAGAACACCAUAGUGAAAUGGUGUGUCCGAACGUCGUAACCGUACUUUAUUAUAUAUGGUGCGAUCUAUGAUGUCUCUUACUGAUUUAUCGAUAUCAUUUUGGGGUUAUGCUUUAGAGACGGCUGCAUUCACUUUAAAUAGGGCACCACAAAAUCCGUUGAGACGACGCCUUAUGAACUGUGGUUUGGUAAGAAACCAAAGUUAUCGUUUCUUAAAGUUUGGGGCUGCGAUGCUUAUGUGAAAAAGCUUCAACCUGAUAAGCUCGAACCCAAAUCGGAGAAGUGUGUCUUCAUAGGAUACCCAAAGGAAACUGUUGGGUACACCUUCUAUCACAGAUCCGAAGGCAAAAUCUUUGUUGCUAAGAAUGGAUCCUUUUUAGAGAAGGAUUUUCUCUCGAAAGAAGUGAGUGGGAGGAAAGUAGAACUUGAUGAGGUAGUUGUGCCUUCUCCCUUAUUGGAAAGUAAUUCAUCACAGAAAUCAGUUUCUGUGAUUCCUACACAAUUAGUGAGGAAGCUAAUGAUGAUGAUCAUGAAGCUUCAGAUCAAGUUACUACCGAACCUCAUAGGUCUUCUAGAGUGAGAUCCGCACCAGAGUGGUGCAGUAAUCCUGUUCUGGAAGUCAUGUUACUAGAUCAUGAUGAACCUACGAACUAUGAGGAAGCGAUGAUGAGCCCAGAUUCCGCAAAAUGGAUUGAAGCCAUGAAAUCUGAGAUGGGAUCCAUGUAUGAGAACAAAGUGUGGACUUUGGUGGACUUGCCCGAUGAUCGGCAAGCCAUAGAAAAUAAAUGGAUCUUUAAGAAGAAGACCAACGUAGACGGUAAUGUUACUGUUUAAAAAGCUCAACUUGUUGCGAAAGGUUUUCGACAAGUUCAAGGAGUUGACUAUGAUGAGACUUUCUCACCCGUAGCGGUGCUUAAGUCUGUCUGAAUCAUGUUAGCAAUUGCUGCAUUUUAUGAUUAUGAAAUUUGGCAAAUGGAUGUCAAAACUGCAUUCCUGAAUGAUUUCUGGAAGAAGAAUUGUAUAUGAUGCAACCAGAAGGUUUUGUCGAUCCAAAGGGUUCUAACAAAGUGUGCAAGCUCCAUCGAUCCAUUUAUAGACUGGUGCAAGCCUCUCGGAGUUGGAAUAAACGCUUUGAUAGUGUGAUCAAAGCAUAUGGUUUUAUACAGACUUUUGGAGAAGCCUGUAUUUACAAGAAAGUGAGUGGGAGCUCUGUAGCAUUUCUGAUACUAUAUGUGGAUGACAUAUUGUUGAUUGGAAAUGAUAUAGAAUUUCUGGAUAGCAUAAAGGGAUACCUGAAUAAGAGUUUUUCCAUGAAAGUCCUCGGUGAAGCUGCUUACAUGUUGGGCAUCAAGAUCUAUAGAGAUAGAUCAAGACGCCUAAUUGGACUUUCACAAAGCACAUACCUUGAUAAAGUUUUAAAGAAGUUUAAAAUGGAUCAGUCAAAGAGAGGGUUCUUGCCUGUGUUACAAGGUGUGAAGUUGAGUCAUACUCAAUGCCCGACCACUACCGAAGAUAGAGAGAAAAUGAAAGUCAUUCCCUAUGCUUCAGCCAUAGGUUCUAUCAUGUAUGCAAUGUUGUGUACCAUACCUGAUGUAUGUCUUGCUAUAAGCAUAGCAGGGAGGUACCAAAGUAAUCUCGGAGUGGAGCACUGAACAACGGUCAAGAACAUCCUGAAAUACCUGAAAAGGGACUAAGGAUAUGUUUCUGGUUUAUGGAGGUGAAAAAGAGCUCGUCGUAAACGGUUACGUCGAUGCAAGCUUUGACACUAAUCCGGAUGACUCUAAGUCGCAAAUUGGAUAUGUAUUUUUAUUGAAUGGAGGAGCUGUCAGUUGGUCCAGUUCCAAAGAGAGCGUCGUGGUAGGAUCUACGUGUGAAGUGGAGUACAUUGCUGCUUCGGAAGCAGCGAAUGAAGGAGUUUGGAUGAAGGAGUUCAUAUCCGAUCUAGGUGUCAUACCUAGUGCAUCGGGUCCAAUGAAAAUCUUCUGUGACAAUACUGGUGCAAUUGCCUUGGCAAAGGAAUCCAGAUUUCACAAGAGAACCAAGCACAUCAAGAGACACUUCAAUUCCACCCGUCAUCAAGUGUCGGAGGGGGGCAUAGAGAUUUGCAAGAUACACAUGGAUCUGAAUAUUGCAGACCCGUUGACUAAGCCUCUUCCACGAGCAAAACAUGAUCAGCACCAAAGCUCCAAGGGUGUUAGAAUCAUUACAAUGUAAUCUAGAUUAUUGACUCUAGUGCAAGGUGGGAGACUGAAGGAAAUAUGCCCUAGAGGCAAUAAUAAAAAUAUUAUUUAUUUCCUGAAUUCAUGAAGAAUGUUUAUUAUUCAUGCUAUAAUUGUAUUAACCGGAAACUUAGUACAUGUAUGAAUACAUACACAAAACAUAUAGUCCCUAGUAUGCCUCUACUUGACUAGCUCGUUAAUCAAAGAUGGUUAUGUUUCCUAACCAUAGACAUGUGUUGUCAUUUGAUGAACGGGAUCACAUCAUUAGGAGAAUGAUGUGAUGGACAUGACCCAUCCGUUAGCUUAGCAUUAUGAUCGUGUUAGUUUCAUUGCUACUGCUUUCUUCAUGACUUAUACAAGUUCCUCAGACUAUGAGAUUAUGAAACUCCCUAAUACCGGAGGAACAGUUUGUGUGCUACCAAACAUCACAACGUAAAUGGGUGAUUAUAAAUAUGCUCUACAGGUGUCUCCGAAGGUGUUUGUUGGGUUGGCAUAGAUCGAGAUUAGGAUUUUUCACUCUGUGUUUCGGAGAGGUAUCUCUGGGCCCAUUCGGUAAUACUCAUCACUAUAAGCCUUGCAAACAUUGUGUCUAAUGAGUUAGUUGCAGGAUGAAGUAUUAUGUAAUGAGUAAAGAGACUUGCCGGUAACGAUAUUGAACUAGGUAUUGAGAUACCAACGAUCAAAUCUCGGGCAAGUAACAUAUCGAUGACAAAGGGAACAAUGUAUGUUGUUAUGCGGCUUGACCGAUAAAGAUCUUCAUAGAAUAUGUAGGAACCAAUAUGAGCAUCCAGGUUCCACUAUUGGUUAUUGACCGGAGAUGUGUCUCGGUCAUGUCUACAUAGUUCUCGAACCCGUAGGGUCCGCACGCUUAACGUUUGAUGACGAUUGGUAUUAUGAGUUUAUGUGUUUUGAUGUACCGAAGGUAGUUCGGAGUCCUGGAUGUGAUCACGGACAUGACGAGGAGUCUCGAAAUGGUUGAGACAUAAAGAUCGAUAUAUUGGAAGGCUAUGUUUGGACACCGGAAAGGUUCCUAGAGGUUCGGGCAUUUUUCCGGAGUAUCGGGACAUUACCGGAACCCCCCGGGGAGUCAAUGGGCCUUAAUGGGCCAUAGUGGAAGAGAGGAGGAGGCGGCCAAGGUGGGGCGCCCUCCCCCAAGCCCAAUCCGAAUUGAGAGGGGGGCCGGCCCCCCUUUCGUUCUCUUCCUAUCCCUCUUCCUUCUUCUCCUACUCCAACUAGGGAAGGGGGAGACCUACUCCUACUGGGAGUAGGACUCCCCCUCUUGGGCACGCCAUAGAGGUCCAGCCCUCCCCCUCCUCCACUCCUUUAUAUACGGGGGAGGGGGCACCCCAAAGAAACACAAGUUGACAAUUGUUUUAGCCGCGUGCGGUGCCCCCUCCACAGAUUUUCACCUUGGUCAUAUUAUCGUAGUGCUUAGGCGAAGCCCUGCGCCGGUAACUUCAUCAUCACCGUCACCACGCCAUCGUGCUGACGAAACUCUCCCUCGACCUCAGCUGGAUCUAGAGUUUGUGGGACGUCACCGAGCUGAACGUGUGCAAAUCGUGGAGGUGCCGUACCUUCAGUGCUAGGAUCGGUCGGAUCAUGAAGACGUACGACUACAUCAACUGCGUUGUCAUAACGCUUCCGCUUUUGGUCUACGAGGGUGCGUGAUACGUCUCCAACGUAUCUAUAAUUUUUGAUUGUUCCAUGCUAUUAUAUUACCCCUUUUGGAUGAUUAUGGGCUUUAUUUUACACAUUUAUAUCAUUUUUGGGACUAACCUACUAACUGGAGGCCCAGCCCGUAUUGCUGUUUUUUUGCCUAUUUCAGUAUUUCGAAGAAAAGGAAUAUCAAACGGAGUCCAAACGGAAUGAAACCUUUGGGAGCGUGAUUUUUGGAACGAAGGUGAUUCGGAGAACUUGGAGUGCAAGCCAAGAAGCAGCCGAGGCGGCCACGAGGGUGGAGGGCGCGCCCACCCCUCCUGGGCGCGCCCCCUGUCUCGUGGGCCCCUCAAGCGGCCACCGACGUACUUCUUCCUCCUAUAUAGGCCUACAUACCCCGAAAACAUCCAGGGAGGCAUCGAAGAAAUAUUUCUACCACCGUAACCUUCUGUAUCCACGAGAUCCCAUCUUGGAGCCGUCGCCGGCGUUCUGCCGGAGGGCGAAUCCACCAUGGAGGGCUUCUACAUCAACACCAUAGCCCUUCCGAUGAGUUGUGAGUAGUUUACCACAGACCUUCGGGUCCAUAGUUAUUAGCUAGAUGGCUUCUUCUCUCUUUUUGGAUCUCAAUACAAUGUUCUCCCCCUCUCUUGUGGAGAUCUAUUCGAUGUAAACUCUUUUUGCGGUGUGUUUGUCGAGAUCCGAUGAAUUGUGGGUUUAUGAUCAAGUUUAUCUAUGAAUAAUAUUUGAAUCUUCUCUGAAUUCUUUUAUGUAUGAUUGAGUUAUCUUUGCAAGUCUCUUCGAAUUAUCGGUUUGGUUUGGCCUACUAGAUUGAUCUUUCUUGCCAUGGGAUAAGUGCUUAGCUUUGGGUUCAAUCUUGCGGUGUCCUUACCCAGUGACAGAAAGGGUUGCAAGGCACGUAUUGUAUUGUUGCCAUCAAGGAUAAAAAGAUGGGGUUUAUAUCAUAUUGCAUGAGUUUAUCCCUCUACAUCAUGUCAUCUUUCUUAAUGCGUUACUCUGUUCUUAUGAACUUAAUACUCCAGAUGCAUGCUGGAUAGCGGUCGAUGUGUGGAGUAAUAGUAGUAGAUGCAGGCAGGAGUCGGUCUACUUGUCACGGAUGUGAUGUCUAUAUACAUGAUCAUGCCUAGAUAAUCUCAUAAUUAUUCGCUUUUCUAUCAAUUGCUCGACAGUAAUUUGUUCACGCACCAUAAUACUUAUGCUAUCUUGAGAGAAGCCUCUAGUGAAACCUAUGGCCCCCGGGUCUAUACUUUAUCAUAUAAGCUUUCAAUCUACUUAUAUUUUCAUCUUUAUUUUCUGCAUCUAUAUUAUAAAAUACCAAAAAUAUAUUUAUCUUAUCAUAUUAUCUCUAUCAGAUAUCACGUUCGCAAGUGGCCGUGAAGGGAUUGACAACCCCUUUAUCGCGUUGGUUGCGAGUUCUUUGUUUGUUUGUGUAGGUUCGUGGGACUUGUGAGGAGCCUCCUACUGGAUUGAUACCUUGGUUCUCAAAAACUAAGGGAAAUACUUACGCUACUGUGUUGCAUCAUCCUUUCUCUUCAAGGAAAACCAACGCAAGCUCAAGACGUAGAAGUACAUAGACAACACUCUCCCUCUCAUUGCUAUGCAUCACCUAGAGAUAGAUCUUGCGUGAUCGUAGGAUUUUUUUGAAAUUACCGCGUUCCCCAACACUUAUGAUGGAUGAAGGAAUAAGGAUUAACAAAAGGCUAAGCUUGGGGAUGCCUGAGGCACCCCAAGAUAAUAUUCAAUAAGUAGAAAGCAACUAAGCUUGGGGAUGCCCCCGAGUGGCAUCCCCUCUUUCUUUUAACAACCAUCGGUAUUUUACUUGGAGCUAUAUUUUUAUUUGUCACAUAUUAUGAGUUUUUCUUGCACCAUCUUAUAUGAUAUGAGUCUUUGCUUGUUUUGCUUUGUGUUUCAAGUCCUUAAUCCUUGCUGGACACACCUUUUUGAGAGAACAAAAAAUUAUGCUAUGCUUGCUCCUAUGCUUCACUCAAAUGUUUAGUGCCAUGUAACUUCUCUAUUGCUUCAAUUAUAUUUUUUAGCACGGUGUGCUUUGUUAUUUUGAAUAAAUGCUCUCAUGCUUCACUUAGAUUUAUUUGGGAGUUAGUAAAAAAAUUAAAAAAUUCUCUCUUGCUUCACUUAGAUUAUUUUGAGAGAAAGAAAAAUUAUGCUCAUGUUCUUCACUUAAAUCUGUUUGAGCUUAUUAAAAGCAACAUAUGAAAAUAGUCCCAAAGUGAUAGAUAUCCAAGGAGGAUAUAAUAAAAACUUUCAUGAAGAUCAUUGGACAAAAUAAACUUGGUUCUUAGUAAUGGUUUUGAGAUAUGACGAUGUGAUAUCUGAGUCAUGUUGAUGAGUAAUUAUGCAUUAGUAAGAAUAUUCGUGUUAAGGCUUGUGAUUCCCUAUGGAAGCACGAAAAUGAAGGAAAUAUGCCCUAAAGGCAAUAAUAAAGUUAUUAUUUAUUUCCUUAUUUCGUGAUAAAUGUUUAUUAUGUUGGGAACGCGGUAAUUUCAAAAAAAGUCCUACGAUCACGCAAGAUCUAUCUAGGUCAUGCAUAGCAACGAGGGGGAGAGUGUGUCCACGUACCCUUGUAGACCGAUAGCGGAAGCGUUAAGUAACACGGUUGAUGUAGUCGAACGUCUUCGUGACCCAACCGAUCAAGUACCGAAUGCAAGGCACCUCCAUGAUCUGCACACGUUCAGCUCGGUGACGUCCCUCGAACUCUAGAUCCAGCUGAGGUCGAGGGAGAGUUCCGGCAGCACGAUGGUGUGGUGACAGUGAUGAUGAAGUUACUGGCGUAGGGCUUCGCCUAAGCACUACGACGAUAUGACCGAGGUGGAGAACUAUGGAGGGGGCACCGCACACGGCUAAAGAUCAACUUGCGUGUCUAUGGGGUGCCCCCUGGCCACCUAUAUAAAGGAGGGGAGGGAAGAGGUGGCCGGCCCAAGGGGGGCGUGCCUGAUGUGGGAAUCCUACAAGGACUCCCCAGUCCAAGUAGGAUUCCCCUCCUCUUUCCUAUUCCUAGUAGGAGAAGGAGGGAAGGAGGAAGAGGGGAGAAGGAAGGAGGGGGGCCCCGCCCCCUCCUAGUCCAAUUCGGACCAGCCCAUGGGGGGGGCGGCCACCCCUUGAGGCCCUUCUCUCCUUUCCCGUACGGCCCAUUAAGGCCCAUUACUUCCCCCGGCGAAUUCCCGUAACUCUCCGGUACUCCAAAAAAUACCCGAAUCACUCGAAAUCUUUCCGAUGUCCGAAUAUAGCCUUCCAAUUUAUCAAUUUUUACGUCUCGACCAUUUCGAGACUCCUCGUCACGUCCGUGAUCUCAUCCGGGACUCCGAAUAAACUUUGGUCAUCAAAUCACAUAACACAUAAUACAAAUCGUUAUCAAACGUUAAGCGUGCGGACCCUACGGGUUCGAGAACUAUGUAGACAUGACCGAGACACAUCUCCAGUCAAUAAGCAAUAGCGGAUCCUGGAUGCUCAUAUUGGCUCCUACAUAUUCUACGAAGAUCUUUAUCGGACAAACCACAUAACAACAUACGUUGUUCCCUUUGUCAUUGGUAUGUUACUUGCCCGAGAUUCGAUCGUCGAUAUCAUCAUAACUAGUUCAAUAUCGUUACCGGCAAGUCUCUUUACUCGUUCCGUAAUGCUUCAUCCUAUAACUAACUCACUAGUCACAAUGCUUGCCAGGCCUAUAGUGAUGAGUAGUACCGAGAGGGCCCAGGGAUACCUCUCCAAAACACGGAGUGACAAAUCCUAAUCUCGAUCUAUGCCAACCCAACAAACACCUUUGGAGACACAUGUAGAGCACCUUUAUAAUCACCCAUUUACGUUGUGACGUUUGGUAGCACACAAAGUGUUCCUCCGGUAUUCGGGAGUUGCAUAAUCUCAUAGUCUGAGGAACAUGUAUAAGUCAUGAAGAGAGCAGUAGCAAUGAAACUGUAACGAUCAUAAUACUAAGCUAUUAGAUGGGUCAUGUCCAUCACAUAAUUCUCCUAAUGAUGUGAUCCCGUUCAUAAAAUGACAACACAUGUCUAUGGUUAGGAAACAUAACCUUCUUUGAUUAACAAGCUAUUCAAGUAGAGGCAUACUAGGGACACUAUGUUUUAUAUAUGUAUUCACACAUGUACUAAGUUUCCGGUUAAUACAAUUCUAGCAUGAAUAAUAAACAUUUAUCAUGAAAUAAGGAAAUAAAUAAUAACUUUAUUAUUGCCUCUAGGGCAUAUUUCCUUCAGCCUCCCACUUGCACUAGAGUCAAUAAUCUAGUUCACAUCACCAUGUGAUUUAACAUCAAUAGUUCACAUCUGUAUGUGAUUAACACCCAUAAUUCACAUCGCCAUGUGACCAACAACCGAAGGGUUUACUAGAUUCAAUAAUCUAGUUCACAUUGCUAUGUGAUUAACACCCAAAGAUUACUAAGGUGUGAUCAAGUUUUGCUUAUGAGAGAAGUUUAGUCAACGGGUCUGUCCAUUCAGAGCCAUAUGUAUUUUGCAAAUAUUCUAUGUCUACAUUGCUAUAUGUGGAGCUACUCUAGCUAAUUGCUCCCAGUUUUAAUAUGUAUCCAGAUUGAGAGUUAGAGUCAUCUGGAUUGGUGUAAAAGCUUGCAUCGACAUAACUCUUUUAUACGACGAACUCUUUAUCACCCCCGUCACCGAGAAACAUUCCCUUAGUCCUUACUAAGGAUAGUUUUGACCGUUGUCCAGUGAUCUACUCUUAGAUCACUAUUGUACCCCCUUGCCAAACUCAUGGCAAGGUACACAAUAGGUCUGGUACACAACAUACUUUAUAGAACCUAUGACUGUGGCAUAGGGAAUGACUGUCAUUAUCUUUCUAUCUUCUGCCGUGGUCGGGCUUUGAGUCUUACUCAACUUUACACCUUGUAAUAUAGACAAGAAAUCCUUGUUUGACUGAUCCAUUUUGAACUCUUUCAAAAACUUGUCAAGGUAUUUACUCAGUGAAAAAUCUUAUCAAGCGUCGUGAUCUAUCUAUAGAUCUUGAUGCCCAAUAUGUAAGCAGCUUCACCGAGGUCUUUCAUUGAAAAACUCUUAUUCAAGUAUCCCUUUAUGCUAUCCAAAAAAUCAAUAUCAUUUCCAAUCAACAAUAUGUCAUCCACAUAUAAUAUUAGAAAUGCUAUAGAGCUCCCACUCACUUUCUUGUAAAUACAGGCUUCACCGCAGGUUUGUAUAAAACUAUAUGCUUUGAUCAACUCAUCAAAGCGUAUAUUCCAACUCCGAGAUGCUUGCACCAGUCCAUAGAUGGAUCACUGGAGCUUGCACACCUUGUUAGUACCUUUAGGAUUGACAAAACCUUCUGGUUCCAUCAUAUACAACUUCCAGAAAUCCAUUCAGGAAUGCUGUUUUUACAUCCAUCUGCCAAAUUUCAUAAUCAUAAAAUGCAGCAAUUUCUAACAUGAUUCGGACAGACUUGAGCAUCCCUACGGGUGAGAAAGUCUCAUCAUAGUCAACUCCUUGAACUUGUCGAAAACCUUUUUGCGACAAGUCAAGCUUUGUAGAUAGUAACACUAUUAUCAAUGUCCAUCUUCCUCUUGAAGAUCCAUUUAUUCUUAAUGACUUGCCGAUCAUCGGACAAGUCCACCAAAGUCCACACUUUGUCCUCAUACAUGGAUCCCAUCUCAGAUUUCAUGGCCUUAAGCCACUUCGCGGAAUUUGGGCUCAUCAUCGCUUCCUCAUAGUCCGUAGGUUCAUCAUGGUCUAAUAACAUGACUUCUAGAAUAGGAUUACGAUACCACUCUGGUGCAGAUCGUACUCUGGUUGACCUACGAGGUUCGGUAGUAACUUGAUCUGAAGUUUCAAGAUCAUCAUCAUUAGCUUCCUCACUAAUUGGUGUUGGAAUCACUAGAACUGAUUUAUGUGAUGAAUUACUUUCCAAUUCGGGAGAAGAUACAAUUACCUCAUCAAGCUCUACUUUCCUCCCACUCACUUCUUUUGAGAGAAACUCCUUUUCUAGAAAGGAUCCAUUCUUAGCAACGAAUAUCUUGCCUUCGGAUCUGUGAUAGAAGGUGCACCCAAUAGUUUCCUUUGGGUAUCCUAUGAAGAUGCACUUCUCCGAUUUGAGUUCGAGCUUAUCAGGUUGAAGGUUUUUCACAUAAGCAUCGCAACCCUAAACUUUAAGAAACGACAACUUUGGUUUCUUGCCAAACCACAGUUCAUAAGGCGUCGUCUCAACGGAUUUUGAUGGUGCCCUGUUUAAUGUGAAUGCUACUGUCUCUAUUGCAUAACCCCAAAAUGAUAGUGGUAAAUCGGUAAGAGACAUCAUAGAUCGCACCAUAUCUAAUAAAGUGUGGUUAUGACGUUCGGAGACACCAUUACACUGUGGUGUUCCAGGUGGCGUGAGCUGUGAAACUAUUCCACAUUGUUUUAAUGAAGGCCAAACUCGUAACUCAAAUAUUCGCCUCUGCGAUCAAGUAAUAGAAACUUUAUUUUCUUGUUACGAUGAUUCUCCACUUCUCUCUGAAAUUCUUUGAACUUUUCAAAUGUUUCAGACUUGUGUUUCAUUUAAGUAGAUAUACCCAUAUCUGCUCAAAUCAUCUGUGAAGGUCAGAAAAUAACUAUACUCGCCACAAGCAUCUACACUCAUUGGACUGGAUACAUCAGUAUGUAUUAUUUCCAGUAAGUCAGUAACUCGUUCCAUUGUUCGGAUAACAUAGUUUUAGUCAUCAUGCCUAUAAGGCAUGGUUCACAAGUUUCAAAGGAUUCAUAAUCAAGUGAUUCCAAAAGUCCAUCUUUAUGGAGUUUCUUCAUGCGCUUUACACCAAUAUGACCCAAACGACAGUUCCACAAAUAAGUUGCACUAUCAUUAUCAACUUUGCAUCUUUUGGCAUCAAUAUUAUGAAUAUGUGUAUCACUACGAUUGAGAUCCAACAAACUAUUUUCAUUGGGUGUAUGACCAUCAGAGGUUUUAUUCAUGUAAACAAAACAAUAAUUACUCUCUGACUUUAAAUGAAUAACCUUAUUGCAAUAAACAUGAUCAAAUCAUAUUCAUGCUCAACUCAAAUGCCAAAUAACAUUUAUUUAGGUUCAACACUAAUCUCGGAAGUAUAGGGAGUGUGCGAUGAUGAUCAUAUCAAUCUUGGAACCACUUCCAACACACAUCGUCACUUCACCCUUAACUAGUCUCUGUUCAUUCUGCAACUCCCGUUUCGAGUUACUAAUUUUAGCAACUGAACCGGUAUCAAAUACCCAUGGGUUGCUAUGAACACUAGUAAAGUACACAUCAAUAAUCUAUAUAUGAAAUAUACCUUUGUUCACUUUGCCAUCCUUCUUAUCCGCCAAAUAUUUGGGGUAGUACCACUUCCAGUGACCAUUUCCUUUGCAGUAGAAGCACUUAGUUUCAGGCUUAGGUCCAGCUUUGGGCUUCUUCACGGGAGUGACAACUUGCUUGCCAUUCUACUUGAAGUUCCCUUUCUUUCCCUUUGCCCUUUUCUUUAAACUAGUGGUCUUGUCAAUCAUCAACACUCGAUGCUCUUUCUUUAUUUCUACCUUCAUCGAUUUUCAGCAUCACGAAGAGCUCAGGAAUUUCUUUCGUCAUCCCUUGCAUACUAUAGUUCAUCACAAAGUUCCAGUAACUUGGUGGUGGUGACUAGAGAACUCUGUUAAUCACUAUCUUAUCGGGAAGAUUAACUCCCAUUUGAUUCAAGCGAUUGUAGUACCCAGACAAUCUAAGCAUAUGCUCCCUACUUGAGCUAUUCUCCUUCAUCUUUUAGCUAUAGAACUUGUUAUAGACUUCAUAUCUCUCAACUCGGGUAUUCGCUUGAAAUAUUAACUUCAAAUCCUGGAACAUCUCAUAUAUUCCAUGACGUUCAAAACGUAUUUGAAGUCCUGAUUCUAAGCCGUAAAGCAUGGUAGACUAAACUAUCAAGUAGUCAUCUUACUGAGCUAGCCAAACGUUCAUAACAUCUGCAUCUGCUCCUGCAAUAGGUCUGUCACCUAGCGGUGCAUCAAGGACAUAAUUCUUCUAUGCAGCAAUGAGGAUAAACCUCAGAUCACAGACCCAGUCCACAUCAUUGCUACUAUCAUCUUUCAACUUAGUUUUCUCUAGGAACAUAUAAGAAACAUAGGGAAGCUACAAUGUGAGGUAUUGAUCUACAACAUAAUUUGCAAAAUACUACCAGGACUAAGUUCAUGAUAAAUUAAAGUUCAAUUAAUCAUAUUAAUUAAGGACUCCCACUUAGAUAGACAUCCCUCUAGUCAUCUAAAUGAUCACGUGAUCCAUAUCAACUAAACCAUGUCCGAUCAUCACGUGAGAUGGAGUAAUUUUCAAUGGUGAACAUCACUAUGUUGAUCAUAUCUACUAUAUGAUUCACGCUCGACCUUUAGGUCUUAGUGUUCCGAGGCCAUAUCUGCAUAUGCUAGGCUCAUCAAGUUUAACCCGAGUAUUCUGUGUGUGCAAAAAAUGGAUUGCACCCGUUGUAUUUGAACAUAGAGCUUAUCACACCCGAUCAUCACGUGGUGUCUCGGUAUGACGAACUGUCGCAACGGUGCAUGCUCAAGGAGAACACUUGUACCUUGAAAUUUAGUAAGGGAUCAUCUUAUAAUGCUACCGACGUUCUAAGAAAAAUAAGAUGCAUAAAGGAUGAACAUCACAUGCAAUCAAAAUAUGUGACAUGAUAUGACCAUCAUCAUCUUGCGCUCAUGAUCUCCAUCACCGAAGCAUCGUCAUGAUCUCCAUCAUCACCGGCGCGACACCUUGAUCUCCAUCGUAGCAUUGUUCUCGUCUCGCCAACUAUUGUUACUACGACUAUCACUACCACUUAGUGAUAAAGUAAAACAAUUACAUGGCGAUUGCAUUGCAUACAAUAAAGCGACAACCAUAUGGCUCCUGCCAGUUGCCGAUAACUUUGUUAUAGAACAUGAUCAUUUCAUACAAUAAAUUAUAUCACAUCAUGUCUUGACCAUGUCACAUCACAGCAAGCCCUGCAAAAACAAGUUAUACGUCCUCUACUUUGUUGUUGCAAGUUUUACGUGGCUGCUACGGGCUUCUAGCAAGAACCGUUCUUACCUACGCAUCAAAAACACAACGAUUUUUCGUCAAGUGUGUUGUUUUAACUUUCAACAAGGACCGGGCGUCACCACACUCGAUUCAACUAAAGUUGGAGAAACAGACACCCGCUAGCCACCUAUGUGCAUAAGCACGUCGGUAGAACCAGUCUCAUGAACGCGUUCAUGUAAUGUCGGUUCGCGCCGCUUCAUCCAACAAUACCAUCGAAUCAAAGUAUGACCCGUCGGUAAGCAGUAUGACUAUUAUCACCCACAACUCUUUGUGUUCUACUCAUGCAUAUAACAUCUACGCAUAGACCUGGCUCAGAUGCCACUGUUGGGGAACGCGGUAAUUUCAAAAAAAAUCCUACGAUCACGCAAGAUCUAUCUAGGUGAUGCAUAGCAACGAGGGAGAGAGUGUGUCCACUUACCCUCAUAGACCGAAACAGAAGCAUUAUGUAACGUGGUUGAUGUAGUCAAACGUCUUCGAGACCCAACUGAUCAAGUACCGAACACACAGAACCUCCGUGAUCUGCACACAUUCAGAUCGGUGAUGUCCCUCGAACUCUAGAUCCAGCUGAGGCUGAGGGAGAGUUCCAUCAGCAUGACGGUGUGGUGACGGUGAUGAAGUUACCAGCGCAGGGCUUCCCCUAAGCACUACGACGAUAUGACCGAGGUGGAAAACUGUGGAGGGGGCACCGCACACGGCUAAAGAUCAACUUGUGUGUCUAUGGGGUGCCCCCUGGCCACAUAUAUAAAGGAGGGGAGGUGAAAGGACAUGUGGUGCCCCCAUGUGUGGUUUUGGUAAUUGAUGACACUCUCUAUGGACUAAUGGUUGCAUUGAGUUAUAUUUGAAGGAUUUGUCCAUAGGCUCUUCUUGAAGUCCAUGUGUUGCUUUCAAGGAGUUUAUGUGUUGACCAAGGUGCUAUUAAGGAAGUAUCCAAAGAUUGGUUAUGUGAGUGUUGUGCUUAUUGCAAGCAUGUCUUGAAGAAGAAGAUUGUGUGAUCAUUCAUGCUUACCUUCAAGACAUCAUCCAAAUGAAGAGAGUUGGAAAGAUUCAAGGUUGAUCAAUACUAAGUCAAGAGUGAAUCAAGUUGAUCAACUCACAUAGCGUAGAAGAUGUACCGAGAGGGAUCAGUGAUCCCAUGGUAUGGUAAGCAUUGUCCACUGUGCUUUGUGUACUAGCCCAUGGUCUAUGUGAGAGUUCUAUGUGGGGUUAGGUAUGUGUUCAUGGGCUUGCGUCAAGAGGAAGAUAUCACUCAACCCAUGGAGAAGAAACAUCAAGUGGUGAUCAUCAUCAAGAUUGCCGUGUGAAAGUUUAAGUGGAGCAUCACGAAGAGACCAAAUGCUUGAAGCUUGCCAUCCAUUUUGGUGUCAAUGGACUUGUGAAGAUGUGCCGAAGAGUGGCUCGCCCAUAGUGGAGUAUGGGGGGGCAAUCAUCUAGUCUUCAUCGACCCAACGCAAUCAAGAAAGGUUGUAUUAACAGGAAACUUAGUACAUGUGUGAACACACAGACAAAACAUAGUGUCCCUAGUAUGCCUCUACUUGACUAGAUCAUUAAUCAAAGAUGGUUAUGUUUCCUAACCAUAGACAUGUGUUGUCAUUUGAUGAAUGAGUUCACAUCAUUAGGAGAAUGAUGUGAUGGACAUGACCCAUCUGUUAGCUUAGCAUUAUGAUCGUAUCAGUUUCAUUGCUACUGCUUUCUUCAUGACUUAUACAUGUACCUCAGACUAUGAGAUUAUGCAACUCCCGAAUACCGAAGGAACACAGUGUGUUCUAUCAAACAUGACAACGUAAAUGGGUGAUUAUAAAGAUGCUCUACACGUGUCUCUGAAGGUGUUUGUUGGGUUGGCAUAGAUCGAGAUUAGGAUUUGUCACUCCGUGUUUCAGAGAGGUAGGGCCCUCUCGGUAAUGCUUAUCACUAUAAGCCUUGCAAGCAAUGUGAUUAAUGAGUUAGUUGCAGGAUGAAGCAUUACGGAACGGGUAAAGAGACUUGCCAGUAAUGAGAUUGAGCUAGGUAUGAUGAUACUGACGAUCUAAUCUCGGGAAAGUAACAUACCGAUGACAAAGGGAACAAAGUAUGUUGUUAUGCGGUUUGACUGAUAAAGAUCUUCGAAGAAUAUGUGGGAACCAAUAUGAGCAUCCAGGUUCCGCUAUUGGUUAUUUAACGGAGAUGUGUCUCGGUCAUGUCUACAUAGUUCUCGAACCCGUAGGGUCCGCAGGCUUAAUGUUCGAUGACGAUUUGUAUUAUGAGUUAUGUGAUUUGAUGAACUGAAGUUUGUUUGGAGUCCCGGAUGAGAUCAUGGAUAUGACAAGGAGUCUCAAAAUGGUCGAGACAUAAAGAUUGAUAUAUUGGAAGGCUAUAUUCGGAGAUCGGAAUGGUUCCGGAGAAGUUCGGGUAUUUUCCGGAGUACCAGGAGGUUACCGGAACCACCCCGGGAGAAGUUAUGGACCUUAUGGGCCAUAAGAGGUAAGCACACUAGCCCACAAGGGGCUGGUGCACCCCCCCCCUUGGGCAGGAGGCCGAUUAGGACUAGGAGAAGGGGACGACCCCCCUUCCUUCUCCUUCUCCCUUCCCCCUUUCCUACUCCAUGUGGGAGGUGGAAUCCUACUAGGACUAGGGAGUCCUAGUAGGACUCCACACCUUGGCGCGCCCCCCUAGGGUCGGCUGCCUCUCCCUCUCCCUCCUUUAUAUAUGGGGACAGGGGGCACCCUAGAACACACAAGUUGAUCUUUUAGCCGUGUGCGGUGCCCCCGUCCACAGUUACACACCUCGGUCAUAUCGUCGUAGUGCUUAGGCGAAGCCCUGCGCUGGUAACUUUAUCAUCACUGUCGCCACGCCGGCGUGCUAAAGAAACUCUCCCUUGGCCUCAACUGGAUCAAGAGUACGAGGGACGUCAUCGAUCUGAACGUGUGCUGAACACGGAGGUGCCGUAUGUUCGGUACUUGGACCGGUUGGAUCACGAAGAAGUUCGACUACAUCAACCGCAUUAACUAACGCUUUUGCUUUCGGUCUACGAGGGUACGUGGACACACUCUCCCCUCACAUAGAUAGAUCUUGCGUGAUCGUAGGAAAAAUUGAAAUUACCACGUUCCCCAACAGUGGCAUCCGAGCCAGGUCUAUGUGUAGAUGUUAUAUGCAUGAGUAGAACACAAAGAGUUGUGGGCGAUAAUAGUCAUACUGCUUACCACCAACACCUUACUUUGAUUCAGCGGUAUUGUUGGAUGAAGCGGCCCGAACCGACAUUACAUGACCAGGUUCAUGAGACUGGUUCUACCAACAUGCUUUUGCACAUAGGUGGUUGGCGGGUGUCUGUUUCUCCAACUUUAGUUGAAUCGAGUUUGAAUAGGGCCGGUCCUUGUUGAAGGUUAAAAAAGCACACUUGACGAAAAAUCAUUGUGGUUUUGAUGUGUAGGUAAGAAUGAUUUUUGCUAGAAGCCCGUAGCAGCCAAGUAAAAUUUGCAACAACAAAGUAGAGGACGUCUAACUGGUUUUUGCAGGGCUUGCUGUGAUGUGAUAUGGUCAAGACAUGAUGUGAUAUAAUUUGUUGUAUGAGAUGAUCAUGUUUUGUAACAGAAUUAUCGGCAACUGGCAGGAGCCAUAUGGUUGUCGCUUUAUUGUAUGCAAUGCAAUCGCCAUGUAAUUGUUUUACUUUAUCACUAAGCGUUAGCGAUAGUCGUAGUAACAAUAGUUGGCGAGACGACAAUGAUGCUACGAUGGAGAUCAAGGUGUCACGCUGGUGACAUGGAGAUCAUGACGAUGCUUCGGUGAUGGAGAUCAUGAGCACAAGAUGAUGAUGGCCAUAUCACAUAUUAUGAUUGCAUGUGAUGUUUAUCUUUUAUGCAUCUUAUUUUGCUUAGUACGGCGGUAGCAUUGUAAGCUGACCCCGUACUAAAUUUCAAGGUAUAAGUGUUCUCCCUGAGUAUGCAACAUUGCUACAGUUCGUCGUGUCGAGACACCACGUGAUGAUCGGGUGUGAUAAGCUCUACAUUCACAUACAACAGGUGCAAGCCAGUUUUCCACACGUAGAAUACUCGGGUUAAACUUGACGAGCCUAGCAUAUGCAGAUAUGGCCUCGGAACACUGAGACCGAAAGGUCGAGCGUGAAUCAUAUAGUAGAUAUGAUGAACAUAGUGAUGUUCACCAUUGGAAACUACUUCAUCUCACGUGAUGAUCGGACAUGGUUUAGUUGAUUUGGAUCACGUGAUCAUUUAGAUGACUAGAGGGAUGUCUAUCUAAGUGGGAGUUCUUAAGUAAUAUGAUUAAUUGAACUUUAAUUUAUCAUGAACUUGGUCAUGAUAGUAUUUCGCAAAUUAUGUUGUAGAUCAAUAGCUUGCGUUGUUGCUUCCCUAUGUUUUUAUAUGUGUUCCUAGAUAAAACUAAGUUGAAAGAUGAUAGUAGUAAUGAUGUGGUCUGGGUCCGUGAUCUGAGGUUUAUUCUCAUUGCUGCACAGAAGAAUUAUGUCCUUGAUGCACCUCUAGGUGACAGACCUAUUAAGGGAGUCCUGGAUUAGGGGGUAUCCGGACAGCCGGACUGUAUACAUCGUCCGGACUAUUGAAGCGUGAAGAUACAAGACUCAAGACUUCGGCCCGUGUCCGGAUGGGACUCUCCUUUGCGUGGAAGGCAAGCUUGGCGAUCCGGAUAUUGUGUUUCCUUCCUUGUAACCGACUCCGUGUAAACCCUAGCCCUCUUCGGUGUCUAUAUAAACCGGAGAGGUUGGUCCUUAGAAGGCCGAUCACGAUUACAAUCAUACCAUCAUAGGCUAGCUCUUAGGGUUUCGCCUCUACGAUCUCGUGGUAGAUCUACUCUUGUACUACUCAUAUCUUCGAUAUUAAUCAAGAAGGAAGUAGGGUUUUACCUCCAUCGAGAGGGCUCGAACCUGGGUAAACAUUGUGUCCCUCGCUUCCUGUUACUAUCAGCCUAAGACGCACAGAUCGGGACCCCCUACCCGAGAUCCGCCGGUUUUGACACCGACAUUGGUGCUUUCAUUGAGAGUUCCUCUGUGUCGUCGCUGCAGGGUCUGAUGGCGCCUUCAAUUGUCAACAACACGUUCCAGGGGGAGACUUUUUCCCGGAUAGAUCUUCGUGUUUGGCGGCUUUGCACUGCGGGCCAAUUCGCUUGGCCAUCUGGAGCAGAUCGAUAGCUACGCCCCUGGCCACCAGGUCAGGUUCGGAAACUUGAACUACACAGUGGAUAUUCACGGAGACUUGAUCUUCGACGGAUUUGGGCCUGCGCCAGGAGCACCGAAUAGUCACGAUGAGCACGGCUUAGACCUGCUGUCGGACGAAGCUCGGGAUAUCACCCCCGCAGUAGCCUCGGAUCUAAAUCUGGAGCAGGUUGCAUUGCCUAAGGACGGAGGGGUGGACCCCACCCCGCAGGACGCACACUCAUCGGCGGAGGAGCCGAACACAGGUCCCACCUCUGUGGAGGCCUGUAACCCUGGGCCCCCGAACUCGUAUCCGGUUGUUGGUUCCGGUCCGCACAUCCUCGAACCAGUCGAGCCAGGUUGGGCUCUGGUAAUGGAGUUUACCGCUGUGGACAUCUUCCAUCACUCGCCCUUUGGCGACAUGCUGAACUCAUUAAAGUCUCUCUCUUUGUCAGGAGGCUCUGGGCCGAACUAUGUCCAGCUUGAGUGGGAAGCAAGCGACGAAGGAAUUCGCUGCCCACCCAUCACCCACUUCAUUGCCACGAUCAAUGAUUUAACUGACGUGCUUGACUUCGACUCCGAAGACAUCGACGGUAUGGACGACGAUGCAGGAGAAGUACAGGAGCCACCGCUCGUUGGGCGGUGGACGGCCACCUCGUCACACGAUAUAUACAUGGUGGAUACGCCCAAGGAGGACGACGGCGGCAAUUCGGAAGAUAAAACCCCCGGGCAAAAGCCAAAACGGCAGCACAGACGCCGCUCAAAGUCCAGCAACAGUAAAAAUAGCGACAAGAGCGCAAGAAGGAUCGACAUACCAGCAAACUCCGAAGGCAAUAAUGACCACAUGGACCCAGCGAUGGAGCAGGAUAAGCCAUGUCACGCCGAACUGAGUUUGGAGCAGACGCCCGACCACAGUGAUCCAGAGGGACGAGUCCAUCAAACCGCCGCAGGACAAGAACACAGUUCGGACGAUGAUGCAUUCAUCAUUCUGGAAGAACACGUGGAACGAGAUAACCUCCACAGAAAGCUUAUGGCCAUAGCGAGAAGUCUAAAGAAGCAGAAGCAACGGCUCAAAGCCGCACAGGAAACGCUCAAUCGCAGAUGGAAUAAAGUGCUAGACACCGAAGAAAGAUAUGGCGAUGAUCGCCAUACAAAGAGCUAUCCCAAACGCAAGCUACUGCCAGAAUUCGACGACGAGGCCGUUCCACCAAAGAAUAAUACGACCAGGAGACCAGACGUACCACUUCACAACCGCAACAGAACGGCUACUGACGUCGCACACGAUCUACAUGAGCAUCUGGAUAAGCAAGCCGGUGCGGCCAGGUCCAUCUACGGAUCUAAAGGACAAAAGGCGGCGUCGGACUAUGGUCACCAGAAUGAUCAUACAAACCAAAUACCAAUUCGAAAUAAGCUCCGAGCACAUCAACAGCCAGCUGCAUGCCACAGCGCGUCCAGAUACAGAGGGGCUGCUCACCCCCUGUGCUUCACCGAAGAAGUACUGGACCAUGAAUUCCCACAAGGUUUCAAACCUGUGAACAUAGAGGCAUACGACGGAACGACAGACCCAGGGGUCUGGAUCGAGGAUUUUAUCCUGCAUAUUCACAUGGCUCGUGCGGAUGACCUCCACGCCAUCAAAUACCUUCCCCUCAAGUUGAAGGGACCAGCUCGACACUGGUUGAAAAGCCUCCCCGAAAAUCCAAUUGGGAGUUGGGAGGAACUCGAGGACGCUUUCAGGGCCAAUUUUCAAGGGACUUAUGUCUGGCCUCCGGAUGCGGACAAUCUAAGUCACAUAAUCCAACAGCCUGGAGAGUCCGCCCGCAAGCUUUGGAACAGAUUCCUCACUAAGAAGAAUCAAAUUGUCGAUUGUCCGGAUGCCGAAGCCUUAGCGGCAUUCAAACACAGCAUCCGCGACGAAUGGCUCGCCAGACGCCUCAGCCAAGAAAAGCCAAGGACAAUGGCAACCUUAACAAGCCUUAUGACCCGCUUUUGCGCGGGUGAAGAUAGCUGGCUAGCCCGUAAAGGCACCAGCGACCCCAGCACAUCCGAAAUAAGGGAUGGCAAUGGGAAGCCACGGCGUAAUAAACACAGACGCCAAAACAAGGAAGAGAGCAUGGACAAUACAACGGUCAAUGCCAGAUUUAGGGGCUCUCGACCUGAUCAGCAAAAUAAGUCAUUUAAAGGCAGUAGAGAGGGACCGUUCGGUCUGAACAGAGUCCUGGACAGACUGUGCCAAAUUCAUGGCACCCCGGAGAAACCUGCGAACCACACGCAUAGAGAAUUUUGGGUCUUCAAGCAGGCCGGCAAAUUAAAAGCCAAACACAAGGGGAGGGAAACUCCAAGUGAAGACGAGGAUGAACCUCGCCAGCCGAACACUGGGGGACGGAAAAAAUUCCCGCCAGAGGUUAAAACAGUAAACAUGAUCCACGCGACUCACAAAUCCACGAUAGGGCACGAACGCGCGCUCGGAGACGCGCACGAUAUAGAGCUCAUUGUACCCACAUCUAACUACUGGACGUCUUAUCCGAUCACCUUCGAUCACACGGACGGUUGAACUAGUAUUCGGCGCGGAGGAUCAGAGGCCUUGGUGCUUGACCCAAUAAUCGAUGGAUACCGUCUCACCUGUGUCCUCAUGGACGGCGGAAGUAGUCUCAAUCUAAUAUACGAGGACACUGUCUGCAGGAUGAGGAUAAACCCAUCCAGGAUUAGCCAAAGCAACACCACCUUUGAAGGGGUGAUACCAGGCAUUGAAGCCUACGGCAGGGGCUCCGUCGUACUGGAGGUAACAUUUGGCUCCUCAGGCAACUCCAGAAGCAAAGAACUACUCUUCACCAUUGCACCCUUCCAAAGCGGCUAUCAUGCACUGCUUGGAAGAACGACCUUCGCCCGCUUCAACGCAUUGCCGCACUAUGGCUACCUUACACUCAAGAUGCCUGGUCCACGUGGCGUCAUCACCAUUAGCGGAAUCAUAGAGUGCUCUUCACGCGCAGAGGAACACAAGACGGCCCUGGCGGCCGGACUAUAAGCGGCCUCCAAUAUCAGAAAACAUGACUGGUCAUUAAGACCACAGACACGGUUAGACGACUCCGAUAGCCCGGAUAAAAUUAAACCAGGGCACCGUAUAUGUAAUCCCAUAGCGGACACCAGGGGCUAUAAAUAUUUAAUACAGCCCCAUACUUGGCUCAACCUUAUUGGCAGGCCAACAUCUUACACUUUUACUAUCCAUCGCAUAUUUACGUUGUACUCUCCUACGAGUUUUCCUUUUUCCACAGACAACGUUCGCGCGAUACCCUUCUAGGAUACGGCACAACAGAGACAAAGGCGCAGACGUGCAGCAGGGCCCCGUUCAACAGGUUUCUUUUUAGAUUAAGCCCCUGUGUAAACCUUUUCUAUUGCCUCUUGUUGUUUAACCAUCCCAUGGGUUCCAUACCCACAGAGGAUACUACCAUUAUUGGCAUUUCGCCACGACAGAUUACCGCACGUACCUGGAACACAGGGUUCAUAAUGAAUGGGCAUUCUUGAGCCCAUCUUCUGUUAUAAAGCCCGAAUACCUUCGGGAGUGUUCGGCGUCACGAGUUUGGCCUUAUAUGCAUCAGCUCCGAAUCAUAUCUUUGGUCAAAUAUUGGGUUUGCCCGACUCCUGGGUUUGCCGCCUUACGUUCCGUUAUUAUCAGCUAAGGCGGCCAAAGGAGAACUACUGCGAUUGUGCCCUGGUUAUUCUGGAUGAGCACCUCAGUAGAGAAAACCGAAAACUGACUGUCAUGAUGCAGCGAGAGACUGUUUAACCACUCGAAGACUCACCGGAAUCUUUAGGAUUCCUCCGCAUUAACGAAGGGCCGUUUCCGGGCCAUGUACAUACGUGCCCGUAUUCGGAUGCACGCGAAGGUACGAGGGGCUACAUAGUAGCCCCACCUUUAGACUUCCACGGCUAAGCGAAAGUGUUACAGCUAUAUAGUCCGGUUGCCUAGUUCGACGUGCGAUCACCUCCUUAAUGGACCAAGACGUUGGAUCAAGUGUGAUUAAGCAUAUUUUUCACGAACACCCCCGCAUUGUAUGCGUGGGGGCUGAAGCCAACGACUGCUAACUUUCGGAUUACUUAUAUACAUAUAUAAAAACGGACGCACAGGGGACACAAUCAUCUUUUCAGGAAAAAAGUAUAAAUAUAGCCUCAUAGUCAAAAUAAACAUUGUUUUACAAUGAUUCGAUUUAUCACUCGAACAAGACAUUCUUCGAGCACUGCGCCUCUAUUAGCCGGGCACCUUCCGUGACCUGCGCCAAGUAGUGCUCGGCCGGAUAUUGGCCUCCCGCCGGAUCCUGGGUCGCUACAAUGGUGGCCUUCAUAUCCGUCCAAUAGGCUUUAACACGGGCAAGAGCCAUUCGUGCACCCUCUAUGCACGCCGACCUCCUCAUGGCAUUGAUCCGAGGCACGACCCCAAGGAAUUGUUGCACCAAACCAAAGUAGUUGUCCGGCUUAGGCCCCUUCGACCAAAGAUGGUCUAUUACAGACCGCAUUGCAAGCCCGGACAGCCUGUGAAGCUCCGCCACAGCAGCCAUCUUCUCAUUUAACGGUAGAGGGCGAGUGGGAGCAUUGAAUUGCGAACAUAAAAGCUUCUCCACUUCCUUAUCACCUUGAUCCUUGAAGAACUUGGCAGCGUCAGCCGUGCUAUUCGCCAAGUCCGCAUAUGCGUCGGCCGGACUCCAGCGUCCAUCCAGGGGAGCAUCCUUCGGAUCCAAAAACUUCGUUCGUAGUAAGUAGGAGCCCCCAGCCACGAUUUUGUUGGCCUGUUGGAGCUCCUCCCGCAUACCCCGGAUCUCAGUCCGCAUCUCCUUGGUGGCAUUAAGUGCCUUGUCCAGCUCGGCCGAGCUAGCCUUAUUCUCCUUUUCAAGGAGUACAUACCGGUCGGCGGCAUUUUUUUAACUCCACAGCCAUUUCGGCUAUCUUUUCCUCGCUUCGGCGAUGAGCAGCCUGUUCGGCUCUCAAUUCUUCGGCCGCCUUUAGGGCAGCCGCAUUGCUAGCCCGAGCUUGUUCCUUGGCCUGAGCAAGUUCCUCCCCCAGGGCCUCCACAGCAGCAGCAGCAUCUGCAGUACAAACACAUUGCAUUAAUAUUAUGCCCCUCUCACAUUUUCCUAUACAACAUAAUAAGGGAAGCAGAGCGCAUACCCUGUGACUCGUCCAGCCGUUUGUUCACCAGCAUGAUAUCGGCAUCGAUAGAUCUGAUCUGCCUUCUUAGUUCGGCAACUUCAACAGACUGGUCGGCUGCCGGAUCAUUAGAUACCUGCGCACAUGUACAACACAGCCAUUACUAUAUGAUCCCCCGUUUGCCGCCUAUGGUGGGCAACCAGAGUCUCAGGGGCUACUAUCCAUAUGGAGCACACCUAGCGCAUGCCACACAGCCAAAAAAUAGUGCAUUUUUACUAAAUACCUCAAAGCCUCUGAGCAGGCUCGUAAAUGCCUCAUUCAAACCGCUUGUAGAGGAUGAAAUCUUCUUAAGCACCGCACUCAUUAAUGAGCGGUGCUCCGCCGAGAGCGCAGCUCGCUCCAGAAGACCUGUCAGUACGUCCGGCCGGGCAUCGAACUGUGUCGGACCCUUCUCAUCGCCCCCCGUGGGAGCCAAACGCUCCGGGCUCAGGGCGACUGACGUAAUGGCCUCCGGCUUCGGUAGAUCCGAACUCCUCCGUGACGACACCUCAGUGUCGCCCGCUUCAUGAGGCGGAGAGGUGGGUGGGGUCUCGCUCUCCAUCAUCUCCGGAGGAAGAUCCCCCGAAGACGAAUUCUGUUGAGGAGAGCUGCUAGCCGGACUGCAAAAGACGAAUCCUGGUUAUUGAUCUUGGAGAAACGCAGUACCCUCGGAAUAGUGAUUAACUUACAGCUUGGUCGAGGGCUGGCCCGUUGGCGGGCGUGACAUGGUGAGAACGCCCAUCGAGAUAGAGCCCCCCGGGGACACUUUCUUCCCCUGUUUGGGCAUCUCCGUCUCCAAGUCUUCGGAGGCGGCCCUUUUCUUCCCGCGCGGGGAGGUGGCCUCAGAUUCCCCUCCCCGACUAUCCUCCUUUGGGGAGAAAUCAAUUCCCUCGGUCUGAAUGCGUAGUGUGUGAAGUCCGGCUUCGCUGCCCUUUCCUUUGCCUUUCCCUGAGGGAAUUUUGCUAAGCACCCGGCCAAGCAUCUUGGCAACGGUUGGACUCGGCGAGCCUUCAGGAAGUGGCGCCGGACACCUGAUUCUCUUCGCCUUGUUGAGCCAUUCCUGGCCACGGAGGGUUUUUCAGAACAAUGGUUAUGGCAAAUAUAAACAGAGUGUUCGGCUUUAAGGUUACUUACUUGGGUAUCUAGGCGAUUGCAGCUUAGGCCUGCAUCCUCGGUGGUGUCCAGACACUUUACUUGUGGUCCAAAGAAUAAUUUACACAUCCCUUUGAGCUUCAGGCCGAAGAAGUGCUUAAUAGUCUGUGGACCCUCCAGAUUGAACUCCCACAUCCGGAGAGGCCGACGUUUGCACGGCAACAUCCGUCGGAUUAGAAUUACUUGAAUUAUGCUGACAAGAUUUAUGCCCCUCUCGAUAAGCUCCCGGAUAUGGCUCUGCAGUAUUGGAACAUCACUGGCGGGCCCCCAAUUCCGUCCUACGUCGGUCCAUGACGCCAACUGUGACGGAGGGCCCGAACGGAACUCGUGGGCGGCUACCCACUUUGUGCCUCUGGGAGCUAUAACAUACAACCACCUCCGUUGCCACACAUCAGAUACUUCCGGGAAAGAACCCUCCGGCCAUGGGGCAUCGGCGUUCCUGCUUAUUAUGGCCCCUCCGCACUCUGCAUGUCGCCCCUCGAUCAUCUUCGGCUUCACAUUGAAGGUCUUGAGCCAUAAGCCAAAGUGUGGGGUGACGUGGAGAAAAGCCUCGCACACAAUAAUGAACUACGAGAUAUGGAGGAUAGCGUCCGGAGCCAGAUCAUGAAAAUCCAACCCAUAGUAGAACACGAGCCCCCUCACAAAGGGGUCGAGGGUGAGGCCCAGGCCGCGGAGGAAGUGAGGGACAAACACAACGCUCUCUUUGGGCUCCGGUGUAGGGAUAACCUGCCCUGGAACAGGAAGCCUGUGCUGGAUAUCGACGGUCAGGUAUCCGACCUCCCUAAGCCUCGUAAUGUCCUCCUCUUGGAUCGAGGAGGCCACCCAUUGGCCUUUAGGGUUGGAUCCAGACAUAUUGGAGGAUCUGGGGUGUUGGAGCUUAGGUCUUGGGUGUUGAGCUUGAGGUGCGAGAAGGUGCAGGGGAGGUGGAAAAGAGGCAUAGGCCUUGAUCCCUUUAUAAAGGGGGUGAAUAUCAAGAGUCCUCAGCGUGACCACUUGAGACUUAUCCAAAAAUACACAGAGUCAUACCAACGGUCGUCGUGGGGUCACGCACGCCCAUAUUGAUGGAAAAUCCCGUAAUAAGAGGAACACAAUCUCUGCUUUGGCAGGACGUGCCAAUAAAACCGCCUCGCUGCGCGAGUCGAGGUGGGGAGAGAAAUGCCGGUUCGUGUUGGACCAGGCCAUGAUGCAAGGGCACGGUGUACGAAGAUCGCCAGUAGAUCAGAUUUACGCUAUGUUCCCUACAAUGAAAUGUGAAAAUCAUCUUGUGGAUCCGGACACGGUCUACGUGUUCGAUAAUUACUUUGGAGUAUUCGGAGAAGGAACCCGCCUUGCAAUGCUGAAGACAAGACUGCGUGCCGGACUCAUCGUCAUUGAAGCCUGGUUCAGGGGCUACUGAGGGAGUCCUGGAUUAGGGGGUAUCCAGACAGCCGGACUAUAUACAUCGUCCGGACUAUUUAAGCGUGAAGAUACAAGACUCAAGACCUCGUCCCGUGUCCGGAUGGGACUCUCCUUUGCGUGGAAGGCAAGCUUGGCGAUCCGGAUAUUGUGUUUCCUUCCUUGUAACCGACUCCGCGUAAACCCUAGCCCUCUCCCGUGUCUAUAUAAACCGGAGAGGUUGGUCCUUAGAAGGCCGAUCACGAUUACAAUCAUACCAUCAUAGGCUAGCUCUUAGGGUUUAGCCUCUACGAUCUCGUGGUAGAUCUACUCUUGUACUACUCAUAUCUUCGAUAUUAAUCAAGCAGGAAGUAGGGUUUUACCUCCAUCGAGAGGGCCCGAACCUGGGUAAACAUUGUGUCCCUUGCUUCCUGUUACCAUCAGCCUAAGAUGCACAGAUCGGGACCCCCUACCCGAGAUCCGCCGGUUUUGAUACCAACACCUAUUGCAGGAGCAGAUGCAGACGUUAUGAACGUUUGGCUAGCUCAAUAUGAUGACUACUUGAUAGUUUAGUGCACCAUGCUUUACGGCUUAGAACCAGGACUUCAAAAAUGUUUUGAACGCUGCGGAGCAUAUGAGAUGUUCCAAAAGCUGAAAUUGGUAUUUCAGACUCAUGCCCGUGUCAAGAGGUAUGAGACCUCUGACAAAUACUUCGCCUAAAAGAUGGAGGAGAAUUGCUCAGCUAGUGAGCAUGUGCUCAUAAUGUCUGGGUACUACAAUUGCUUGAAUCAAGUGGGAGUUAAUCUUCCAGAGAAGAUAGUGAUUGACAAAGUUCUCUAGUCACCAUCACCAAGUUACUGGAACUUCAUGAUGAACUAUAGUAUGCAAGGGAUGACGAAAACAAUUCCCGAGCUCUUCAUGAUGCGGAAAUCGACGAAGGUAGAACUCAAGAAAGAGCAUCAAGUGUUGAUGAUUGACAAGACCACUAGUUUCAAGAAAAGGGCAAAGGGAAGAAGGAGAACUUCAAAAAGAAUGGCAAUCAAGUUGUCACUCCCGUGAAGAAGCCCAAAGCUGGACCUAAACCUGAAACUAAGUGCUUCUACUGCAAAGUAAAUGGUCACUGGAAGCGGAAGUACCCCAAAUAUUUGGCGAAUAAGAGGGAUGGCAAAGUGAACAAAGGUAUAUUUGAUAUACAGUUUAUUGAUGUGUACCUUACUAGUGUUCAUAGUAGCCCCUGGGUAUUUGAUAUUUGUUCGGUUGCUAAGAUUAGUAACUCAAAACAAGAGUUACGGAAUAAAUAGAGACUAGUUGAGGGUGAAGUGACGAUGUGUGUUGGAAGUGGUUCCAAGAUUGAUAUGAUCAUCAUCGCACACUCCCUAUACUUUCGAGAUUACUGUUGAACCUAAAUAAAUGUUAUUUGGUGUUUGCAUUGAGCAUAAAUAUGAUUAGAUCAUGUUUAUUGCGAUACGAUUAUUCAUCUAAGACAGAGAAUAAUUGUUAUUCUGUUUACAUGAAUAAACCUUCUAUGGUCAUACACCCAAUGUUGAUGGUUUAUUGAAUCUUGAUCGUAGUGAUACACAUAUUCAUAAUAUUGAUGCCAAAAGAUGCAAAGUUGAUAAUGAUAGUGCAACAUAUUUGUGGCACUACUGUUUAGGUCAUAUUGGUGUAAAGCGCAUGAAGAAACUCCAUGAUGAUGGGCUUUUGGAAUCACUUAAUUAUGAAUCAUUUGAUACUUGCAAACCGUGCUUUAUGGGCAAGAUGACUAAAACUCUGUUCUACGGAACAAAGGAACAAGCUAAUAACUUAUUGGAAAUAAUACAUACCGAUGUAUAUGGUCCAAUGAGUGUUGAGGCUCGUGGCAGGUAUCGUUAUUUUCUGACCUUCACAGUUGAUUUGAGCAGAUAUGGGUAUAUCUACUUAAUGAAACACAAGUCUGAAACAUUUAAAAAGUUCAAAGAAUUUCAGAGUGAAGUGGAGAAUCAUCGUAACAAGAAAAUAAAAGUUUCUACGAUCUAAUCGUGAGGAGAAUAUUUGAGUUACGAGUUAUGCCUUCAUUUAAAACAAUGUGGAAUAGUUUCACAUCCCACGCCACCUCGAACACCACAGCGUACCGAACAUCGUAACCGCACUUUAUUGGAUAUGGUGCAAUCUAUGAUGUCUCUUACCGAUUUACCACUAUUGUUUUGGGGUUAUGCAUUAGAGAUACCUGCAUUCACUUUAAACAUGGCACCAUCAAAAUCCGUUGAGACGACUCCGAACUAUGGUUUAACAAGAACCUAAGUUGUCAUUUCUUAAAGUUUGGGGCUGCGAUGCUUAUGUGAAAAAGCUUCAACCUGAUAAGUUCGAACCCAAACCACAGAAAUGUAUCUUCAUAGGAUACCCAAAAGAAACUUUUGGGUACACCUUCUAUCACAGAUCUGAAGGCAAGUUAUUCAUUGCUAAGAAUGGAUCCUUUCUAGAGAAGGAGUUUUCUCUCGAAAGAAGUGAGUGGGAGGAAAAUAGAACUUGAUGAGGUAAUUCUACCUUCUUCCAAAUUGGAAAGUAGUUCAUCACAGAAAUCAGUUCCAGUGAUUCCUACACCAAUUAGUGAGGAAGCUAAUGAUGAUGAUCAUUAAACUUCUGAUCAAGUUACUACCAAACCUCGUAGGUCAACCAAAGUACGAUCCGCACCAGAGUGGUACAGUAAUCCUAUUCUGGAAGUCAUGUUACUAGACCAUGAUGAACCUACAAACUAUGAGGAAGCGAUGAUGAUCCUAGAUUCUGCGAAAUGGCUUGAGGCCAUGAAAUCUGAGAUGGGAUCCAUGUAUGAGGACAAAGUGUGGACUUUGGUGGACUUGCCCGAUGAUCGACAAGCCAUUAAGAAUAAAUGGAUCUUCAAGAGGAAGACGGACGGUGGUAGUAGUGUUACUAUCUACAAAGCUCAAUUUGUCGCAAAAGGUUUUCGACAAGUUCAAGGAGUUGAGUAUGAUGAGACUUUCUCAGUCAUAGUGAUGCUUAAGUCUGUCCGAAUCAUGUUAGAAAUUGCUGCAUUUUAUGAUUAUGAAAUUUGGCAAAUGGAUGUCAAAAAUGCAUUCUUGAAUGGAUUUCUGGAAGAAGAGUUGUAUAUGAUGCAACCAGAAGGUUUUGUCGAUCCAAAGGGUGCUAACAAAGUGUGCAAGCUCCGGCGAUCCAUUUAUGGACUCGUGCAAGCCUCUCGGAGUUGGAAUAAAUGCUUUGAUAGUGUGAUCAAAGCAUAUGGUUUUAUACAGAUUUUUCGAGAAGCCUGUAUUUACAAGAAAGUGAGUGGGAGCUCUGUAGCAUUUCUAAUAUUAUAUGUGGAUGACAUAUUGUUGAUUGGAAAUGAUAAAGAAUUUCUGGCUAGCAUAAAGGGAUGCUUUAUAAGAGUUUUUCAAUGAAAGACCUCGGUGAAGUUGCUUACAUAUUGGGCAUCAAGAUCUAUAGAGAUAUAUCAAGACGCUUGAUAAGAUUUUUCAAUGAGUAAAUACCUUGACAAGUUUUUGAAAGAGUUCAAAAUGGAUCAGUCAAAGAAGGAGUUCUUGUCUGUUUUACAAGGUGUAAAGUUGAGUAAGACUCAAAGCCCGACCAUGGCAGAAGAUUGAAAGAGAAUGAAAGUCAUUCCCUAUGCCACAGUCAUAGGUUCUAUAAAGUAUGUUCUGCUGUGUACCAGACCUAUUGUGCACCUUGUCAUGAGUUUGGCAAGGGGGUACAAUAGUGAUCUAAGAGUAGAUCACUGGACAGCGGUCAAAAUUAUCCUUAGUGAGGACUAAGGAAAUGUUUCUUGGUGAUGGGGGUGAUAAAGAGUUCGUCAUAAAGAGUUACGUCGAUGCAAGCUUUUUCAGCGAUCCAGAUGACUCUGAGUCUCAAUCUGGAUACAUAUUGAAAGUGGGAGCAAUUAGCUAGAGUAUCUCCAUGCAGAGCAUUGUAGACAUAGAAUAUUUGCAAAAUACAUACGGCUCGGAAUGUGUCAGAGCUAUUGACUAAACUUCUCUCACGAGCAAAACAUGAUCACACCUUAGUACUCUUUGGGUGUUAAUCACAUAGCGAUGUGAACUAUAUUAUUGACACUAGUAAACCCUUUGGGUGUUGGUCACAUGGCGAUGUGAACUAUGAGUGUUAAUCACAUACAGAUAUGAACUAUUUAUGUCAAAUCACAUGGCGAUGUGAACUAGAUUAUUGACUCUAGUGCAAGUGGGAGACUGAAGGAAAUAUGCCCUAAAGGCAAUAAUAAAGUUAUUAUUUAUUUCCUUAUUUCAUGAUAAAUGUUUAUUAUUCAUGCUAGAAUUGUAAACCAGAAACUUAGUACAUGUAUGAAUACAUAGACAAAACAUAGUGUCCCUAGUAUGCCUCUACUUGACUAGCUCAUUAAUCAAAGAUGGUUAUGUUUCCUAACCAUAGACAUGUGUUGUCAUUUGAUGAACAAGAUCACAUCAUUAGGAGAAUUAUGUGAUGGACAUGACCCAUCCGUUAGCUUAGCAUUAUAAUUGUAUCAGUUUCAUUGCUACUGCUUUCUUCAUGACUUAUACAUGUUCCUCAGACUAUGAAAUUAUGCAACUCCUGAAUACCGGAGAAACACUUUGUGUGCUAUAAAACAUCACAACGUAAAUGGGUGAUUAUAAAGAUGCUCUACAGGUGUCUCCAAAGGUGUUUAUUGGGUUGGCAUAGAUCGAAAUUAGGAUUUUUCACUCCGUGUUUCGGAGAGGUAUCUCUGGGCCCUCUCGGUAAUGCUUAUCACUAUAGGUCUUGCAAGCAAUAUGACUAAUGAGUUAGUUGCGGGAUGAAGUUUUACGGAACGAGUAAAGAGACUUGCUGUUAACGAGAUUGAACUAGGUAUGAUGAUACCGACGAUCUAAUCUCGGGCAAGUAACAUACCAGUGACAUAGGGAACAACGUAUGAUGUUAUGCGGUUUGCCGAUAAAGAUCUUCAAAGAAUAUGUGGGAACCAAUAUGAGCAUCCUGGUUCCGCUAUUGGUUAUUGACCGGAGAUGUGUCUCGGUCAUGUCUACAUAGUUCUCGAACCCGUAGGGUUCGCACGCUUAAUGUUCGAUGACGAUUUGUAUUAUGAGUUAUGUGAUUUGAUGAACCAAAGUUUGUUCGGAGUACCGGAUGAGAUCGCGGACAUGACGAGGAGUCUUGAAAUGGUCGAGACAUAAAAAUUGAUAUAUUGGAAGGCUAUAUUCGGACAUCGGAAUGGUUCCGGAGAAGUUCGGGUAUUUUCGGGAANNNNNNNNNNNNNNNNNNNNNNNNNNNNNNNNNNNNNNNNNNNNNNNNNNNNNNNNNNNNNNNNNNNNNNNNNNNNNNNNNNNNNNNNNNNNNNNNNNNNNNNNNNNNNNNNNNNNNNNNNNNNNNNNNNNNNNNNNNNNNNNNNNNNNNNNNNNNNNNNNNNNNNNNNNNNNNNNNNNNNNNNNNNNNNNNNNNNNNNNNNNNNNNNNNNNNNNNNNNNNNNNNNNNNNNNNNNNNNNNNNNNNNNNNNNNNNNNNNNNNNNNNNNNNNNNNNNNNNNNNNNNNNNNNNNNNNNNNNNNNNCACAAGGUGCUGAUGCGCCCCCCUUGGGCAGGAGGCUGAUUAGGACUAGGAGAAGGCCCACCCCUUUCCUUCUCCUUCUCCCUUCCCCCUUUCCUACUCCGUGUGGGAGGUGGAAUCCUACUAGGACUAGGGAGUCCUAGUAGGACUCCACACCUUGGCACGCCCUCCCUAGGUCCAGCUUACUCUCCCUCUCCCUCCUUUAUAUACGGGGGCAGGGGGCACCCUAGAACACACAAAUUGAUCUUUUAGCCGUGUGCGGUGCCCCCCUCCACAGUUACACACCUCAGUCAUAUCGUCGUAGUGCUUAGGCGAAGCCCUGCACUGGUAACUUCAUCAUCACCAUCGCCACGCCGUCGUGCUGACAAAACUCUCCCUCGGCCUCAACUGGAUCAAGAGUGUGAGGGACGUCGUCGAGAUGAACGUGUGCUGAACACGGAGGUGUCGUACGUCCGGUACUUGGAUCGGUUUGAUCGCGAAGACGUUCGACUACAUCAACCGUGUUAACUAGCGCUUCCGCUUUCGGUCUACGAGGGUACAUGGACACACUCUCCCCUCUCGUUGCUAUGCAUCAUAUAGAUAGAUCUUGCGUGAUCGUAGGAAAUUUUUGAAAUUACCGCGUUCCCCAACAGAAAGUCAAUAGUUCUGCAAUGAAAUUACAUCCUACUUAUGGUGCAUUAUUCGUUGUUACUUAUGCUUAAUGCUUGGGUAUGAGAUUUUUUGUUUCUUGGUUGGGCGCCUCUCAAUCUUUUUGCUAGCCUUCAUUUUGCACUAAGUAUGAUCACUACUUGUGCAUCCAAAACCAUUUAAACAAGUUUUGCCAUAUGAGUCCACUAUAUCUACCUAUAUGUGGUAUUUCCGUGCCGUUCUAAGCAAAUUUGCAUGUGCCAUCUCAAAUUUUCAAAAUAAAUUUCUCUUUUGUGUGCUCGUACCGCUCGCGAGGCGGUGAGGGGUGGCCGAUAUUUUCAAAUGUGUUAUUCUCACGAUGAGUGUUUAUUCACUUGCCAUUGCACGAGAGUACGACAAAGGUAUUAGGGAUGCCCAGUCCCGAAAUGAAAAAAAUGAAUUUACUUUAUGUUGUCAAAUAAUAAAUUCCUUGAAAAGUGUUGGUAUGGAGGGCACCCGUGGAUACUGACAAGCCUUGGAAAGUGAAAGUAUGGUGGAAAAAGUAAUAAACUUUAUUUUCUGUUUGGGAACCACCUAUGAUGUAUCUAGCAUGGAAAGUGUUGGGAGCUCUAAGUCGUUUUGUGGCACCAUUACCUGAAAGGGAUGACAACCCCUUUAACACGUCGGGUUGCGAGUAUUUGUUAUUUGUGUGCAGGGGUUGUUUGCGUUGUGUUUCUUGGUUCUCCUACUGGUUCGAUAACCUUGGUCUCAUCACUGAGGGAAAUACCUACCGUCGUUGUGCUGCAUCAUCCCUUCCUCUUUGGGUAAAUACCGACGUAGUUCAAGUAGACAUCAGUUGGUAUGCAUUUUCAUAUUCCUUUCUCCGAUAGAAAUCUUGGGAUACUUUUGAAGUUCUUUGUGUUGGAUUGAAUAUUAUGAAUCUGAAGUUGUUUGAUGCAUAUCGUAUAAUUGACACACGAAUACUAUUGGUUAUAUUGGAGUAUCUAGGUGACAUUAGGGUUGAUUGAUGUGUGUCAUAUGGUGUUAUUUUAGUACGAACUCUAGGGUUGUUUGUGACACUUAUAGGAAUAGCCCAAUAGAUCGAUCAGAAAGAAUAACUUUGAGGUGGUUUCGUACCCUACAAGCAAUUUCAUCUUAUGUUCUGCGCGAUAGGAACUUUGGAGUGAUUCUUCGUUGCACGUUGAGGAAUUGACAUAUGAUCUAAUUAUGUUAUCAUUGUUGAGAGAACUUGCACUAGUCAAAGUAUGAACCCUAGUCCUUGUUUCCAAGAAUUGCAAUACCAUUUUUGCUCACUUUUAUUACUAGUUACCUUGCUGUUUUUAUAUUUUCAGAUUACAAAAACCUAUAUCUACCAUCCAUAUUGCACUUGUAUCACCAUCUCUUCGUCGAACUAGUGGACCUAUGCAAUUUACCAUUAUAUUGGGUGUGUUGGGGACACGAGAGACUCUUUGUUAUUUGGUUGGAGGGUUGUUUGAGAGAGACCAUCUUCAUCCUACGCCUCCCACAGAUUGAUAAACCUUAGGUCAUCCACUUGAGAGAAAUUUUCUACUGUCCUACAGAACUCUGCACUUGGAGGCCCAACACGAGUCUACAAGAAGAAGGUUGCGUAGUAGACAUCAGCCACCGGCCCCUCCUCCUUCGCCCCUUCCCUCGCCGCCGCCGGUAGUCCCUACUGGACGAAGCCCUGACGUGUGUUGGCAGCGACGAGGACGCCCCACUCCUCCUUCCCCUUCCUCGCUCCCCGUGCCGCUCCUCCCGAACCCCAGCGCCUCAGAUGCACCGUCAUCGGUUAUCCUUGCUCUCCGUCAUCCAGCUUGGGUGGCCGGCCUGGAGUUCGCUGUCAGCGGCGAGGUAGGCCCACAUCUAGCCAUGCCCGUGGUGCGGGGCUACCAUCCCUCGAGCUCGUCUCUACCCAUAUCCAACUGGAGGUCGGUUCGUUGAUCCAAAGAGGCUACGACUAGGGGGUUGGCCGGUACUGCCCGUCCAGGGGGGAUGGGCCUGGUUUUCGGGGGGAUCUCAUGUCUCCUAAGAUAAAUCGGCCACGUGGUGGCCCUCGUGCUCUUCGCGUGAAGUCCCUGUUCUACAUGUGAUCAAUGCUCUUUGAUCUGGCCAUCAGUGAGUUCCGAACAUCUCCUUCGAAGGAAAACAAGGACUAGUAUAUAUGACGCUUUUUUGGACACCUUGAUUGCAUAAGGGCACAUCGUGACAUGUUUUUUUCUCUCUUAUUAUUUUAUUUUUUGGCCGUGCGCAUCCUGGAUGUUCUUACGAGUCUUGUUGGUGCAUAGGCUGAGCGUAAUUGGUAUCUACUUGAUAUUAAUAUAUUCCCCAUUAAAAAAAUCUUUAUCCAUUAGGCUUAAUAAGCUAUAAUAACAUAUACAAGCAAAAUUAGUAACAACUAGGCACUAGUUGGGAGAUUAGCACAUCUGGAAUUGUACAACUAGGAAGAAAUAGGCAAAGUGCCACAAUAUGGAAGUAAUGCAAAUGUUACUUUAAUUCGUGCUUAUGUUUAAGAAAACAUACAUGUCCUUUCGGUGCAUGUUACAGGGCAAAAAUAGGAACAAAAAUACGAUUUCUUGCACCUGCCAUCUAAACACUUACAUCCAAUACAAGAUCCUCAACUUUAAUUAAUUGGUCUCCUUGAUAAUAGUAUGUGUAGAGCCUUAGCUUCUUCACAAGGAUUAGUGUUAUUACUCGUUUGUUUAUCUCCUGAAAUAAAUGCACCAGUCUCUGUUUGACCCGCACACUUUGUAUUUUGAACAACAAAAACUAGUUGUUCAUCAUUGUAGCUUGGCCGCACGUACUCUAAUAUAUAUGCAGCAUAUUUUCGGACAACACCAACUUUAGGCGAAACAUCGACGAUCCCGGUAUUUAUAUUACAUGGGGUCAUAUCACAAUGAGAAGGCCAUGCCACUCUAGAAAAGUAUAAAUGACUCCUUUAACUUGAUGACUGCCAUCCUCAUGUGAAGUCAAUUAAAAAGAUUCCUUCCAUUUUUUCAGCCCAUAUGUAUUUUAUGUAAAUAAUAAUUCCAUGUAGAAUCAAACUUAUUUAAUUCUGGAUGGGCAAACUAUUUUCAAUAGCACUGCCAAUGAAUUAACAUAUCUGAAUAGUCUGAUCUAUCUUAGUUAACUGCUCAAAAUUCCGUGCAUACCCUGACCAAACUGCAUGCAAGGGUGAACUGAUUGUUAUCUUUAGCGGAGCAUCCAGCAUCUUCACAAAUGCAAUGGAGAAACAAAAACAACAUAAGAGAUAAUUACUCCCUCCGUUCCUAAAUAAUUGUCUUUCUAGUGAUUUCAACAAGUGACUACAUACAAAGCAAAAUAAAUAAAUCUACACUCUAAGACAUGUCUACAUACAUCCGUAUGUUGUAGUCCAUUUGAGAUGGCUAGAAAGACAAUUAUUCGGGAACGGAGGGAGUAAUUAACAAUCCGACAACUAACUAGCAAUACUUUUGUUGAAUAGCCGUUGCGCGUGAGUAAACAUGGCACAAGAGAUAGAAACACCUCGUUAUUUGUGGUUUGUACCAAUCAAAUAUUGAAGAAACUGUCGUGUCAGGAAAGACUUGCAAGCCGAGCGCAACUAAUCAAUUCGUUGAGAGAGCAAGGUAGUGGCAAAUUAUAUAUUUAAAGUUCAGGAUAUUUAAUGAGUGAUUACAAAAGAUCCACAUUUGCCACAACCAGAAUCACCAUCAGGAUUCAAGAGGACGCGGCAUCAGGAAUUGACCAAGACUUAAUCAAACCUUCGCAAUUGCUCACCUACUUUGAUCGUUGCCUCAUCUUUUGGCACUUCCUCUUGAGCCUCGUCAUUCUCUUGUUCUUCCACUGCACAUUAUUUCAAACGCAAUGUACAAUAUAAUUUGCAUGUAAAUAGUGCAAGGCAGGACACCAAAUGCAAUGUACUUUAUUUGUUGGAAACAAGAGUAUUGGGUGUUCGGAUUUAAUUCUCAUUGUGUGUGGUCAGUUUUGUUAAAUGAACAAACAAAAAGCAAUAAUAAAGAAAAAUAAUAAGGACAUGUCCUGCAAUCUAGUAUUUGGCAAAUGACAAGAUUGUAACAAUGUGAUGAAUCUUUGCAACAAAAGGGAGUACUUAUAUAUGCAUUUGACAUUCAAGAACAUGAGUUAUUAAACCAAAAAUGGAAUAGUAAAGUUAAAAGACUAAGGGCUAGUUCUUUUGGAGCUUAUGGCUGGCUGUGGAAAUAAGUUGCCCCUCCUUACUUAUAGCAGGCUUAUAAAAUGAAAUUUUAGGUUGAGCUUCUAGGGGCAGCUUAUUUCCACACCCAGCCAUAGGCCAAAAAAAAAACUAGACCUAAGCAUGUUCCCUGAGAAAUGCUUCAAUCGUCCACAUGGUGUAAUAGAAUGGAUUAAAUCAGACUCAUCGUCUGUGAAAUAGCAGUAAAUACAGAGAAGCUGAAAGUGACAAUAAGUGGUAGAACGAAUACAUUGUUGCCAUCAGUUCUUGGAGCCAUGAUGUUCAUCAGUUGGUAUUUUAUUCAAACUGACCACCAUUGUUAAUCUCAACCAAUUCAUUCCCAUGUCUAAGAUCAAAUUACCGCAUGGUGCUUAAGCAAUAAAUCAAGUUCAGUUGUUCAACUGAGGCUCCAAUUCACUGGCAGCUACCAAUGCUGGAAGUGUCACUGGUUCAACUUUUGUUUCCCUUGUGAGGUAAAAAGAAAAUUAAUGAACCUGCAAAUAUCUGCAAUGUUCCUGGUAUUUGUUCAUCUCGGAGCAAAGAAAAGGACCUGUCACACCGCAAAAAGAUAAAAUAACUGACACAACAAAUGCAGGGCCAAAAGGCACAUUUCAGAGUACCUCAAGGAUAAUAGGUGCAUAAAAUUCAGUCACAAACACAUAUAAUCCUCACAUUACAUAAAACUCAGUACUGGAACAUAGCCAGACUAGUAUUAAACAACUAAAUUUGACCAAACACAGGUAAAAGCAACUUCCACAGCCAAAACAACAGAACAAAUCAAGAAUCACUAGACAAUGCCAUCACCCCUCAGAGUUCCGCUGCCUGGAUGCAAGAUGAUGCUUACGGCCUACUUGGAUCGCUGCCUCAUCUUUCGGCGCUUCCUCUUGAGCCUCCUCAUCCUCUUCUUCUUCC
rnacentral:lncRNA from 1 species